rnacentral:lncRNA from 1 species
GUCGGUACAUAACACUUUGACUUUAAAAUGUGAACGCAUUGAUUAUCUUUACAUAUUUAGUUAAUAUACUCCAUGCGAUUCUUACAACUAUAAAUUUGCUAAAAUAAGUAAUUAGCUUGAAUUUUAAAAUCAAAAUAUCAUUGACCGAUUCAAAUCAAAUAAAUUGAAAUAUUGGAUAGUAAAAUUAAAAUUUUAAAAAGCUUGGAUAAUCGGCCCAAAAUAAUUUAUAAUUCAGAUAUGUUCUAUACAUUUUUACCAAUAUAUAAUUAAUUAUUUCAAAAUAGGUUAAAAUUCAGAUCACAAAAUGUGCUAUCAUUGAGAUGCUAGUUUACCUAAAUCAUGUAUUUAGUGGCCAAUGGGUGCCAAGGAAUAGACAUGCACACAAAUAUAGGUGAAAGCUAUAUAUGGGUCCAACUUUGAGUCACUAGGGUUAUGAAAGGGACCCACAUGUACCCAAAAGAGCUAAGAGAUAUGAAAUGAUCCUCCCUAAGUGGAGGCAAUUAGGUAGGGUUUGGACUUGGCAAAGGUGGCAAAUAAUAGAUUAGGAGGGGGAGGUGGGGAGGGGUACUUGAAAGAUACAUGUCAAAAUAAUAAUAUUAAGUUGAGGAGUGGGAACAUUGGCACUUUGUGUUUGUGUGUUUUAAUUUGUGGGUCUUUUUUGGUUCAUGGUGGGCCAUUUUAUGUUUGGUGAGUAGGGGUUCUUGAAUAAACCUUGAUUAGUAUGUCACUCAUUGAUUGAAGGGCUUUUUGUUGACAAUUGCAACAAAAAUAUAUGUGAUGGUUGCAUGAGUGAUAUGCAUGCAUGUCAUGCUAGCUCCAAAGUUGUAUAUAUCUUGGUAGUUUAAUUUGUUGCAUGAAAUAUUUUAUAUCUAAUCAUAUUUAAUUUCGUAGCAGGAUUUAGCCGAAAGCAGAAGUAGAAAGGAUAUUCUUUUUUCUGAGAGAUAGGUAGCACGCUACCCGCUUCGUUUAUUUCACUUAAAAAUAAAUUUAGCUGGAAAUGUGAAUCAACUAAGAUUCGAACUUGGGUCUCGAAUAUCAACCACCAAAUCCUUUGCCACUUGCUCUAGGAACAAUCGGUGUAGAAAGGAUAUUCUGUUCAAUGCUAAUGCGAUAGUAGUCAAAGAUCGAGUUUUCUUUUAUGAUGAGAUUUCAUCAAAGUUCUAACUUGAUAGUUAUGUAACAUAAAAAUGUUAUUGUUAAGGUUAUAUCAAAGAUUAAUUCAUAUCUAAUCAUACUUACUUUUAAUUUAGGAUUUAGCUCAACUUACACUCUCAUCAGCAGUCAGGAGUAAAAAAAAAAAAAAAAGUUCAUUGUUGACAUGGCAGUAAUCUAACGAAUUUUUUUCAAUGACUAAAGCUCAUCAAUGAGUAUGAAUAAAGAAUAAAUUAAAAUUUUAAUUUGCUAAAUAACAUAGCAUUGAUGACUACAAAAUUUCCAUACAUUGGGGUUGUGGAGAAUCUAGUCACCAUUUAGUUUGUACCAAAUGACAUGUAUUAAAUAAUGGUGUGGUUUUUAAAUUGAUAAAGGAUCACCUACAAAUAUAAUGCUUUUGUUAUACCUAUCUUUGGAAAUGCAUGUGUGUAUGUGUGUUUUUUUUUAUAUUGUUUGGUUGAUGCCACAGUAAAAGUGUGUGACAUUUAAUGAUAUAGGAUCUAAAUGCAUGGCACAUUAAGAAAUAUAAAACUAAAAAAACAAAAUUCCCUUUUAAAUUUUUUUUUUUUUUUUAAAUAACCUGUCACUUUGAGAGACUAUUUAGUACCAAGCAUAGUAGAGCUAGAAUGGUGACAUAAAUUUUUUGUAGCUUAUAAUUAAUUAAUUACAACUUUAAAUAUGUCAUAAUCAUAGACCGUAUCAUAGUCGAGAAAAAUGCAAAUUUUAAUAUAAAGUAGAAAGGCAAUUUUAAUAAAAAAAAUAUUACUUAUUUUACAAUUCUAUACUUUUAUAUUUAUGGGAUAAUCUAAACUAAUUGUGCAUUAAAAAUAUGAUUGCACACUUAUGUAGAUUAGCCGCCGAUUUUAUAUAUUAUAUUCCACACUUUUACUAUAAAAAUGUAAUAAUAUAGUUACACGCAUAGCAUGUCUAAUUUUGUAGUGAAAUGUAUACAUUAAGAUAUUAUAUUUUAAUAAUUUAUGUUUUUAGAAAAUAACGAAUGUUUCAGCGUAUUAAAUAUGUCUAGUUUAUACAAUAUUAGACCCAAUAGGAUCGAUGCACAUAUGAACUGAGUUGUGGUUUUAGAACAAAUUUUAAAUUAAAAAUUAUUUUAUUAGAUUAUGUUCAUACAAAACUAACGAGAACUAAAUAUAUUUUAUUUAUCACAUGCUUUAUUAAAUAUAACCGUUGCUCAAAUUGGUUGAAAUUGUAUUUGUAGUAAUUAGCGAGCGUAAUUUUAAACAAAGAACUUUCAUACUAUGAAUAAUUUUAUCACCUCAUAUAUAUAUAUAUAAUAUAUAAUAAAAUUUAAUAAAUAUGAAUUUUAAUCGUAUGUAAAGGAACAAAUUAUUAAUAACUACAUUACCUUUUGCAUAAUCUAAUUAAGCAUAAAGAAGAUGCGUACAUUAUUGUACUAUAUAUAUAANAAGCAUUAGAGCAUAUAUUCAAUUCAUUUUAAUAUAAAAAAUAACAAAAUACAUAAAAUCAAUAAAAUAGUUAAAAAUAACUAAAACAAAAUUUUUUAAUUAGUCAAGAUUCAUUUUAUAUUUUUUCUACUAUUUAAUCGGAGUCUCAUAAUAGAGUUGUUGGAUUUUAUCUAAACAAUUAAUUUAUUAAUAAUAAUAUAUUAAUUUUAAAAAAAUAAUUUAGUGAUAUUUAUCGAAAAGAAAAAUAGUUCAAUAUUAUAAAAAAGAAGUAAAUCUAAAAUACAGUAUAAAAAUUGAUAAAAUAUAAUAAUAUAAUAAUAUUUUUUUAGAAAAUAGUACAUCAUAUUAAAUAAAAAUAAUAUAUAUAGUACAAUACAGUAGAGUGUAAUUAAGCAUGUUAACCGUAUAUUUUUUCAACUAUACGGUAUCUACUGUUACAUCCAUCCAAACACAUUGUAUCUAAUUUAAUUGUCGUUGCGUGUGUUCAAAUUAAGACCUAAUUAUACACACCACUGCACAUUGGGUGGAGACAAAUUAUGUCCAAUUUUGUAAACUUUUGUUUUACUUUUUUUUUUUCUAUUUUAAUUUAAUUAUUAAUCCCUUCAUUCCCCCACCUAUAUUUCUCCCAUGGCUCUCUCUAGAUUCCAACUUUUCAAAAAAAAAAAAAAACUUUAAAUACCACUCCUGUAGUUUUAUAUAUUUUUAUUUUAGUACCAUAUAGUUUAAAGUGUAUCAAGUUAAUAUCCUGUGGCUUUAUUUUUAUUUUUUCGUCAGCUUUUUCGUCAAUAUUUUGUUAAAUUAUAUAAAAAAAACUUCAGAUACCCGAACUAGCUCUAUCGAAUAUUCACUUUAGUAACUUUUAGUUUUAACUUUAUUACUAAUUUAACGAAAAAAAUUAGUGAAAUCGAUAAUAAAAAAAUAAAAAUUAAACCAUAUGAAACUAAAUUGAUAUAUUUUAAAACACAGAAUAAUAAAGUGAAAAAGUAUGAAACCAUAAGAAUAAUAUUUGAAGUUUUUUUUUAAAGAAAAAGAAAAGAAUGAAAAAAAGAGAGAAAAAAGAAAGAAAUUAUUGCUUGCUGCUGCCUCCUCCUCCGAGUCCUCUCGUUGGUGAAAAAAAAAAAAAAAAAAUCACAAAAACAAAAACAAAAACAAAUAAAUUAUUAGACUAAUAAAUUUUUUUUAAAAAAAAAUGUAAAAAGCAGUGAAAAGGUGUGGAAAAAGUUUCCAUUUUUGCAGGUGCAUGAAUUGGCUCCUCCUCCGCCUCCCCCUCUCCCUCCCCUUCCUCCUCCUCCUCCUCCUCCUCCAUUCAACUCUUUCUCCAAAAACAUUCCUUUUUCCCUCUCUCUCUCUCUCUCUCUCUCUCUCUCUCUCUAUAUCUUUCUCUGAAACCAUUCAAAGCUCCCACCUUUCUCUCUCUUCUCUUCUCUUCUCUCUCUCUCACACACACACUUCUCCUCUGGUGAGCCCUGCUUGCGCUGUUCCUUUCAGACCCCAUCGCCUGCUCCCUUUUUGACUCUGGUUUCCUCUGCUGCUGCUGCUUUUAUUCUGGGGCUUCAAUUUUUCUGGGUAUUUAUUUAUUUAUUUAUUUAUUUAUUUCACAGGGGAUUAGGAAAAAGGAGGAUUUUUUUUCUCUUUCUUUUUGUUGGUGUGGGGGGGUUUGUAUUGUUUCUCUGAGGAUUUGGUCAUCUGGGUCUCCCCUGUUUCUUCUCCUUCUCCUUCUUUUUACACAUCUUGUUUGAGUUAAGGAGAGGAAGAGGAAGGGGAAGAGGAAGAGGAGGAAGAAGAUGACUGUGGAGGAGAUUAAGGUGAAGGGGGAAGGCGCCGGAGACCAGUUUCCGGUGGGCAUGCGCGUGCUCGCCGUCGACGACGAUCCCACCUGCCUCAAAUUGCUCGAGACCCUCCUCAUCAGAUGCAAAUACCAUGGUUCGUUUCUUCAUCCAAAUUCCUCACUUUUACUUGUUUUUUGGGGCUUCUUUUUUUAAAAAAAUAUAUAUUUGUUGGUUAAUUUCUCUCAGUAUUAGGACGUGGGUGAUCUUUUAAUUCAUUGAAAUCCUCUUUUUUCCUUGGUUUUUUGUGUUAUUUUGGUUUUUUCUUCUUUUUUUUUUUGUUUUUGGAAGUGAAAGGGUUUUAGAUAUCAUGGAAAAUUCUUUUGUUGGUUAAUUUCUCUGAGUAUUAUUAGGAUGUGGGUCUUUUAAUUCUACCUAUCAACUCUAUGUUUUCAUGUUGAUUGUUUCUGGGACUUUGCUUGUUAUUCUCUACUUUGUACCUUUUUCCUUCUCCUUUUGAAGUUCCUUUUCACUUAAGUUGUUAAUCUUAAAAUUGAAACUUUUGGCCCUGUUUGGUUUAAAAAAUGUUCAAAUUCUAUGUGGUUGGAUGGCAAAGAAGCGCAAAAAAAAAAAAAGAAAAAAGAAAAAAAAGUGUUGCUGUUGAGUGUUUUUUUCGCACUCCAUCACAUAAAAAUUUGUGUUUUUCUUUUUUCCCUAUUUCAAGAUAAGCAGUGGGACCUUAGGACCAGUUGGUUUUGUUUUUUACUUUUUUUUGUGUGUUUGUGUGUUGUUAUUUCAGUUACAACAACUAGCCAAGCAAUCACUGCCCUGAAGCUGCUGCGCGAGAACAAGGACCGAUUCGAUCUGGUCAUCAGCGACGUCCACAUGCCCGACAUGGACGGUUUCAAGCUCCUCGAGCUCGUCGGCCUCGAAAUGGACCUCCCAGUGAUUAGUAAGUCUCUCGCAUGAUCAUGCACACCUCUCUUUGUAUUUGUCGAGUUUGAUAACUACUUCGCAAAUGAAUCAUGUCCAUUAUUGCAUUAUUAUUACUGUUAUUGGUACAUUAUUUGAUGACGUAAGCGAAUGAAUCUCUCGCUCGCGCAGUGCUGUCCGGAAACGGCGAGACGCAGGCCGUGAUGAAGGGCAUAACGCACGGAGCUUGCGAUUACUUGUUGAAGCCCGUGCGGAUCGAGGAGCUAAGGAACAUAUGGCAGCACGUUGUUAGGAGGCGGAAGUUCGAUGGGCGAAGCCAGAGUAAUCUUGAGAACGGGGGGGAGGACGGUCAGAAGAGUAGCCAGAUCAAUCACGAAGGUGAGCAGGGUGCGGUCGACCGCAACGGGAAGCUGAAGAAGAAGAGGAAGGAGCAGAACGGAGAGGAGGAGGAGGAUUCUGACGAGAACCCGCGCGAGAAUGAGGACCCCUCGGCCCAGAAGAAGCCGAGGGUUGUUUGGUCGGUCGAGCUGCACCGCAAGUUCGUUGCCGCUGUUAAUCAGUUGGGAAUCGACAGUAAGAAUUCUUGCUCUUGGCUUGUUGUUGCCGUGCCAUGUUCAAUUUCUUGGAUGGGUUGGAAUGAUGAUAAUAUGUUGGUUUUGUGCAUUUUGUUCCAGAGGCUGUUCCUAAGCGGAUUCUCGAUCUUAUGAAGGUCGAGAAGCUCACUAGAGAGAAUGUCGCAAGCCAUCUGCAGGCAUGAUUUCAGUUCUUAUAUUCAUUUUUCAGCAUAUACUCACAGCUGAAUUUCCAUUUGCAUAGUGUUUUAGCCACUUUGCAACCAAAAAAAAAAAAAAAAUUACAACUCCACUCUUGUUUUCUGAAUUUGCAAAAAUGGGACUCCUUUCUUGUUUUUUUUUUUUUUUCUUUUUCAGAUUUUCGUUUUUUUUAAAAUAAAUUUCAACUUUAAGAACGAAACCACCCCUCCGCUUCAAGGCUGUGAUGCACAUUUUCGGAUAACCAAUGCACAAUUCUGAAUAGUCGAAGCACAAUUUCGAAACCUUGCGGCUAUCAAUCAAAGUUGUGCAUCGACAUUGAUAGUUCUCAACUGUGCAAUCCAUUGUGCAUCAUGCAUCGUGGUCUUUUAUUUGUCGACGAAACUUGCUCCUAUGCCUAUUUCUUUUGUAGUUUACAUAAUCACCUGUAAUUACCAUUAACAUCUAUUUCGCUCUCAUUGGAUGAAAUCAGAAGUAUAGGCUCUACCUUAAGAGGCUAAGUGCUGUAACAAGCCAACAAGCUAACAUCGCCGCGGCUUUGGGAGGACGGAACCCGUCAUUUAUCCACAUGAGCUCAUUGGAAAGCUUCAGAAACUACCAUUCACUCGGAAGCACUCGGCAUCUCCCGUCAGUCGCUUCCUGCCAAGCAAAUGGGCUUCUCGGCCGGAUGAACACGCCAACUGCGUUCGGAGUGCACGGUUUGCUUCCCUCUCAGGCGGUUCAACAGAUCGCUCGAACGCAAAACAACCCAAGCAAUCACACUAAGGAUUUGGAGAAAAUCCAAGCCGCUUAUCCGCAAGGAGUUCAUCAAGGGAAUUUGUUUCAAGGGUUUCAAGAAUCAAACAAGCUUUUCUCCGCCGGUUUCAACGGUGGUGGAUUAGCUAAUGGUUCUUGCGGCGACGCUUACGCGAACGCCGCGAACGGUUCAAUGCUAGUGCAAGCGAAUAAGAUCCCGACGCAGAAUGGAGUGUUGGGCAACUCUCCUUCUUUCAGAACUCGCGUCGGAGAGGCAGCCCAGUUUCCCGAUCUUUCGCGAUGCGACAAUACUUGGCAAAGCGUCGUUUCGUCAAAGUAUCCAGCCGCCACUUUGCCAGUCAACGACUCAUUUAAUCACAACAACGAUCUAACUCCGUGUAGCAUCGGAGACAGUAUUGCUCCGAUGCCCUCGCACAUAGAAGGUGCCGUUCUCUGUGAAUCUCCGAGCAAUUUGGAGGCGGCAGUUAAUCGUAAUCCGGUGAUUGGAAGUGAUUUACGGAAUCCUAAUCCCAUUUCUUCACUUGGUGGGAGUGCGAUGCCAAUUUCAAGCCUCGGUGAAGACCCAACGACCACUUCCUUUGACUUCAGAAGCAUGUCGAAUGCGAAUCCGAGACUGGAUCAUACCGCUAAUGCAAGUACUUCUUCCUUGAGCUCCAUAUUGCCGAAUCUUCAAAUAAAUGAUCCUACUGCCCAGAAGCAGGGCUUUUGUAGCAAGCAGAUGGAUGCGAGUUUGAUAGGAGAAGCAAAUUUUGGCGCUCCGAUCCUGACGCACGAUUGGAGGAUCGACAGUAGAUCAUCUAACAGAGAUCAAAUUCAGGGCAAGGACGAUUACGCUUCGGGAAUGACCAAGUUGCAGAAUGGCCUUAGUCGCAGCAUUGACGAUAUUGUUAGCGCCAUGCUUAAAUCGGUAUGUGUUCUUUUUCUUCUAUUGAACUACAAAAUUGUUUCUUUAGCUGUUAUUAGCAUGUUAAGAAAUGUGUCUUAAGACACUCGAAAUCACAAUAAGAUCCUUAUUAUCUUGUUGAAGGCUUUUGAGAAAGAAUACUCGAUUUAGCCGACUACAUGAAGAGCAAGUACUUUCACAUAACUAGCUAAACCACCUUAUUUCUUCAUUGUAGGACCGCGACGAGUUUACUGCUUUCGUGGAUGGGGACAUGGGAUAUGACCUCUAUACUCUUAGUACUUGAUGAGCCGAAUCGCGAUGAAGAAAAAAAAAAAAGCUCGUUGUAUUGAUUUGCGUAGGAUUCACAAUUCCAGUCGCGAAGUUUGUAUUUAUUAAUGCCCAUUUCCUCUAUUGACUUUGUUAUUCUUCUUUUUUCUAGCAAACAAUCAUCUAGGUGAGUGUAGCAUAGGAAAUUAUGAGUUGGGAAUGUUUGGAGUUUUGUAUUAUACAAAAUAUGCUUUUAAACUAAAUGAUGCUAUGGAUGGUAUUUAUUCAAGUGGAAUGUGUUUGACAAGUGACAAACAACUUGAUUUUAGGUUAUUGUACUAGGUAGUUGUCAUAGUGCUCUUUCAUAUUUGCUUAAUACUUUAUCCAGUGAUAGUAUACAACAACUUAAAAUUUGUAUUAGUUUAACAUGCUUUGAAAUUCAUUGAGCUAUGUAGUACUUUAAAAUUCAUCCAAAGUAUCUACACAUUCUUUUUUAAUUUUUAAUAUUAAAAAAUAUUGAUAUGAUUGGUAUAAAAAAAAUUAGUCCUUAAUGAAUAAAACAUAAUAUUCAUAUUUUUUUUGAAUGCUUAAAUAACAUUGCCCUCAUUUGAUUCUGUUGUUACCUAGUUUUGGAAUACAUUUUCCAUACUACAACCUGACCAUACAAAUUAUAUCAGUAAGAAUGUUAUAUCAUUAAAAAUUUUAGCGAAAACCAAGAUGCGGUCCAAAAAAAUAUCCAAAAAAAUAUUAACUCUAUUCUAUUCUCAUCAGCUCCGAGAUCGAAAGUGGAGAGUCCAAUUGAUCUUAACAUCACUGGCAUCAUCCAAAUCAUCUAACCAUUGCAUCUCAUCUCUUUUUUAAAAAAAAAAUUUCUAUUUUUUGUCUACAAAUAGAGAGAGUAACAUGGUUCAAGGACCUGAUUGAGAGAACAUGAGCCAAUAUUUUCAACUACUUCACUAUCCAGCAAAAUAUCUAGUAAAGAUUCACUAGGUAGAACACUCAAAACUGUCCCAUUGGUGCAUGCCACUUUUGGCAAGUUAUAGCAAAGAGAAAUAUUUAAGCUUCAAGUAAUUCAAAUAAUCUUAAGAGACCUAUACUUAUUUUGCAGCAUCAUCUUCAUCUCCAAUAAUGUGCGCACUUGGACAACAAGGAAUUAUAUCACAAACAGUAGAUGCUCAAUGGUUUCUGGUGCACUACCACAGAGAGUGCGGGCGACAUCCACACCCGGCGGCUGAGACUAACAAGAUCAAACACUGCAGCAUAAAAACCUCAAACAUAACAAGAUCAAAACACCAAAUGCAACCUUCGCAGAAAAGAAAAGACAAACAAAGAGCGCCUAAUCCUCUCAUCUCACAUCCUGUCCACACCCAUUUCUUUCCGAGCAGGGUGUCGCGCUGUUCAGUUAAGAGCUGUUUGGAAAAGCACGGAGCGAAUAGCUAAAGCAGUUGCCGCCACUGGGCCAUCCAAACUGCCUCCUCAUCCCAGCAUUGAGAAACCACAAGAUGUUACGGCUAUACCGGAGAAUUUCGUUGCAGGAUAGAGAGGUUCUGGAUCUCUGAUAAAUCAUAACCUGAUCAAUCGCCAGUCUUCAUCGCCUGUUUGCACAUCGAAUAAUAAAUUGGUAACCCGAAAAGAGAGAAAAGUAAUGGCGAUGAUAAGGUAUUAGAUAGAAGGAUUAAGGCUCAGAUUCACCUUUCAUUUACUAGAAAGAGAGAUCCUCCUCUCCACUCCCCAUGCAUGGCUGCAGCAUUUGCCAUGGUGCCAUCCAAGCUGCGCUACCGAGUUGCCGUCAAAUGCUUUCAUUUUAGAAUUUCACAGUAAGAGGAUAGAGAAGUAUUCAGAUCUCAUAGAAGACGAAACUUCUACCAGGCCCUCCUCUUAGAUGGCGAGAAAGUCUUCAUCGUAACAGCAAUUUCAUACAGGAUCAGAAAAUGCUAGGGGUGCAACCGGGGCAGAUCCGGACGCGCGAGGGGUCCCCCACCUCACACCGCAGUUCCUUGGCGCGUCAGGGCAGAUCUAUUUUUAUCUUUAUCUUUUACCCCCACUUAACACUUCAUUUGGGGCAAAAGCGAGUAUUUGGCAUAUUGGGACCGAUCAAGGGAAGGAAGGGGCCCUGCCUACCACUCCAUUUGCUCACCGGAUCAGGGCAGAUUUGGGACAAGUUUUUUUUUUGGGGGGGUUUUUAUUUUUGGGACCCAGGAUUGGGCGGGAUGCUAGGACUUAGGAAUUUUCUCCAAGAUUUCCCUAGCUUAAGUCCGUAAUAGGGAGCUCUAUCAACCCAGAUCCAUUUGCAUCACUAGUAAACGCCAGCUAGGGGAAGGAAUCCGACAUCAUUACCUCUUUGAAAACGGAUUAUGAAAGAAAAGGGGAAUCACCAUACAGUUUGCUAAAACUUUUGUAUGGAGCUCCCAAUAGAGGGGGUCGGCUUCCGUAGAGGCAAGUCCAACAUCACAGCAGCAAACCAAACUCCAUCAAGAUCAAAAACUAAAAGAAACUUUAUUAAAAGACAAAACGUAAACUAAACGAAAUCGUAAAAGAAAAAAGAAAAUCUCAAUAUAUGGUUGAGAAAAAAAGAAAGGAGAAAAUCCUCAAUAAAAUGGCAGCACACCAAAAGUGCAAAAGAUAGAACGGAUGAAUAAAGAGAAUUUUGUUAGAGAGAUUUUGGAUCUCUGAUAAGCCAUCACCAGUAUCAGUUGUCCAAAAGCAAGAUGAUGGUCUCAUUGAUCAUCAUCAAUACUUAAUUUGUAUGGGUAAAAUGCAUGGAUAGCCUAGCCUCUGUACUUUAACAAUAUUCCGACUUGGUCCCUAGGAAGGGGUUUUGCAUUUUGAAACUAGAGUCAUCGGUUCUAGAAGAGAUAAAAAGGGAGAGCGUAGCAGGCGGCAAACCCUUCCGAAGAACACCCAAUCCUCCGGUGAAGAGGCACCCUUAGUUGAAUUGUAGGUAAAAAUGUAUAGAACUUAUCUAAAACAUGGCCAAAUUGACCUAUUUUGAGAAGAUUGCUUAACCAGCCUACCUUUAAGGCCUAGUUAGGAAAUGUGUUGACCAAGAGUACUACCCUAAAGUGCAAUGGGAAAAUAUUGUGCUUGUUUUCUAGAGUAAUAACAUGAGAAAAAUAGUUUUGUUGCACUUUUAUCUCAAAAGAAGAGAUGUGAUUGGCUUGGACAUAAAUGAUACGGUGUAGCUGCUACAUAAAAACUACCUCCCUGUUUAGAGUAUAAAAAGGUUGGCACUUAGACAAUGGACUUGUCGAAUUACAACUCCAUUUGUGUUGUGGGGCUAGCUCUAACUCAAAAUUGAUUUUUAUUGGUCCUAUCUAAAAACAGAGAUAAAUAGCUCCACAUGCUUCCGCUCCGAACUCUUUUUAUUGUAAAGUGGACAUUUGGUCGGAUGCAAUUGUAAUUACAGUGUAGUUAGAAUUUCCUGUAGUUGACAAUGAAACAAUUACAACUAAAUGUAGCUUGUUUGGUUGAAUACAGUAGACAACGCUACAACCAUAAAUAAUUUGUUUAGUUGCACACAAUUGAAAACUGUAUCCACAAAUUUUAUCAUGGUAGGAUUACCCCCAAUAUAGAAGAAAAUUUAUAUAACUUUUUUCAUUUAGAAGGUAAGUAGGUAGGAAGGUUUACCUCUUAUAAAAUUGUGGUCAAUUUGGACGUAGCUCUUGCUGAUGCUGGAGAUUGCAACCCCAAUUUUACAAGAUAAAAGGAGAAAAAAAAAUUGAAAACAUUUUUAAUUUUUUUGGACAUUCUAUAGCAUAAAAACAAGAUGUUUUUAGCCACAGUCAAAAGUUUCAAAAGCCCUUUUACUCUUCACUCCAAUGCUGUAAAAUUCGAGCACUAAACCACCGCCGGAGAAGCAUUCAUAAGAAGAGUCCGACGAUGAUGCUUCCGGAAACACCACAUAGGUGGUGCUUCCAAUUUAUUAACCUUCGAUUCAACCCUUUCGACCAUUUCUAACAUUUGGAUUAAUAUUAUUUCUCUAGAGAGACCGCUAAAUCCUAGAUUGACCACUAAAUCCUAACCCUACAAUCCUUAAUCCAAAGGCCAAAAAGUCGAAAGCAUCAACUCCUUUAUACCUCUAGAAGCCUAGUAGCUCUACACGCAUAAGUAUAAAAUUACCUGUUCUGCUUUGUGCCUGCGUUUGCCACAAACAUUUUGCGGCUACUCUUCAAUGGGCUCGAGAAAUUCGAGAUAUUAACAAAUAUUUAACAAAAAAAAUUAGAAUGAAAAUAACAGAAACCCUAAGACAUCAAAAGCCAAUACCAACAUCAGCAAAACCAAAUGAAUAAAUAAAUAAAUAAAAGCCUAGUAAAAUGGCGACUCAAAAACGAAUAGAAUAAAUUACAAAAAAAACUAUCACCAUUAGUAGUUUGCUUGAGAGUAGGGCUCAGAAACCAUCAUCGCCUCUUUGCCCAUCGAUCGAUCGAUCUAUCUAUCUAUCUAUCUCUAGAGAGAGAUAGAGAGGGUUAGGGUUUUGGCGUUUGACGAAGAAGAUGAUCAUCGGCUCUGUCGAGUAGAGAGAGAAGAGCACAAGGAGGAGGCAAACCCUUUCCCCUCCCCAACAAACACCCGAUCCUCUUCUUGUGCUCUUCCGAGAGCCUCACACUUAAACUAAUGAGAGUGUGGAGCGAGGAAGCCUCAAACCCUAGAUUUAUAGGGUUUGAGAGAGAGACAAUAGAUUUUUUUUGUUUUCUUUUGGGAAAACUUCAAAAAACCCCUUGUGGUUUCAUUUUUUUCAAUUUAGUACCAUGUGAUUUAAAAUGUAUCAAGUUAGUACCGUGUGAUUUAAAAUGUAUCAAGUUAGUACCUUGUGGUUUCGCACUUUCUCAUUUUAGUACUCUGUGGUUUAAAGUGUAUCAAGUUAGUACCUUGUGGUUUCGCACUUUCUCACUUUAGUACCCUGUGGUUUAAUAUUUCAUUCGGAAAAAAAUAAAAUCAUAGGAUACUAACUUGAUACAAAAAUAAAAUUAUAGGGUACUAACUUGAUACAAAAAUAAAACUAUAGAGUACUAGCUUGAUACACUUGAAACCACAGAGUACUAAACCCAAUCCCAAGUUUUGAUCCCAAUCCCAAAACCACCCGUUUCCACUUCUUGUUCCUGCGCUCCUACCAUAUUUAUUAUUAUUAAAAUAUAAACAAAAUUUCUAAUUUAUUUAUUUCUAAUUAAAUUAACUCUCCAACCUCCGCCCGCUACGCUCCGGCAGUCUAUAAUACUUGGAGGCAUCCUAUGGUGAACCUUUGCUUUUUAGCUGUUUCUACUUUACUAGCUAUUACUAAUCUGUGCGACCAGUGUUAUUAAUGUAGGUCCUGUUGCCUAUCCUCGUGAACUAGGGUCGGUUUCGACUCAUAUUUUCGGUGGUGUUGUUGUUAACAUUCACGUCGUUAUUUGUUUUUUAAACUACCAUUGCACUCUACAGUUUUUAUUUUUAUGUUCAUCAUAUAUUACUAUGAUUACAAAAUUUUAUUAAUUUUUUAUUGUAAUUGAAAAAAAAAUCUUUUUUGAGUUUUUUAGAGGUACACCAAAGUGUGAAAGAUUGAAAUUAUGGGGCACCAAAUUUCACAUAGUUUAAUCAUGGGAUACUAAAGUGUGAAAGAGUGNUGAAUUAUUCGGUUUAGCAUUUCUACAAGGCAUUAAAAUUAAUUUUAUUGUUUAAUAGCAUACACCCUUUAGAGUUCGAAUGUAAAAAAAUAUAUAAAUUUGAUAAAAAUUGUUCACCAUUUUUUUAAAACGAUAAAUAAUUCGCCAUGUAAUGCUAAUUUAAUAAAUAAAAAUUUUAAAUACUUAUAUUUACAAUUGAAAAAAUCUGCAAUUAGGAACACACUUCGCAUAUUUUAACCUUUCAUCCUAAGAUUCACGCACGUCUUUUUCAGUUUUUAUUAUUAACAAAUUAAAUUAAAAAAUAUAUGAAUUGCACAUUUGGUCCUCAAACUGUAAGACCGGUGACACUUUAAUUUUCAAACUGCAAUUUAUUGCAACUUUUUUACUUAAAUAUUUAAAAUUAUUACAAUCAAAUCCUAUAAUCCAAUUUAGCUCUAAACUAAAUAUUAACAUAACGCUAAUGUANAGCGUGCAGCUUGAGUUUGCGCGGGAAUUUCAGGUAACGAAUUCCUAUCUUAAAAAAAAAAUUGUUUUAAUUUUCUUCGGGUUUCUUAACAUUAGAUUGUUACAGAUAAUUUAGAUAAUUAGAUAAUUUAAAAAAAAAAAAAAAAAAAAAAAAAAAAAGAUCCACCUGCGGUUCAGAAUCAGAAUCAGAAUCAGAAUUGAAAUUAAGCCCAAAAUCAGUUUCACUUCAAUUCAUAUUUUUUGCAAAUCAAAUCGAUAAUUCUCACUUUGUUGCGUAAGGCAUGUGUUUGGAUGUUGGAAACACAUCGCUGCAACCACUUGAAUCUUGCUUUCCUCUUCCUUCAGAAUUAGUGAUUUAGAGGAUUUCAAAGAGGAUAUAUAAAUUGAAAUUCAAUGGAAAUAAAUUACCAAUAAGCAGCAGAUGAUGAAAAAUUUUCAGCUACUCAUGCAACAACAGCAGAUUCAGCAAAAAGUAGUUCCUCAAUGCAACGAAUUUCCCCGACUAAGCAGCGAAAUAUGCAAAAAGUAGUUCCUCAAUGAUUCAAAAAAGAUGAUAAAUUCAAAACAGAACAAAUAUUCAGAAUAGAAAAAGGAGCAAGGAAAAGACACCAACAUUGCAAAAUUGUAUCCGGGAAGUAGGUUCUGCCAUUAAGGGCAGUCCAAACAUAAUAGUAAAUUGAUAUUUUACGAGAAGCAAAUAUUUUACGGACCGCUGCAGUAACUUAAAAAAGAGGGAGCAAAAAUGGUUGCCUGAAAAGAACAGACAAGCCAAACCACACUAGACAGAACAGAGAAGAUGCAGGAUGAACAGGAUGAACAAAUAUAGCUUCAAAACCUCACAAAUUUAACCGAAUAGUGUGUACAAAUCUCUAAACCAAGAAUCUGCACCCAAAAUAUUGGGAUUAUAUUUCUCUGGGUGGGCCAAAAUCAUCAUUUGCCUCGAAAGAGAAACAGGAAAAGAGCUGAAAGACAACAACAACCACCAACAACACCACCACCACCGCCGACCGGAGCAGGAAGGAAGAAGUGCCUGAGAGAAGCUACCAAAUUAAAGUAAGCAAAAAGCUGUUCUAACCCGGCAUAUUCUUCUCAAGAAAAGCUCGAAAUUGUCGUUACGUAAAACAUAUAUAGACUGCUUUCACAAAUUGCAAGGAAGCGUAGCAUGACAAGCCUCAAAAUCGAAGGAUCUCCCUAGAGGAUCAUUACUAGACAUUAAAUCAGUGUCUCACAUACAAAUACCUUAUCAAUUUUAUUGUUUAGCCAAUCGUAUCUAGCGCAAUUGGCUAAAGACCUGAUGGUUGGCACCCGAAGUCCCAAAUUCAAAGCCUAGUUGCCUCACAUUUCCAACCGAGUACAUUUCUAAAAAAUAGAACGAAGUAGCUAGUUUGCUACUUUUCUCUCAAUUUUUUUAAAAAAAUUACUAUUUAGAAAUUUAAUAAAUUAUUUUAUGAACAAAAUUUAAUUUACGAGAAUUUUUAAGUAAAAAUCUAGAUCCACAACAAACCUGCAAGAGGGAAGACAGGAUUUUCGGUUAAACAAGAUUAGAGUAGAUAUUAAUUGCCACAUGUCAGUUACUUGGCAUGCCACUUGGCAAAACGAGAAUCCUUCACGUUCUCUCAGCUUUUGCUUUCAUAUAUUUAUGUAGAAUUAAAUCAAAGCAUCGCUUACUCGCUCCUGCUUCCAUCUAUAGAUCAAAUAGGAAAGGGCAAAAAAGAUGACAGGAGCUGCAGGUAAAGGAGGCUCAGAUUCGCCUUUGAUGCAUCAGAGAAAAGAUCUCUCUCCCUCUCUUCUCUCAUGCAAGUCCAACCCCUUCUACACGUUAAUGGCGGCAGCGGUUGCGUUCGCACCAUCCAUGCUGCUUUGCCAUCAUUAGAAGGGAUCUGAGAAAAGCAUGAAGAGAAGAGACGGAUUCGCAAUCCGAGAUUAACUAACAAUCAGCUAUGCACUGAAUCAUCGAUCAUCAUCACCUCCUCACUGCUAUCCUCUUUCAAAUCAAAUCUGAUUAUAGAUCACUUGAAUUCAGUUCACAAAAACUCAAUUGAAUUCAAAGCUGUAAAAUGCUCAAAUGUUUGCACUCAUUUUGAACACCCCGAAAGGAGCUAUAGGGUGAGAAAGGAGAGGAGAUAACACCCAUUCGAUCCAGCUUCCAAAAUGUAGUUUUGCCAGAUGAGUGGUAUCAAGAUUUAAACAGAGUCUGAACACCAAGUUGGGGUUAUAUCCCAUGGGAGGGGCCAAAAUCACCAUUGCCGUUGGAAAAGGAAAGGCAAACCUUUAAAGAUGAUCACUAACAGCAGGAACGGAAAGAAAAAAAAGAAGCAAUGAAAAGGAAGGAUAGUGAUAUUGCCAGAGCAAGUAAUGAAGGACCUUGAAAUGUGCUCUGAAUGUAGGUACUAAAGGUGCAAGGCUGCCAUUCCAACCUUCCAGCAUCCAUCACAGAAGCUCGAGAAUUACAUAGGGUGAUGUUUGGUUUCACAUAAAACUGCUAUUGACAAGUUGCAUCCUUGAUUUUCAGGAAAAGAAAAUGAAGAGUGAGAAAGAACGAGACAGAUAAGUAUUUUCAGUUUUCAGUCUGCAUUUUCUGCAGAACUACUUAAAAUACAAAAAAGCCUUUUCCAGAGUAUUUUACACACAGAAAAACUUCAAGAGCUCUUCUCACCCCAAAAUAGUGAUUUUGGGCCUAAUGUCUAACGACUCAAUCCACCAGUUAAGCAUGCUAGGGCGAGAGUAGUACUAGCAGGCUUGGUUGUCACAUUGGGGGUGGAGCAUCAAAGAGGAUUACCAGCCAGAAGUGUAAGCAAGGUCUCGCAUCGCCUGAUGAUCGGGAACAUGUGGGUAAAUGGACCUAACAAAGAUGCUGAGAUCUAAAUAGGGGAAGUUUGUGAUGCCCCAACGGUAGUCCCAUAUCAGACGGAAAAAAGAUUAUGCAUGUACAUAUAAGGGCUAAACUCUCUAGUACUAACAACUUAGGCUUAAGCAUUUUGAACUAGUAGUUUAGACCAGGUAAGUUAUUAGUGCUAGUGAACUCUGUAGCAUUAUGCUUGAGCACGGCUAUGAACAUCCCCGAGUGUUCCCAACUGUAAACUGACGAGAGAAAGGAAUAUCUUCUCUGGAGCAGGCAGAGCAGAACAGAAAAGGAGGAGUUUUAGAAUCAGAAAACAGAACUAGCAGCUCUGAAAUAGAAUGGAGACAGCACAGGAGGCGGCAAACCCUUCCCACGAACAACCAAUCCUCUGGUAAAGAAACACUCUCCGACUAUGUAAAUUGCACCAAGAGUCAUCAACUUUUUAAUCUUACUUUCAGCUUGAUCUCCAUUUCACAACCUUAAAAUAGAACACUUCGAUAGGAUCGAGUUCUGAGUAGACUUGCUGGGAUUUCAGCUUAGAAGAAUUCAGUUGAAUCCAUUUAGAAAUGACCAUAUGUUUUGAAGGAGUAAAAGAACUCCCAAAAUUCUUCAUGCAAAGUGAAAGAAUCUAGACACCGUCAAAUCAAGAUUUGCUUAAAGCCAGUUGGGUAAAAUUCCAAAGAAUUGGCAGGGAAAAAGAGGGGGGCGGGGAAAGGAGGGGGGGGGUUGUGUUUGGGAAUUAGCAAUCCAGAACAAGAAAUACAAAAAAAGAUACCAAAAGUGAACAUUUCAAAUAGUAAUUUGCAUGCAAAUGCAAAUGCCAAAACAGCCAUAGAAGACAUAAGCAUCAUAAAAUUCUACUUUUCUGAAAAAAUUACAACAAAUAGAAAACAGAGAGAGAGUAAACGGAGAAUAACAAAUAUACCAGUAUUAGUAUAGAUAAAUACAUCAAGAUGAAAAACCGAAAGAAACUUCAUUAAAAACAAAAGCAUCAUUAUUAAAACCACAAAAUUAUUACAAAAAAAAGAUAAGCAUGGUGUUUGGACAGGAAAGUAUGGCUCAGAUUCACCUAAGAUCAAUCAAAAGCAAAAAGUUUUUAGUCCGACAAUCCUACCAUGCAGUUUGAUAUGACCAAUUUGGUCUGAGGCACCACAUUAAGAUUCUGGUCUGAAAGGGCGUGGGUUCAAAUCCCAAUCCCAACAGAAAACAACAUUUCCGCCCACUGAGAUCCUUGUUAGUGGGUACUGCAUUGGUCAAAUACCAGGUCGCAGGUUCCAGGAUGUCCACAGACCCAUUACAUGGCUGAGCUCUAAGAUUGAAAGGGAAGUCUUCUUUGCAACAGAUGGACCAUGAAUCCAUGAGAAGUUAAAAAGAAAGAGGCAGGGUCUUAGAUUUUCGAAACAGUUAAAUUCUAUAAGGAGCUCCUUAAAAAGGAGGAUGGCUCCACUUGAGAACCCGUUAGAUAUGACUCGAAAUUUGGUCAUCGGUGUCGAUUUUGUCCCUAAUUUGCCGACAGCUUUGCGGUGCGACAAAUUUUGAAAAAUGAUUUGGAAAGGGAAAAGUGGAUGUCAGUGGUGGAAGCGGGGGACUCGGGCUGAUCCAAUACUAAAAUAAUUCGCUAAGAACUUCUCUUUUUUUUGCCCUAGAGGCAAUACAUUGCAUUGUACUUCCAUAAUAUUGUACUCCCUUAGGUAUAGUUUGGUUUGGGGAUAAGCAAAAAGUGGGUAUUCUAGGGAUAGGUAUAAAUUGAGGUAUAAGCGGGGAUUAGAUCAAUUUUGCGUUUGGAUGAAAAUUGGGUUAUUCUUGAGAAUAAGAAAAAUAGUGUUUGGUUAGGUAAGAUGGAAUAAGAAUUAAAGUGGGUAGUUAUAAAUAAAAAAUAAUAAUAUUAUUCUUUUCUUUAUAUUAGAAUUUGAAUUUUUAUAUUUUAUAUUUAUAUUUUAAAAUUUAUAAUUUUAACUUUUAAAUUUUAAAUUUUGAAAUUAAAAUUUAAAUUUAAAAUCUCAAAUUUCAAAUUUUAAAUUUCAAACUUUAAAUUUAAGAUCAAAUUUAAAUUUUAAAAAAAUAAAAUAUCAAAAUUAAAUUUAAAAUUUAUUUAAAUUUUAAAUUUUAAUUUAUUAUAAUAUUUAAAUAUAAUUUAUUAUAAAAUUUAUUACAAUAUUUAAAUAUAAAUAAUAUGUAUUAAUAUAGUACAAUUAAUAAUUUUAUAAUAAAAAUAAUGUAUUAUAAUAUAUAAUAUAUUAUAUUUAUAUAAUUUAGUUUUAAUUCAUUUUAUAAUUUUAAUUAAGUUUAAAAUUAAGCAUUGGAAUAGCACUAUUCCACCAAAAUGGUGGAAUAGUAAAAAGCUUGCUAUUCCGGGAUAACCGGGAAUAGCAAGCUUUGGUCGGGAUAAAAUAUCCUGGUAAAAAAUGACCCCGUUUGGCGGAAUAGCGGGGAUAACUUUCGUUAUCCCGUUUAUCCCCCGAACCAAACGGGGCCUUAGUGAAGUACUCUUCUUUUUCGCCCGUGAUUUUUUACCCUACAAAGGGUUUUCCAUGUAAAUCCUUGUGUUCUAUAUUUUCUUUUUCUGUUUUGUGAUUUGUCUACUUUGCGAUCGCCGUUUCUCGUUUCUGUUUGUGCGCUCCUCAUAACAGAACCCAACCCUGUCCGAGAAAAAGGCUUUCUAUAUAAAACUCAUAGCAUGCAGAAUGUUGCAUUGAGGAACAAAAUCUUCCUUGUGACCUUUAAACCAUGAGUAUCAAAGGAGAAGAGGAAGGAUUUACAUUUGAUAUAACAGAAUCAUCAGCUCUAGAGGAGAUGAUGAUCACAGAGAUCAAAGGAGGUGGCAAACCCUUCCCAAGAACACCCAAUCCUCCAUGAGCCUCAUAUAAGAGCAAGAAGUCAAGGCCUUCUAAUUCCAGAGGAGAAGUCUAGCAAAGGAGAAAUUAUUGCCUGCACCUGGUGCAUCCGGAAAUUCUAUACAUCCUGUCUUGCCAACAUAAACUUCACAGUAAUGAUGUUAAGUGAAUGCCGUGGCGUGGGGUCGUGCUAAGCACUUUCCGACAAAAUAAGGCACAAUGCAUGCUGUACUAUGCCAAUGUGUGCCUUCUACAAAAGUAACUUGGACACACUAUGGUAUAAAAAUAUAUACAUCUUUGGCACCGGCGUACUCUAAUUGCUUAUCUACUAAUUUAAAAGAAGAGGGUUUUGCUAUCGACAGAAGGGUUGUAUCAUGUCAAUAUCUUGUCGACCCGCUACGGCACUGGCGGUGACAAUGGCCACUUAAAUCCUUGCUUCACAGGAUAUAAUAUGACUCACAUAGAACUAAGUUCAAGAUUACCCUUUCAAUAGUCGAUGUGCUACCCCAACAUAAGAUUCAGCUGCUCAAAGGCCACAUGCACAAAUCAAUCAUCCAUGCCUCAUAAAUUUAUGUGCGUAUGCAUGUGUGCUUCUAUGUAUGUUAUUAUUAUGCAUAUUCCAAACAUAUAUACAUAUAUACACAUACAUAUGAGAGAGAGAGAGAGAGAGAGAGAGAGAGAGAGAGAGAACCCUGAUCGACCCAAGUAGGGAGAGAUCUCUCAGAUUGGCAAAAAUCAACAUUGCCUCUGAAAAACAAAAAGGAAAAGAGCAAAAGAGAAACCCAUUAACAGCAAUAAAAAAAGAGGCAAGGAAAAGGGGACUAAAAUUAAAAUUAACAGAAGCUUGAAAGAUAUCAUAGAGUUCGGACAAACCACAGUAAAUCAAAGCUCAGAGGCUAUCAGUAUAUAAAUAAAGGACAUAAAUAAUAUUACCAACAAAUAUAAGAGCAAAAAGCAAUAAAAUAAGAAAAUAUAGACCUGACAGUUCUGUAACAAAACCAAAAAUCCCACUGAUACAAAGGAUUAAAUAUAUAAAAGAAAUUCUCUGCAAGUGUAUGUUUCAAGAAAAAAAAGGGGCAAACAGAUAAAGAAAAAUGAUGAAUAGAAAAGGAAAAAGAUUUGCGAAGGGAGGCUCAGAUUUGCCUUUGAUCAGUCACAUAAUGAGUCAAUCCUCUCCUCUGCCCUUGUCCAAACCCAGCCCCUAUGAAAAACAAAUGGCUGCAGUAAUAUUAUCCAAUCCGCCUUGCCAUUUUAACUUCUAAUAGUUGAUCGAAGAAGAAAACACUCCACGUAUCCCCCGAAAUGGGGGCUAACUAUAGAAGAUUACUACUAAGGGGAUCUCAAUAAAGGCUAAAUUACAGAAAACACCCCUGCACUUUUGCAACCUGUAUCAAUUAUCCCUCAUAAAAGGAGACUUAGAUUCAUUGUUGUUGAUCAAUCAGAUGAAAAAAUAUGCCUCUUCUCUCCUCUUGCCUAAAUCAUUUCCCUCAGGGUUAACGGCUGCAGCAGUUGCACUGGUACCAUCCAUACUAUCUUUGCCAUCAUAAACUUUAACAAGGGAUCGGAAAGGAGCUUGAGACAAAGCAGUUGGAUUAUAAGAUUACCUGCUAAUGAGUGAUACACCAUCACCAGCUUUGCUUGUUCACCCCAAGCUGAUGCGCUCAUCAAUCAUCAUCACCGCCUCCUUAUAAUCACUCUGCUCAGAACCAAAUCAGAAUAGAAUUCUUUUUUUUUUUUUCCUUUUUACUGUAAGACAUUGUGAGUCCCUAUGCAGUUAGAAUAGGACUCAUUGAAUGCAAUUCAAAAGUAAACAAUUAAAUUCACUCAUUCAUUUAUGUGGUUCAAAAUGAAAGGAAGUAGGGAUGUAAACGGGUCGGAUAACAUCAGAACCAUGAUCUGGUUGGAACCGCGAUCUGAUUACAGAGCUCCCAUCAGAACCGCGAUCAGAUCGCGCAUUCCAAUUUGUGGAGGGUUCCCAAUCUGUAUAGCAAAAAGUGACAAAGACAAAUAAAAAAUAAAUAAAUAAAUCAAUCAAAUUGGUUGGUUAGAUUACCUUAAAUAAGUGUGUUUUAAAAGAUAGAAUAAUACGCAAAAAUCAUACCCCAAAAAAAGAAAGAGCUGGUGAUUAGAAGAGAAAUUCACAACUGGAGAUAAACAAAAGAAAAAUAUAUGUAGUAACAAUAUGUUAAGUUAUAUACACACACGCACUGGUUAUUCGAUGAGAACCAUGGUCGGACAAACGAUCUGACUAAUCCUAACCACAUUCUUGAGAAACUAGCAUACUGCAUCCCCAUAUACAGCAUGCCACAUCGUAUCCCAUUACCAGUAGCAUUGAUCCAUCUAACCUUGCUUCUGAACACAGAGUUUGCUAGACAAUGAAUUCAAAUUUCCUUAUCCAGCUUGAACUCAGGUGGGAACAAGAUUUCUAAACGUAAUUCGAAUGUGCAAAAGCAAAAUCCAAGCGGAAAUUUUAUUCGAAAUGGCUACGAUGAAGUAUUUAAGUGCCGAUUGGCAUGGGCCGUAUCGUGCCGACAAGAUAUAUGCACGAUACAGCCACUAUGCCGAUGACACAACUCAACACCCUCUAUUCUUUAAAUUAGUAAGUAAUUUUCUCAAUAAAGUUCAAAAGAUUUGAUAAAGAUAUAUAAUAAACGGUUAGAAUAUUUUGUUGCUAAAGAAAAUAAAUAUUUCAUGCCAUUGUGGGUUGGCACACAUAUAUUUUUUGUGACCGGCAAGCACAGUGCCGUACCGUGCCGGCAAGUUUCCGGCACGAACCCGUGCCACAGCACAAAUCAUUGGCUAAGAUAUUCCUAGGAUUAGCCCAAUGUAUAUAAAGGAAAGGUCAAGAAGGCUCAGAUUGGCUCACAUAUCAGGACAUGACGGCUUUUGGGCUCCCCAAAGUCUUGGAACGAAACACUGUUCUUAGGGACACGUUGUCUCUCCAUCUCCAGUUGCAUUAAAAGUGGGACAAAAUGGUUGCCUGCACAAGGCAGGCCAUCCACAAUUUGCCUUGCCAACUAUUUUGAAGUUCAAUGCAUCAAACUGCAACACAAAGAAAUACACUUGCCUAAACAAAAUUUCAGGAGAAAGUUCAGUGACCGAUGGUGCGAUUUACCCAAAGCAAAGCAUCAACACGAAAACCAUGAACCCCCAAACCCUAAAUUCAAUAUCUAAACCAACAAGGCUGCAGCUAGAAAUGGGGCUAUAUCCCUUCAAGUGGGCCAAAUCAUCAUUGCCUUUCAGAGGGAGGGUCAAAAUAAGAAAAGCCGAUAGCCAACAACAAAAAAAGAAGGGCCUGAGAAUGAACUUCUAGAGGGAGACAAGAACCACGAGCUCUCACUCUAAGAGAGACAGGGCAGCGCUUCCAAGCUUCCAUCUAGUCCUCACAAAAGUAGAUAAGUCACCAAAGUAAUGCUCAAAAUUUCAUGUUUGAGACUAACUUACGAAGCUAAAUGCAGUAAUAAGAUUUACCCAAUUUGGGGUAAAAUGUAUGGAACUAACCUGAACUAUAGGCCAUUUUGAAAUAGGCACACUUUCUCAAAGAGAAUAAGUGUAUUUGAGCACCAUCACAGGCUCCCAUGAACUCACCCCAAUUCAAUGAAGUACAACCCACAUUGUACAACAGUGCAAGGGACCCGUAGCAUACUCUUCAGAAACAGUGAUGAACUCACCAAUCAUCACUGUUUCAAGCUAUAGAACAAACAGGGAACUUGCAGCAGUACUGAGUGAAAUAGGUAUCUUUUUGUCAAAGAGGAGAAAUGGAUGAACUCACCAAUCAUCAUCACCUCCUUAUUAUCAUGCUUGCUAUUUUAUGUGUGUGCGUAUGAGAGAGAGAGAGAGAGAGAGAGAGAGAGAGAGAGAGAGAGAGGAGAGGAGAGGUGGGCUUUUUAAGAGAUCGCCUGCUCAGCCUGGAAGGGGUCCCAAUAUACUGCGUCUUGCAGAGGCUGAGAAUGAGGCAAACACUUCCAGAGGCAAAAAACCUUUAAUGUGUUACUCUGGGAUCCCAAGGGAGAUAGGCCCAGAUUUCAUAUCAGGGAAAUAUUUUGGCUAGAAAUACUUCGGCUUCUCCAGGGCACAAGAAAUUGCCUGCACCGGGUGUAUAAGUACAUCUCAUACAUCGCACUGCCAAAAUCAUAAGAUAGAGGCAUUAAAAUCAGAAGUAGAGGACCCAAAAUUUGCAUUGCCAACUGUUCUGAAGUUCAGUGCUUCAAACUGUAACUCACAAAUGAACUUGUUUAAAUGAAACUUAGCUGAAUGUUCAAUGACAAAUGGUGCAACUUACCCAAAAAGAAGCAUCGAAUCUGAAACACAGAACCAAAACCCAAAACCCUAUAUUCAACAUUCAAACCAACCAGUCUGCAUCCCAAACUAAAUUGACUUUUAAAAAGAAGGUAAAGGUAAGAAAAUAUGAUGGCCAGCAGCAGGACAAAAUAAUAAAAAUGAAACAAUUAAAAAGAAAAGCCUAAUAAUGAAUUUGGAAGGGACAUCGGAACCAUGAGAUCUGGCUUCAAGGAAGGCAGGGCAACCCUUCCAACCUUCCAACCUUUCCUAACAAGAGCCACGAAAUUUUCUAACUUAAUACUCAUAUAUAUCCCAUUUGCAACAAACUUGUGAACUUUGUUCGACCAUUGAUAAAAGGACCUCAAAAAGAACCCAAGAACCUUGAAAAAAAGGAUUAAACAACAAGAGAAUGAUGCUAUCGGUAACUCAGGAGAAGAAAAGGUUCACUGCAUUCAUGAUUUCACACAAGAUUGGUAACAAUUUAAUCAAACAUUUCAAAGCCGAUGCGUUGAUUUCAUAAAUCCUCAAGAAACAGCAAAGGAAUGUCAGGAAAAAAAAAAAAAGAGAAUAAGAAAACCCUUUGUAUUGUCUGAAAUCUGAACAGCAAAUCAGAUAAGUGGAAGAAUGUUAAUCUCAUUUGUAUCACCACGACCUUCUCCCACUGUCCCACCAUAGAAUAUCUCAUUAAAAACGGAGAAAAGAACACAGCAAUAGCAGCAAUACGUCGAAAAGAAAAGGAUUUUGUUAAAAACAUCAAUAUUCCACUAUAGCAGACUGACCUUCUAAGAACAAAACCACAAUAAAGCCACAAGACUGUGUGUUGGAAAUGGAAAGAAGAAUCAUAAUACUUAAAAAUUGAAGGGACAAAAAUUAAGAAAGGACUUCACGAAAAAUGUCGCAGAACCAAAGCAAAAACACUUGUUUAAACAACCCAAUGAAAGAAAAAAAAAACUCCAUAGAAUCUCAGCAAUAGUAAAAUAAUAGGGUUAAUUGCAUACAGCUCCCUGUAACUCCAAGAAGAAACACACACAUGGAAAUACAAUGAGAUUGGAGGAAGUGAGGCUCAGAUUCACCAUUGAUUGAUCAAAUAAACAAAUCUCCUCUCUCUCUCUCUCUCUCUCUUUAUCUCCCACGCUUCUUGUCCGAGUAAAACCCUUCAUAAGGGCAAAGGGCUGCAGCAGUUGCACUCAUGCCAUACAAGCUGCCUUGCCAUCUUGACCUUCAAAAUGGUAUGGUGUCAUCAAUCAUCAUCGCCUCCCCCUUGCAUACAUCAUUUCAACACACAUAUACAUACAUACAUACAUACAUACAUAUAUAUACACACACACACACAUACACAAGAAGGGGCAAGCUAGAGAGACUAGUCAAUCCGUCACCUCCAAGCUGCCGCAAAAACGUAAAUAAGGCGUUCACUAGCACAAAACCCUUAAAAAUGAACUCACUAAGAAUGUCGCAAAACCAAAGCAAAAACACUUGUUUAAACAACCCAAUGAAACAAAAAAAAACUCCAUAGAAUCUCAGCAUUAGUAAAAUAACCGGGUUAAUUGCAUACAGCUCCCUGUAACUCCUAGAAGAAACACACACUUGGAAAUACGAUGAGAUUGGGGGAAGUGAGGCUCAGAUUCACCAUUGAAUAUCAAAUAAACAAGUCUCCUCUCUCCCUCUCUCUCUCUCUCUCUCUCUAUUUAUCUCCCACGCUUCUUGUCUGAGUAAAACCCUUCAUAAGGGCAAAGGGCUGCAGCAGUUGCACUCAUGCCAUACAAGCUGCCUUGCCAUCUUGACCUUCAAAAUGGUAUGGUGUCAUCAAUCAUCAUUGCCUCCCCCUUGCGUACAUCAUUUCAACACACAUAUACAUACAUACACACAUACACAAGAAGGGGCAAGCUAGAGAGACAAGUCAAUCCGUCACCUCCAAGCUGCCGCAAAAACAUAAAUAAGGAGUUCACUAGCACAAAACCCUUAAAAAUGAACUUAAUAUACACAAAAUUUGUAAAUCAACAAUAAACUUCUCAACGGUUCAAGGGUUAAUUUUAUACAGUCCCCCAAAUCCGACCAUUAUUUCUAUUUCAACCUUUAAGUAGGCCAAAAUCAUCAUUGUAAAAGAAAAGCUAAGAAGCCAAGAAGGAAGCAAGGAAGAAUGGCUUGACAACACGCUUACAAUAGAGAUAAGAAACCAUGGGCUUCUAGUACGGAGAGGUAGGGCAGCCCUUCAAACCUUCCAUCCUUUCCUCACAAAAACUCGAGGAUUUUCAGUGUGUCGCUCAUGUAGUAUAUCUGGAUCAAAAGCAGAGGAACUUCCUAUAGAAUUUCUUUUUGAGCAAUGCUACUGAGCAGCAUACUGCCUCAAAAGUGGAGGAGCUAGGGAUGCCAAUGAGUUGGAUGAAUAUCAGUCCAACCCGGUUCCAAAUCCGAGUUUUUCCAGAUCCGUUCAGAUUUAUUAAACUAACCUGAAAAAAGCGCAAAACUAGUGGAUUUUUUAUGCAAAUUGGCAUUCCAUGAACUAGCCAGUUAGGUAUGAAGAAACUGAGAAGAAGGCUCAGAAUGGCCCGUUUAUCAGACACAACACUCGCUGGUUUUCUCAAACUAGAAGCAAGAAACAACAGGGGGCAUGGCUAUGUCCGGGAGUGACAGACUGUUUUUAGGCUCACCAUCCAUUCAGCAUAUCUUUUUUACUUCAUAUCUAAAGAGGCGAGCAAAUGGUUGCCUGCAGAAGGCAGACCAUCCAAAUUUGCCCAAAAAGUUUAGGGACCAGCAGUGCAAUUUACCCAAAUAAAGCAUUAAGAACUCGGACCAUGAACACCCCAAAUUCGAAAUUCGAGAACUAAACCAGCAAGUCUGCAUCCCAAUUUAGGAUAGUAUCCCCUUGGGCGGGCCAAUAUCAUCAUUGCCAAACCAAAAGAACAGCUGAUCACCGGCAACUGGAGCAAAAAAAGAGGAAGAUGCUCCUAAUAACGACAGUGCAGGGCAGCCUUUCCAAUCCCCAAAGCUCACAAACAUUUAAGGGGCUGUUUGGUUCAACAUUCGUAAUAUUCCAGGAAUGCUGUAUGUUUUAUAUGUGGACUAGCAAGUUCGUAACAUUGAUGAUCAUCUAAGAUGAUUACAUCAAUAUAUAUAUAUAUAUAUAGAAUUAGGCUACUAUUAUAUAUAUAUAUAUAUAGAGAGAGAGAGAGAGAGAGAAUUAUGCUACUAUACUAUCGAUAGUACUAAGCGUUUGGUGCUAUCGAAUUUUUGACCGUUGGAUUAAAGGAUGUGCAGUUAGGAUGAUAGCAGCCUCCUAGGGUUGAGUGGAUGGUUGGUUGAAUAGAAUAAUCUAACGGGUGAAAAUGAUCAAAAUGAUAGAUCUAACGGCGGAAAACUUGGUAGCACUAAGUGCUUCGUGCUAUAUAUAAGAGUAUAUACGGUAUAUACGAUCAAAACAGCUAUGUAAUCAGUAACUUUAAUUGAGAAAAAGAAUAUCUAUUGAACUGUAUGAUAAAAUUUAUUUCAAGAAGGGGCAAGCUAGAGAGACUAGUCAAUCCGUCACCUCCAAGCUGCCGCAAAAACGUAAAUAAGGCGUUCACUAGCACAAAACCCUUAAAAAUGAACUCACUAAGAAUGUCGCAAAACCAAAGCAAAAACACUUGUUUAAACAACCCAAUGAAACAAAAAAAAACUCCAUAGAAUCUCAGCAUUAGUAAAAUAACCGGGUUAAUUGCAUACAGCUCCCUGUAACUCCUAGAAGAAACACACACUUGGAAAUACGAUGAGAUUGGGGGAAGUGAGGCUCAGAUUCACCAUUGAAUAUCAAAUAAACAAGUCUCCUCUCUCCCUCUCUCUCUCUCUCUCUCUCUAUUUAUCUCCCACGCUUCUUGUCCGAGUAAAACCCUUCAUAAGGGCAAAGGGCUGCAGCAGUUGCACUCAUGCCAUACAAGCUGCCUUGCCAUCUUGACCUUCAAAAUGGUAUGGUGUCAUCAAUCAUCAUUGCCUCCCCCUUGCGUACACACACACACACACACACACACACACACACACACACACACACACACACACACACACACACACACACACACACACACACACACACACACACACACACACACACACACACACACACACACACACACACACACACACACACACACACACACACACACACACACACACACACACACACACACACACACACACACACACACACACACACACACACACACACACACACACACACACACACACACACACACACACACACACACACACACACACACACACACACACACACACACACACACACACACACACACACACACACACACACACACACACACACACACACACACACACACACACACACACACACACACACACACACACACACACACACACACACACACACACACACACACACACACACACACACACACACACACACACACACACACACACACACACACACACACACACACACACACACACAUACACAAGAAGGGGCAAGCUAGAGAGACUAGUCAAUCCGUCACCUCCAAGCUGCCGCAAAAACAUAAAUAAGGCGUUCACUAGCAAACAACCCUUCAAAAUGAACUCACUAACAAUGUCACAGAACCAAAGCAAAAACACUUGUUUAAACAACCCAAUGAAAGAAAAAAAAAAACCUCCAUAGAAUCUCAGCAUUAGUAAAAUAAUAGGGUUACAGCUCCCUGUAACUCCAAGAAGAAACACACACUUGGAAAUACAAUGAGAUUGGGGGAAGUGAGGCUCAGAUUCACCAUUGAAUAUCCAAUAAACAAAUCUCCUCUCUCUCUCUCUCUCUCUCUCUCUCUCUCUCUCUCUCCCACGCUUCUUGUCCGAGUAAAACCCUUCAUAAGGGCAAAGGGCUGCAGCAGUUGCACUCAUGCCAUACAAGCUGCCUUGCCAUCUUGACCUUCAAAAUGGUAUGGUGUCAUCAAUCAUCAUUGCCUCCCCCUUGCGUACAUCAUUUCAACACACAUAUACAUACAUACACACAUACACAAGAAGGGGCAAGCUAGAGAGACAAGUCAAUCCGUCACCUCCAAGCUGCCGCAAAACAUAAAUAAGGAGUUCACUAGCACAAAACCCUUAAAAAUGAACUUAAUAUACACAAAAUUUGUAAAUCAACAAUAAACUUCUCAACGGUUCAAGGGUUAAUUUUAUACAGUCCCCCAAAUCCGACCAUUAUUUCUAUUUCAACCUUUAAGUAGGCCAAAAUCAUCAUUGUAAAAGAAAAGCUAAGAAGCCAAGAAGGAAGCAAGGAAGAAUGGCUUGACAACACGCUUACAAUAGAGAUAAGAAACCAUGGGCUUCUAGUACGGAGAGGUAGGGCAGCCCCUCAAACCUUCCAUCCUUUCCUCACAAAAACUCGAGGAUUUUCAGUGUGUCGCUCAUGUAGUAUAUCUGGAUCAAAAGCAGAGGAACUUCCUAUAGAAUUUCUUUUUGAGCAAUGCUACUGAGCAGCAUACUGCCUCAAAAGUGGAGGAGCUAGGGAUGCCAAUGAGUUGGAUGAAUAUCAGUCCAACCCGGUUCCAAAUCCGAGUUUUUCCAGAUCCGUUCAGAUUUAUUAAACUAACCUGAAAAAAGCGCAAAACUAGUGGAUUUUUUAUGCAAAUUGGCAUUCCAUGAACUAGCCAGUUAGGUAUGAANUGGCCCCCUAGGGUUGAGUGGAUGGUUGGUUGAAUAGAAUAAUCUAACGGAUGAAAAUGAUCAAAGGGUAGAUCUAACGGCAGAAAACUUGAUAGUAUCAGGAACUUGGUACAAUCGAUAGUAUAGUAGACGGACUAUAUAUAUAUAUAUAUAUAUAAUAUUUGUUUGCAAUGAUACAUAUACACCGAAAAGUAGGGCGUAAAUGUAUCAAACUAAGAUCUACAACCAAAGACGAGGUUGUAAUCUUACAACACCACCAUCCAUCCAGGGACCAAUAUUAUUAUUUCUUUUCCUCAUCACUCCCUUUUUCUUCUAGGGAGUAGUCUAAAUCCCGGGCCGGAGGGAGGGUCGUAAGAUUACAAUCCCUUUUUUGGUUGUAGACGUCAGUGUAUUUUUCCCAUUUUGAAGGAGACAUGCUAGGUCUUCGACCGAAAAGGAGAGGCACCCUUUCGCAAAACAUAAGAGAGAGUAGUAGCAGUAGCAGCAGCAGCAGCAGUAGUAGAAGAAGAAGAAGAAGAAGAAGAAGAGGGAGCAUAGCAUCACAAGGGGCAACAUCAGUUUUUGGGAACCCUGUAGCUUUUACUGGAAGAGGAGAAACGGCUAGCAGCUUACCAAGUAACAUCACCUCCUACUUAUUUUGUAUGCUAGAGAGAGAUCUAGAGAGAGAGAGAGAGAGCGUGUGUGUGUGUGAGAGAGAUCUAUAGAGAGAGAGAGAGAGAGAGUGUGUGUGUGUGUGUGUGUGUGUGUGAGAGAGAGAGAGAGAGAGAGAGAGAGAGAGGGUUUUUGAGGAGAGAGAGAGAGAGAGAGAGAGGAAACCCUUUGUUGUUGCGGAGGAGAGAGCACCAACUGGGCCUGAGGAGGAAGAGGAGCACUCGAUCGAUCCCCUCCCCUCCCACUGUGGAGGAAUUCUACACUGUCACACCUGCACCACGUUGUAUUCUAGAAUUUUUCCCCACUCUGCCGUUUGCCCUGGAACCCAUUUUCUGGUUAUAUAUUCCCGUGGGAAGGGAAAACACAGAGUCAAGCAAUUACAAGGCUUAAGCACUAUCAUCUAUACAUUUAAAUAAGGAAUUGAGUUCCUGUACUUUUAAUAGUAUCAUCAUGUCAUAUAUAUAUAUAUAUAACCUUUAAACUAAAAAUAUAUAUAAUUAGAAUGGUUAUAGUCUUCUAAAAUUAAAUAGAUAGUUGAUUAAAUAAUAUAAUUUAAUCAAUGAAAAUAAAAAAUAGAUAUAACCACAGAAAAUUUAUAAAUACCAAAUGCACGGUGCUUGAACUCCUAAAUAAACAUACUAUUAUUACUUGAUAUUCCUUCAAAGCUGCACAGUAAUUUUUCCUUUCUCCUCUCCCCCAUGCGCCUUUCUGUCUCUCUCCUAUGUGUGUGUGUGUGUCUCUCUCUCUCUCUCUCUCUCUUGGCGAUAUUGUAUCCCUUCUAUAUCUCUCUCUCCUCGAUCUUAUCACUUUUUUCUUUUUUCUCUCUCCUCCUCCUCCUCCCGUGCUUCUCGCUCUCUCUUUCCUUCAUUUGACCUUUCUUGUUCUCCCUGAUUUUUGACCGGUUAUAAUUGAAUUGAUCAUUAUGAUGAAAUUUUUUGUAACUGACUGUGUUUUAACUUUGCCUAUAGAGAUAAAUCUAGGUUAGAGGUGGGAUUGCCCUAACCUCUGAUGCGACCCAACUUUUUUUUUUAAUAGUUUUCUUUUAUUAAACAAGUUCAAAUUUAAAUAUCUGUUAUUUAGGAAUAUAAUUAGGGAUAGUCAAUUAUCUUGUUAGGAAAUGGUUAGAAGUAGUUGAACUCUAUAUAAUGUAACCGGGGCGUUACAAGAAACUAUCAAGUAAAAUUAUCUCUUUUCCCUCAUAUCUUGUCCCUACCUCUCAAUUUCUUAAUUCUCUGGAGGCUCGAUCCCCUCGAAGUGAUCGUUUAUCCCUAUUGAUACGGUAGGAUCGUAUCAACCUCUCUCUCUUCUCCUCUUUACCUUAUUUGUGCCUCUCUCUCUCUUCUUCUCCUAUGUCUUUCUUUCGCCAAGCUUUUUUCUCUCCUCCGAUACUGGUCUUUUUCUGUUUGCUCUUCUCGCCCUAUUUCUGGAGCAUUCAAAAAUUAUUAUUUUACAAAAUUUUAUGGGGAAUGCAAAAUAUAUAUUUAGAUUGUCAUGAGAUAGGGUCCCUAUAUUUCUCUCUUAUACUUCUACUUUGCUGGGAGAGAGAAAUGAUUCUAUUAAGAAGUGCUGAUUAGACAGUGACAACUAAACAUCUUUUAUAAUAAAUUCAUUGUGAACUUCCAUCAAUUUUCUUUUUAAUUUUUUUCUGCUACUUUUUAAAUAUUUUCUUUUUCUUAUCAAAACACACUGAACAUUCCUGCUGCAACUUUCAACCAGUUUUAAUAAUAUUUUUGAAAACAAUAAUAACUCAAGAUAGGAAUUUUUUUUUAAAAAAAAAAAAAACCUAAAAUACAGUAUGAUGAUAUAAUGAAACUAAGCCUAGAUCUUUUGACCCAAACCAGUCCAUUCCAGUAAGUGCCCUCUUAUACCCAUCCAUCCUUACAUAAAGAGUUACAAAUAACCCAGCAAAAUUUGCAACCAAACUACUAAUUGAAGAUACAAUGCUUGAAACUGAGAGGCUAUUUACAAUUUUGGAUACAGAGCUUGCAACAAGAACCGAAAUGUAAGGAUCUGGUAGAAACAAUUAAAAGAUUGCAGACCAACCGAUAAUAACAAAGAAAGUUCGCAAAAUCCUUGAGCAGUCUGUCAAUACAAGUACAUAGCACAAAACAAAAGCAUAGACUCCUUUUCCUUUCUUCAGUAUUAGAUCACGGCUCACUUCCGCCAUUGAAUGAUGAAAUAAGCUGAUCCCUUGCAGCUGAUUUCUCGCAUCCCUUCGUCACAUCCAAAUCAGACUGCUCGAAGGGCACCAUCGUAGCUGCCUUUGCCACUGUAAACUACAUAACUGUUGAGUUCAUUAAUCAUCGUCACAUCUGUAGAUGUAAAUAUACAUUUAUAUGUACAAAUAUACGUAUGUACGAAUGUACAUACACAUAGACAAAUGGAAGUAAUGCGGUUGGUGAUGUAGAAAUUACUAAGUACUAUAUCAACAUGACAUCAUCAUCCAGCUACUUAAAUGGGACUAUAAAGCUUGAUUGCAACAAUUUAUAGAGUUCGAGCAAAAAAUUUCAAUAAAUUAAAAUAUGAGGACAAAAGUGUCACCCACCUUACAGUUCGAGGGCCCAAGUAUAAUUUUGCCUAUACACAUAUAUGCAUAAACGCAAGCAAACAUAGACAAGAUGCAGGGAAAAGAGACAGAUUAACUGUUGCAAACACUGAAAGAGAGUUCAUUCCCGGAAAAUCCAUACAAAUGUAAGUGACAUACCCCGAAUUUGUUGAUGAAUAGGUAUUCGAGUCAGAAAAUCUCACAAUGAGAAUGAAGAUGCAAAAACUGAAAAAGGUGAAAAAUUGCAAAACAGAAAAAAUUAUAUUUUACAUGGGAAAAAAAACUAAAAUAAUAAGGACAAUUUCACACGCAGAGUACUGCUCUCAAUUUAGCUAACUUGAUUUUGAAGGGAAAAUGGAGGCUCAGAUUGAUCCAUCUAUCAAGCAUGACAAUUUAAUGCUAGGGAUAAAAGCACCAGAACCACCCGAACUUUAACCUGCUACCACUUGUUUUGGGGAUAAGUGCAGAAAAGACUGUCUAAACUUCAGCUACCUUGCACAGAAACCACAAGAAUAUUUACCAUUUCUGCAAAUUGCCAUCUAAACUUGAAAUUUUCAUACCUAGCACCCAAACAUUCAAAUAUAUUAUAUUAACAACUUUAUUUUCAAACAAGAAAACUCCCCUUUGUUUCUUGAUCAUCGAACUAAUAGCCAUUGCUCCAAACAGGAAAUCUCCUUGAUUCAUUGGAAACAAUCAAGUAAUUAGGAUGCCGAACAUAAAAUUUUCCAAAGUUUCAAUAAAUACCUGCAGAUGGGCAGAGCUUCAGGUAGCUCCGGUGCAGUUGGCCCUUAACUUUGUGUCUCUCCAUCUCUAUUGGACCUAAAAGCAGGGGCAAAUGGUUGCCUGAGAGGCAACAGACCAGCCAAAAAUUGCCCUGCCAAAAUUUUAGAACCAUAGCGCAUGGAGAGAAAAGAGCAGUAUGAACAGAGAAAACUUCGAAAAUCCAAAACCCUAAACCUCAUACGCUAAUCAGAUAUCAAAACUCAAGCUUGCAAGGCAAAAUUGUCAAAGCAAACCUUUCUACAGUGGACCAAAAUCAUCAUUGCCUCAAAGAGAGAAAAAAGAAAGGGUAUCCAGCAGCGAUAGCAGCGGCAGCAGCAAAGAAAUUAGCAAAAGCAUAACAAUGCUCUUAAAAUGGCAUUAAGCUUAAGAAUCCUUCAGCGUAAACAUUGUACAUCCUAUCAGAUCCAACAUGGUGGACAAGGACUAGGCAAUAAUUUCUCAGACAGCAUGGCUUAAUGGUCAACAAAAGUCGUGAUCAGCUUCUGUUGGGCUCCGCCACACUCUUGGUAGAAAAAGCCCCUAAGCCACCGUUUGGUUCGGGGUUGAGUAAAAACUUGUUAUUCCAGGAAUAGAGUUAAAUUCAGGGUUAAGGUGGGGUUAGAGUAAUUUUGUGUUUGGUUGAGAAUUGGGUAUAGUCUAGGUAUAGGUAAAAUAGUAUUUGGUUGGAGUAGAUGGGAUAAGAAGGAUAGUGGAUAAAACAGUGUUUUGUUUGGUUGGAGUAGUGGAGUGGGGUGGGGUUAGCUAACCCAACCCUCCAAAUUGGGUGUUUGGGAAUAACUUCGGGGUUAAGGGGUUAUUCCACCCCUUAACCCCGAACCAAACGGGUGCUAAGAGAACAGGACUCCUCAAAGUAUAGUAUAUGAAAAUACAGAAAACGAAUUAUGAAUUCUUCAUCUCAAAGUAUAGCAUGAAAAUACAGAAAACAAAUUAUGAAUUCUUCAAUGAGGCAGUGUAGAGAAAUAAAACGUGAAGAUUCAGAUUACCCCGUCAAUAGGACGAGAAAUCCAGAAUUUCCUCCAUAAGAUGAACAUACGGAUAGGCAAUGCAGAGACUUACAUAUGCACCAGGGUGUAGGCAGCAAUUUUUCACAGUUUUGCGACUUGCUAUCUCUCCAGGCCUGAAGAGUGGCUGCAAACGGUUGCCUGCUAAACACAGACCAACCGAAAUUUGCCUUGCCCCUCAAUACACAGGAGAAAAUAGCAGCAUAUACAAAACGUGCACCAAAACUCCAAACCCUGAAACAAAGUACGAAAUCCAGAUUCCAGGAUCUGCAUUAACAAACCUGCAGUCCAAAUCACGUAACAUCCUUCUGGGCGUGCCAAAGCUUCUACGAGAAAGAAAAAGAGAAUACAGCAGAACCAGCAAAGAAAGGCAAGAUGAAAGACAAAGAAAACAAGAAGAGGAAAGAAUAAGAGAAAGGACUCGAGAUUCCAAAAGAAGAAUCACCGGCCAUGGGAGUGAUGAUAGAGAGAGCAAAGGAAGCAAAUCCAUCUCUCUAAUUCUCUUGAAAUCACUCCAAUGGGAAGAAUACACUACCACAGCCCACGACAUGGUGCAGGCAAUACUUUCUCCUCUCCACACCAUAAGAAUAAUAUGGAUAUUCGGAUCUACAGGGUGCAGGCAAUAAUUUCUCAUAGUUGUGAGGGACUCCAUACAUUUUUACAUUAAAAUAACUAAAAAAGAUAGAUUUCUUGAAAUAAAUUUCUAUUAGAUUAUAGAAACAAGUGCCUUCAAAAACCAUCAUGAUAACAACUAAACUAUAAAUUAUUGGCUAUUUAUUAUUAGCUAAAAUAAGUCCAAUUUCCUAUCCCAUGAUAAUAUGCCCAAAAGACUAAUAAGUUGAGUUGGAUAAGCCCAACAAGUUGAGGGAGACUGCAAUCCGCAAUACACCUAACAGCAAGAGGCCCAACAAUAGACAUAACAUCCAGGUGAUGCAAGUCAAGUCGAAGCCGGUGAGCGCUAUAGUUGAGCCCUUAAGUGCGAUGGAUAUGCCCUUCCUAUUAGGGCUUGCUUUUUGGAUAGUUGGUUAGCGCUUACGAUCCAUAUCCAUAUACAUAAGUGAAAAAAAGGAAAAUAUUUUGUGAAAAGCAUUGAAUCCAAAACAAAUGCAUACAUCUCUUUGGAGAUAUCUGAUAAAAUGGAAUGAUAUAGAGAAGAUUAGCAUGGCCCCUGCACAAGGAUGACACGCACAGAUCAAGUCAAUGCACACGAUUUAAUCAUGAACAGAGGUACUCACAGUCCACUACACUGCCGCAAGCAAAUGGAUCUUUUACAACAAUGAAACACAUUUAGUUUGCAUUAGAAGCUCCAUUAAGGAAAAUACUGCAAAAGUCAAAGGGAAAGGUAUUACAAAGAAAUGUGAAGUCCAAAGCUCCGAUCAAAACAAGUUACAUGUUAAGUUUAUAAUUGGCAGUUAUUAAUAUUAUAGUAACUCUAUAGAGUUGAUCACAUUGCUGAAGAGAGGAUGAGAUUGCGAAGAUAGCUCAGAUUCGCCCUUUGAUUGAUCACAUAGAUCACUCCCCUCUCCGCCCAUUCAAAUCAAACACUUAAUGAUGAAUGGCUGCAGCAGUCACACUGACCCAUCCAAGCUACCUUGCCAUUACAGUCACCAUUUUCUUAACGUGUGUGUGUACCUAUGCAUAUGUAGGGACAUACACACACGCGCGCACACGCACACACACAAAAACAAACACGCACACACACACACACACACAAUAGGUCCGUCUUGCAUGCAUGCAAACAAAAACAAACACGCACACACACACACACACACACACACACACACACAUAAUCAAUUUAUCUAUCUACCCAUCCAACCAUCGAUAAUAUACAAGGAGCGGUAAAGAGUGACUACACUCAAAUCAUUGCCUGCCAAACUGCAGCAAGAAACACAAAAUGUGGUUUGUUACACAAAAUUUUAACAAGUGAACUUUGUGUGCUAAACUUGUAAUCUUUAAACACAUUUAGGCCUGCAAAGGUCGCAAUCAAGGGGUGAAAAAAAGAAAAAAAGGUGCCAAAAAGUUGUAAAACUAAGAAAAGGUAAACCUUUUAUUCAAAUGGCAUAAAGAAAAAGGCCAACUUAAUACAUAGUAAAAGGUAAAAUUCUUGUCAUACUCAACUGGCUAUAAGAGACAGGUGAGGAUGGCUCAGAUAUUGGCCCAUCAAUCAAGCGUAACGAUUGCUUAAACUCCUCAAUAUUGAAGUAAAUGACAAUGCUAUAAAAAAGUACAGGGCAAUCUUCUGAACCAACAAACUAUUUUUAGUUGUCACCAUUCUUUUCAUCUUCAUUGGCCUAAAAGUGGUUGCAAAUUGUUGAUUACGUAGAAGACCAGCCGAAAUUUGCCUUGCCAACAUAUUAAUGCCUUAGAUGACGAGAAAAGAGAAGUGAGCACACAAAGUGUCAAAACCCAAAACCCUAAACCCCAAAACAUAAACCGAAGAUUGAUAUGAAUGACUAAGCAAUUCCGCACCAUAAAAUUAGGAAAAUAUCCUUUGCUCAGGCCAAAAUCAUCAUUGCCUUGAAUAGAAUAGAAAAGAGAAGUAAAAGGUACCCAUCAGCAGAAGGGGCAAAGAGGGAAGCACGUCCUUAUAAUUAGGGGUGUUCAUGGGAAUCGAAGAAGCCGAAAGCAUAACUGAACCAAAGUUUCUUUUUUCUUUCUUCCCAACACAUGUUUGAUUCCAGUACACAGAAUUCCAAAAACCAGAUUUUCUGGUUCGGUUAUGUUUUGCAUUUUUUCUCCACAAAGUAAAAAAUAAAUAAAUAAAUAAAAAUCAGAAAAACAGUUAACCCAUCCGAACCAGUUUGGUUCAUAAACAUCUAAAGUUGUUCCAAUUCACUUUUCUUUGGUCCUUCUAGUUCAAAAGCAAAGCCCCUACCAAUCUAGGGUUUCAAGAUCACCAACCUUUAUCACAUCUCCUCCUUCGACGCGCCCCUUCUCCUCUGGUGGCUCCCCCACCAAACCAUCUCUCUCUCUCACUUAAAUCUUAUUCGCCACCUGCUCACUCUUAGACACCACCGUCAACACUGUCAAUGCCAAACAGGCUAACCAGUUUGCCAUACCGGUUGAAACCAAAAAACUGGUGGUUUUGCAACCUGUUCAUAUUUUGUCCAAACCGGUCCAGUUAAUUAGACUGGUUUCACCCCUACUUAUAAUGAACAUACAAAGUAGAUAUGAUUGCUUUGAGGAAAGUUUGUGAGGAGGCCUUCAAACUUUCAUCCACGCAACACAUAACUUGCUACUCAUAAUGAACAUGUUAGGGCAUAAAAAAUAUAAAAGUUUUUCCCUAACAUUUCCAAAUCAGAUCCAGGAAAAGGGAGAUAAAAAAAAAAGAGAUCCAAAACUAGAUUAAUAAGAAUAAAAAAUACCGAAGUGCCUGUGAAGCAUCUCCUAGAGAGAGAUUGCAACUAAAGGAAACAAGACAUGGCUUCAGAUCUAACGAAGUUUGCAACACAUCUGUAAACAAUAUGUGAAAAAGAAGCAUAAACACUCCCUAAAUCGACAAAAAAAGGAAAAAAGUACCUCCAAAUCGGAUCUAACUUCAGUUCGAAAACAAUGAGUUUUAGCGAGAGAGAAGUGAUUAAAUAUGUAUGCGAAAAUGGCGAAUGGAGGGAAGGAGAUCACAAAGAUUACCUGGGAGGACGAAGUAGUAGAAGAGGAUAGGUGUUCGUGCGAGAGAGAGAGAGAGCAGCGUGCAACAAUACUCGCCUUCAGUAAUCCAAUAUACGCACCCCCCCCCUCCCCCCUUCGGUAAUAUUUUCGGUGUAAUCUUACACCUUUUGUUAUGCUGAAAUACCAAAUAGAUUACAUAUUGAAUGAACCAAAUGCAGUAAUCCUGACAGGAUUGCAUGUAAUCCUGCAAGGAUAACCGAACCAAACGCACCCUUUAUGUAAUGCUUCUAAAUCAUGCCUGACAUGGUGGACCAAAUCCAGCCAAUAAUUUCUCAAAGAGUAGGGCUGCCAAAUUAACUUACUCUUGCAAACAGCUUGUGUGUAGCUUGAAGCUCAAUUGAGUUGAUUACAUUGGCUGCUUUAAGAAAUAAGCUGAGCAUGAGAUAGGAGUGAAAACGGAUACAAAUCAGCAAAGUAGAUAAAUCAUAUCUGCACCUAUAUUCCAUAUUUCUUUUCCAAAUUCUUUUGUUUUUCCCCCUUCUCCUGAAUAUGGAAACAGAAGAUAUGUGGAUUCUAAAGUUGGAAAUCAUAUUUGAAUAAAAAGCUACAGAAUAAAACUAAAACUUGAUAUAACAUAAUUGUACUAUAAAUAUGUAACAUAUCUUGAAAAAGUGUAAAAUAAAUCAAUAAGGAACUCAUACAAAGAUUCAAGGGAAACAAGCAAUAAAAGAAGAAAACCAGGAAGUAUGCCUCUCACAAAACACAAAACCCUCACACUACCAACAUCAAAAGGUUAUCUGGAAAAAAAGGAAUAAAGAUCAAGUAGCACAAGAAGCUACAGAAUGGUUUAUAAAAGUGGAAACUUCGACAGAUUAAACUCUCGAGAUUGAGACCAACUGCAACAGAUUUAAUGCCUUCCUAUUCAGUUUCAAAGCUAAGCAUAUCCAACUACAACAGAUUAAGCUCUCGAGAGUCAAGACCAACUGAAAAUUCACGUAAGUUCAGGUACCAAUAGUGCAAUUUACCCAAAUAAAGCAUUAAAGCUGAACACCCCAAAUCCUGAUUUCGAGAACUAAACCAGCAAGCCUGCAUCCCCAAGUUAGGGUACUGUCUUUUUGGGUGGGCCAAGAACUAGAAACACAGAUGGAGAUACAAUGAGAUUGGAGGAAGGGAGGCUCAGAUUCACCACUGAUUGAUCAAAUAAACAAAUCUCCUCUCUCUCUCUCUCUCUCACUUUCUCUCUAUCUCCCACACUUCUUGUUCAAGUAAAACUCUUCAUAAGGGCAAAGGGCUGCAGCAGUUGCACUCAUGCCAUACAAGCUGCCUUGCCAUCAUGACCUUCGAGAUAGUAUGGUGUCAUCAAUCAUCAUUGCCUCCCUGUUGUGGACAUUAUGUCAACUUACAUACAUUUAUACAUAUACGUUAUACACAAGAAGGGGCAAGCAAGAGAGCUUAAUCAAUCCAUCACCUCCAACCUGAGGCAGAAACAAAAAUAAGCCGUUCAAUAGCACAAAACCCUCAAAAAUGAAAAUGUAUCCAAAAUUUGAAAAUCGACAAUUAACUUGUCAAAGGUUCUAGGGUUAACUUCAUAUGUAGUUCCUGAAAUCCGACCAUUAUUUCCAUUUUGGCCUUUAAGUAGGCCAAAAACAUCAUUGCCUUUCAAAAAGGAAAAGAUAAGAAGCGAAGAAGGAAGUAAGAAGGGCUCAACAAUGCACUUAUAACAGCAAUGAUAACCACAGGCUGUUAAUAACAAGAGGUAGGGAAGCUGUUCAAACCUUCCAUCCUUCCCUCACAAAAACUCGAGGAUUUUCAGUGUGUCGCUCAAAUGUUGUCUGGGUCCAUUUUAAUGCAUCAAAAGCAGAGGAGCUGCCUUUAGAAUUUCUUUUUGAGCAAUGCUAUGAAGUUAGGGAAGCAAAUGGGUUGCAUAAUAUCCGUCCAACCAAGCUUCCAAAUCUGAAUUUUUCCAUCUCUCCUGGCCUGAAGAGUGGCUGCAAAUGGUUGCUUGCUAAAACACAGACCAACCAAAUUUGCCUUGCCCCUCAACAGGAGGAAAUAGCAGCUUGUACAAAAACCAUACCAAAGCUGCAGACUGUGAACCACAAACCUUGAACCCAGAUUACCGACCGUCCCUAGCGCAGGAAGCACUGAGCCAUAUGCUUAAGUUUUUUAUUUUUUUUAAUAGAAAAAAGGAAAAGAUGUUGCGAAGUUUUGAAAUCCAACAAAAUCAGUCAAACUGCACACAUCGCUUCAGAGACAUCUGAUAAAUUGGAACAAUACAGAGAAGAUUAGCAUGGUCCCUGCAGAUCCAGCCAAUAAUCUUCCAAGAGUAGGGCUGCAAUCAAGUUAACACAAUUGACUACUUUCGGAAACAAGCUGAGAAUGUGCUAGGGGUGAAAAUGGAUCGAACACAAAUCAGCAGAGUAGCUAAACCAUAUCUACAUCCAUAUUGCAUAGUUCUUUUCCAAAUUCUUGCUUUAUUUUUUAUUUUUUAUAUUGGAAAUCAAGUUUAAUAACAUAUAUUAAAAUAUCUACAAUGUUCUUCAAAACUUCAAAAAACUUUAUUUACCCCUGGAGGACCAACAUACCCUUAUUGAUUUCAAAAAAUUCAUUCAUAUAUCCCCUAGAGGAAAUGGGGAUAUAUGAAUGAAUUUUUUAUUUUUUAUAUUGGAAAUCAAGUUUAAUAACAUAUAUUAAAAUAUCUACAAUGUUCUUCAAAACUUCAAAAAACUUUAUUUACCCCUGGAGGACCAACAUACCCUUAUUGAUUUCAAAAAAUUCAUUCAUAUAUCCCCAUUUCCUCUAGGGUUUACAAUGGGUUGGUUUUAAAAGGAUACUUUGGUAAGUUUAGGGUAAAUUUGAAAAUUUUGAGUAAGACCCUCAAGAAAAUUUACAACAAAUCAAUAGAUACAAGGAUUUAAGGAAAACAAGUAAUAAAAGAAGCUAAGAAUUAAUAUGCCAGCUACAAAACACAAAACCCUCAGCCUAACAAGAUAAAGCAGCUGUCUGGGAAAAGAAAGAAAGAAGGAAAAGUAGAAAGCAGCUGCAGAAUUGUUUAAUAAAAGUGGAAAUGUCAACAGAUAAAAAUAAUUGAAAGAAAAGGAAGAGGAUGGUGGAAGGGACAUCAAAUUCAUCUUUGUUUGGUCAAAUAAAUAGGGAUAAUUUCAUAUGCACCCUUUAGUCCAUUAAAUCUUCAAUCAACCCACCCACUCAACCAUAGGACCGCUAUUAUCCUAACCGCACAUCCCUUCAUCCAAGGGCCAAAAACCUAAUAGCAACAAUGACUUAGUGCUAUUAAUAGUAUAGUACCCUAGUUCUACAUAUAUAUAUAUAUAUCCUCUCCGCCACAAUGAAGCCCCUCCUGUAGGCAAACAGCUGCAGCGGGUGCACUAAUGCCAUCCAAAGCUGCCAGCCAUCAUAAGCUUCAAUAUGGGAUCUGAAAGGGAGAAGGGUCGAGGAAACAAUUUCUCCAACCCCACGAAUGGUGAACAGAUGUAUAUAUGGAUGCAACUGGUGCAAGCAAUAAUUUCACAUAGACAGGGACAUGUUCACACAUUUUUACGAAAAUAUCCUUCGAGGAGAAUAUUUGGCUUCCCAAGCUUAUAAACAAUUGAUAGCAACAAGGUAUUGCAUGGAGCUAUGCACCAAAACAAUACAAAUCACCUUACAUACAUGCAUCUCCCACCAGCCUAACAAUGCGCAAAUUUUAAAUGGUAGUCUGCAAAGAAGCGUCUUGCCAACCAUGCAACAACUUCAGCAUAUUAUAAGAAAGAGAAAUAUGCAAAAAUAAUGGGUCAAAUUGCAAAUCCAAAACCCCAACCCAAGCCCAAGAUGAAAGGUAGUAAGUUUACAUUCCAGACACAGAAAACCCCAAUAACUUGGCCGAGGCAAUAAUUUCUCCAAAUGUAGGGCUGUCAAUUGAGUCGUUUGCUUUCAAACAACUUAUAUUCAGCUUGUGUUACGCUUAACCACCCUUCUCUUUUUACAAGAGAAACAUCAAAGAAAACACCUCAAAAAACACUUCUUCAAAUACUUAAAAAGAAGCAAAACGAAUUAUAAAUUCGUCAAUCAAGCCGAGAUAAUAAUAAUUAAAAUCUUUUUACAAGAGAAACGUCAAAGAAAACACCUCAAAAAACACUUCUUCAAAUACUUAAAAAGAAGCAAAACGAAUUAUAAAUUCGUCAAUCAAGCCGAGAUAAUAAUAAUUAAAAUCUUUUUACAAGAGAAACGUCAAAGAAAACACCUCAAAAAACACUUCUUCAAAUACUUAAAAAGAAGCAAAACGAAUUAUAAAUUCGUCAAUCAAGCCGAGAUAAUAAUAAUUAAAAUCUUUUUACAAGAGAAACGUCAAAGAAAACACCUCAAAAAACACUUCUUCAAAUACUUAAAAAGAAGCAAAACGAAUUAUAAAUUCGUCAAUCAAGCCGAGAUAAUAAUAAUUAAAAUCUUUUUACAAGAGAAACGUCAAAGAAAACACCUCAAAAAACACUUCUUCAAAUACUUAAAAAGAAGCAAAACGAAUUAUAAAUUCGUCAAUCAAGCCGAGAUAAUAAUAAUUAAAGAUAAGGCUCAGUUUGGCCCAACUGCCAGAUAUGAAAAUAUCAGUAUUUUCUCCAUAAAGUGGAGGGUGAAUGAGCGGACAACAUGCAGACGUACAGAUACACCAGGUGCAUGCAAUAAUUUUAUUGGUAGUUCUGUUACUCAUAGUCACCAUCUCUUCAGCCUAAAGAAUGGCUGCAAAUGGUUGCCUGCUAAGAAACAGAUUAACAGACCAGCCAAAUUUGCAUUACCCACUCAGUAGACACAAGAAAAUAACAGUGCUCCAAUAUAAAGCUCAAAAACUCCAAACCCAGAGCCCACAAAUCAGAAUAUGGGGAUCUAAAUUGACUCUGUGUCACAAAUUGGGUAGAAUUUUUUUUAUAAGUAAUCCUAUCAAUUUUAUAAUUAUAAAAAUAAUUUCUUAAAAAAAAUAAUUAUAAAAAUAGACUUCUAAAUGCGGUGAAUGAUUUACCGCAUUUAUAACUCCUCAUUAGGGGUAGAAAAAGAAUAAAAGCGGUGAACCAUUCACCGCUUUUACCAUCGUAGAAAUAUAAAAAAAAGUGAGAAAAUGAAAGAAAGCGGUGAAUGGUUCACCGCUUUUAAAAGCGGUGAACCAUUUACCGCUUUUAUAGGACCAUAUUAAUAAAUAAAAAUUUAAUAGAUCUAUUUUUAGAAUAAAAUUUUAGGAGAAGACUAUUGAACUAAAAAACCCCUCUUGGUGGGCCAAAAUCAUCACCGCCUCAAAAAGAAAAGAAAAGAAAAGAGAAUAAAUCUUGCAGAAGUAGCAAUGAAAGGUAAGGAAUGAAGAGCCAUGAAAUAAACAUACAAAGACAGGAAACAUUUUUGAAAAAAAACUCCCUUAUCCAUUUCCAAAUCCGAAUGAUAGCGCAGAUACACCACUUCAGAAUCAAACCUGAAGAAAUAUUGACACAUUGUAAAACUCAUGUUAUUUAUUAUCCGACCCAUUUCAUCCCUAGAAAUAGCCCUACAAAGUGAAAAAAAAAAAAAACGGACCACUUUGGUAGCCGCAACAUUGGUAAAAAGAAAAAGGACCACUUUGGUAGGAGCAAUAUCUGUAAAACAAGAGAGUCUCCAGUGCAAUGGUUAUAUGAACAGCACUCAGACUGAGUUGUGGUGCUCACACUGUGGAGAGCCAUCACACCUACAAGAUUUUCCAGAGUUUCCAUAUAACACAAUGACUUGGGGAAUGCCAGUGUGAUGCAGUACAAGAUUCCAUACAUUUUUACCAAAAAAAGAUAAAAAAAAGCAUUCAUCCUCUUUUAAUCCAUUCUGCCAAGUGGAUUGGACCAUAACUCACGCAUGGAAUUGUGCAAGUAAUCAUUUCUCCUCUCCCAUGGGCAAUAUGUGCACAGAGUGCAGGCAAUAAUUUCUCAUAAAUGAGGGGACUUAAUACAUUUUAACCAAAAAAUCUCAAAAUUAAAUAACAUAAUCUUUUUUUUUAUCUUAAUAAUAUCAUGGCAACCACUAAACAUGAAAUAAGACAUAUGCAGGAACAAGUAGAAUAUGAAAAGAUUUUGCAGAAAACGAAAGUAUUACAAGAUAUCAGCUAAAUAAAUAUAAUUUAGAUAUCAACAUAAAUAAACAUACUCCAAUAGAUUGACAAAAGCAGAUGAACUUUUAGAAAAAAAUACCAACAUUAAACAGCAUUAAAAGCUCAAAAAAGAACACAAGUACAAAAAAAUGAAGACAAAUAGUAAGAAACCUUAUUUCCAACAUCUCAGUACCAAAGCCCAAACCACUAGUCGAACAGGAUCGAAUUAAAAUACAAACCCUCCCAAUGCCAGAAAUUAUCAAAAUAGUAAUGUUAUAUAGUAGAAAACAAAGCAGGAGAUUGGAUGAGAUUGUGCAGGGAACUCAUAUUCGCGUUUUAUUGAUCAGAGAUAUAUCUCUCUAGCCUGCCCUCUGCACUUGUCCAAAUCAAACCCUCCUAAGUUUGAAUGGCGGCAACAGAUGUGAUCGCGCCAACCAAGCUGCCAUGCCAUUACAACCUUAAUAGAGAAUGAAGUUCACAAUCAUCAUCACCUCCUCAACUUGCAUAUCUAUGUAUGUACAUGCACCGAUACUUACAUAAUAUGUGCAGACUUCCAAAAUAUAUAUACUAGAAAAGGUAGCGAAGAGUGAUUAUGAUCCAAACUAAUUCAAAAUUAGAAUAAUAUGGGUAAACUUUAUUAAUUAACAGUUAUUGAGGUCAGAAAAGGUCGCAACCGAGCAGAGGAAGCAAAAGAAUUUUUUUUUCAGAAAGCUGCAAAAAUGAGAAGAUGUGUGUUUUGUCUUAUUCAAAAUGAGAUAUGGAAAAGGCCAAUUUAAUACGCCAGUCACCAGUUGGCUUGAUUUGGUUUCAGAGUGUAUUCAGUUCCACGCUCGCCCCUAUGUCAGUUCAUGAAAAAAUAGAUUUCUUGUUAUACACAACUACGUUUAGAGAAUUAUCAGAAUGGCCCAUCAACAAGACAUGAUGACUGCUUAAGCUCGUCAACUUUGAAGCAGAUGACAACAAUAUAAUUAGAGUUAGGGCCAUCUUCUAGACAAUAAACUGUCUUUACUUGAACAACCAUUUACAAAUUCUUGAAGGGCAUAUUUCAAAAAGGCCAAUUGUUGAGGGGUUCUUAGUACAUACAUACAUUUAUUUAUACGUCUCUCCAACUCUAUCAGCCUAAAAGUGGGUGCAAUGGUUGCCAAAGAAGAAAUGAACCACCCAAAAUUUGCCUUGCCAACAAAUUAGAACUGUAGCAAAUGGAGAGAAAUGAGUAGUGUGUACAAAUAAAGCAUCAAAAUCCAAACCCUAGACCCCAAACCUUAAAUCCGAGAACUAGAAAUUCCGCAUGACAAAAUAAGCACAGUACCCUUUCAGGCAGACCAAAAUCAUCAUUGCCUCAAAGUGAAAGCAAGAAAGAAGAAGGGGUAUCUAGAGGCAACAAAAGAAUGGGCCAUAAAAUGAACUUACAGUGGAGAUAGGAUCCACGGAUUGCUGUUCUCAGGAGGAAAGGUGAGGCAGCCCUUUCAACCUUCCAUCUUCCCCUCCCAAAAGCUUAAGAAAUUUCAAUGUGACACAUUUCACACCCAACGUGGUGGACCAGGUCUAGGCACUAAUUUCUCCAAAUAUAGGGCUGUCAGUUUAGCUCAUUGCUAAACAGCUCACACUAGGCUGAGUCUCCUUUCCCAAAAAGCCCAAAAAGAAAAGCCCAAAAAGAAACACUACAAAAAGACCAAUCGAAAUACCAAAAUAGAGAGUUUUUCUCUGUACAAUGGAGGAAAGAUAGAUAUGUUAUGAACAGAUAUACAGAUACACCAGGUGCAAGCAAUAAUUUCUUGUUGUUCCACAAUUCCUCAUCUCUGCUAGCCUGAAAGGUGGCUGCAAAUGGUUGCCUUGUAGGAAGAAGGCCAGCCAUAAUUUGCUGAACCACUCAGUAGAGAGUAGAAAAUUGCCGUUCAUAAGGUAAAACACUAAAACGCCAAACUCUGAACCCCAAAUCUGAUCUCCGGGAUUUAUAUCAAUGAGUCUUCAUCCAAAUCAGGUAAUCACCCUUUGGGCAGGCCAAUAUCAUCAUACCCUCAAUGAGAAAGAAAAAGAGAAAACAGGUAUCCAGCAGAAAUAGUCAAAAAUGAGGCAAAAAAAAAAAAAAGGAAAAGGAAGACAAAAAGGGGGGAGGAAAUCCCAAAACAGAAAUCGCAAGAUGGCAAGAGCUUUACAUCAAAAACCACUCCUCUGUUACAAGAAAAGCCCAAAACAUAAAAUCCAAAAAACUCCUCUAAAUAUCAAAAAGAAGGGAAAGCAAAUGAUAUAUCCUUCAAUUCAAAUCUUCUGGACAUAAAGGGAAAGAAAAAAAGGCUCAGAUUGGCCCAUUUAUCAGACAUGAUAUUUUUUUUUCUUUUUUGAGAGAAAGGUAGCAAGCUACCUGCUUUGUUCAUUUAUCAGGCAUCAGAAUUGCAGUACCUUCUCUAUGAGAAGGACUAUAGAUGAAUGAGAUGUACUUAUACACCAAGUACAGGAAACGAUAUAUCGCAUAUAUAUAUCUCUCUCUCUCUCUCUUAGCCAGUCUAAAGAGUGGCUGCAAAUGGUUGCCUGACAAAAGACAGACCAACCAGAAAUUGCCAUGCCAAAUAUACUAGAACAUCAGGAGACGAGGAAAUAGCAGAGCAUACGGAGAAGAUUCAAAAAUCCAAAUGUAAAAUCCAACUCAAAUACAGAGGAGCAAGGAUCUAAAUUAACAAGUCUGCAUCCCAAAUCAGGUAAAUAUCCCUGUAGGUGGGCCAAAUCAUCAUAGCCUCGAAGAGAAAGGAAAAAGAGAACAAAAUUUAUCCAGAAGCAGAAGCAUAUAAUAAGACAAUGAUGUCUAAAGUGGUUGAAUAUAAUGCAAAUGGCAAAUCCGAAAAAUCAAAAAAGAAAAAAAGAAGUGAAACAAGAGGGAAGGCAAAUUGGCCUCCCCUCUCGUCCAGACCAGGUCCCUCCUAGUGACGAAUAGCUGCGGCUGUUGUCCAAACACCAUCCAAACUGCCUUCCAUAUAUUAACAUUCUGAGGUAUCCAUAGUAAUAUCCUUACAUUCCAUAACAGAGCUGAAAAGAGCUCAAAGAGAAGAAAUGGUAUUCAGCUUGAAAUUACCUACUAUUCUGUCAUGUAAUGGACUUGCUGCUCACCAUCGUCUCCUUUCUGAGUGUUUGUGUGAACGCAUAUGUGUACAUAUAUGUACAUAUAUAUAUGUACGCAUGCAAGUAUGUAUAUAUGUAUGUAUAUACAGAGAGGAAUCAACGGCCCGAAGGAACGACAGUGUGGGUAGCAUGAAAGCAAGGACGGAACAGCACAGGGAAGAAGGGCAGGAACAGAAAGUAAUUAAGAGGAGAGAGCAAUUGAAAGCUGAGAGAGAGAGAGAGAGAGAGAGAAUUUCAGGUCAUCUCCCAUUAAAGGAAAGCCACAGCAUAUCGCAAUCUCUCAGGAUUAAAGGUACAAGGUUAGUAAAGGAUAAAAUGUAUGGAUAGUCCCUAUACCUUUGCAAUAUUGCAACUUCGAUGCUGAUGCCAAAAGUGACAAGCUUAGUCAGCCACUCAUUUCUGAUAGCAGGAUGCAAAUGGUUGUCUGCAGAAAACAGACCAUCCAACAUUUGCCAUGCCUCUACAAGUGAGAAAAAGUAUGCUCCACUUUAUAGAAAUGCUCCACUUUAUAGAAAUGCUCCACUUUAUAGAAACGGGCCAUUCGUUUCACAUUUUGUGACAUUCCAGAAAUCCUCCAUACUAUCUAUUCAAGACAGUCAAAUCGUCACCGUGGAACUCAAUUUGCGAAGUAGUACGAGAUAUUGGUGAGGCGGUGGGGUCAUUCUAGAUUCCCAACAUAUAUACAAUACCUUGUAUUAGGAGUAGGGAUGCAAAUGGAUCCGGAUUGGUGGAGCUCCAGCGCCAAUCUGCCCCGAAUGGGGCAAUAAGUGGGGGACAAUAAAUGGAUUCCGGGCAGUAAACGAGCGGAAUUUUAUGACCCAAUAUGUGGGGGACAAUAAAGGAAUGGUAAAAACGUAUAGAACUUCUGAACUACGGACCAUUUUGAGUCAACUUUCCAACUUUCUUUCCAACUUUAACUACCCAACCUUUCAAUUUGUUUGAUUUGAGCUAAUUACUUGCAUCAAUGAGAAGAACGACGCAUUCAAAUUUUGAAGUCAAAGUGUGGUUAUCUGACUCAAAUCAAACAAAUCGAAAGGUCGGGUAGUAAAAUCAAAAUUUCAAAAGGUAGGAUAGCCGAUUCAAAAUGAUCCAUAGUAAUUCAAGGCAGGAUACUCUAAAAAAAUUGAUCCACCCCCGGAUCUGCCCUGAAUAAGCAUUUAAAUUAUAAGACAACUUCUAAUUUUUCUAGAAUAUUAUUUGAGUUUUAAAUGCACGAUAUUCCUAGAAUGCUAUAUACAAGUGAAAUGAACAAACCCUAAAGUCAAAAGUUUCAAAAAAUUUUAUAUUUAGCUAAAACCAUACUUUUAUACACUUCUUUUUUAUUAGAAACAGAAAUGCUAAUAUAAAAAAUAUACUAGUUUUUGAAACUAUAAAUCUAACUAGAUAGUUAAAAUCACAUUAGAUAACAACCUUCUCAUGUACCACAAUAAUAAGGAAUCGUCCAGUAAAAUAUAUAGAACAAACAUAUUGAGGGUCUCUUACAAAGCAGAGAGAAUGGAACUACAAUAGUUAUUAUAUCAUAUUCAAAAUAAUUCCAGCUAUGGGAGUGUGCACCUCUAUAUUUCCACACAGUAUCUUUGGCCAUAUCAAUAAUCCAAAGAUGUACUCAAAUACAAUUAGUAUCAAGUUUGAGGCAACAAUCAAAAUUAAAAUCAAGCAAAACUCAGACUUAUUACCCAGUUUGUUCUAACUCCUACUUGCCGGUGUUUUAAGAAUAAAAACGGAAAACACACAGCAUAAAAAUCCCUUAAUCCCAGAUCAAAAUAAACUCCUUUCGAACAAUGGAUUAAAUGAAUUUCAUUUCUAAGAGGGAUGUCAAGGAGUAGAUUCGACUCACUUAAAAAAGUAAGAAAAAGAAACCACAUUUGCCAACUAACAACAUAUCUAUCAUGACAACUGAAAUUGAACAGUUUUGUUGUUUUAAAAAAAAAUCAAACAUCAUAAAGUUCCUUGACUUGAAAAACCAAAAAAAACAAAUCCAAAACCAAUAGACUGAAACAAAUUAACUUUGUUAAUAUAACUAUUUUAAAAAAAAUAGAGUGAACCAAUAAAAAGAACAUAGAUAAUAUCAUUGGCAGAACAUGGAUUCAACUUGCGCUAAUCUUCCCCCUUUGACAGAAUAACUGAUCUUACUAGUAUAAAGAAAGUCCCACAGCAAUAAUAUAGCAAAUCAGGGAAAAUUUCUUGAAGUUAAAAACAGUCAGUAUCCUAAGGGGUCAGCCAAUCAAAAAAAAAUUUCUUAGUGUCAGAAGCUUACAAAGGAAUAAAGUUAGUGAAAAAAGACGGCAUAGAUUAAAGAAAAAAAUUAUACUGAACAGCAUCCCUAGACCAAAACCAAACACUCAUCCAAACGAAAUCUUAAAAAUAAAAUCUAAUUUCACAGAUAUUAAAAAAAUAGAAACUCCAAUAAGAAGAGUAGCGAUGAAAAUAGCCUGAGACUCAAGGACGAUAGUCUCACAUUUACCUUCCUUUACCAUUUGUACAAAUUUCACUCUCUCCCUCCCUCUGUUGACAUGUCCAAAUCAAACCAGUUCCAGUGGCAAAUGGAUGCAGCGGUUGCAAUACCCGGCAAGUGCACUCAUGCCAUCCAAGCUGCCUUGCCAUUACAACCUUCAAUAUAGAGUCCUCUAAAUAUGAGAAGAGUCAAACUAGCUAGCUGUGAGCACCAUUCAGUCUAAACUGAUUUACCAAACAAAACUAACUCAUUGCCAUUAAUUUGAUUAAUUUUACUAGAAAUUUGGUUCAGCUUAGUUUCAUUAAUUGACUGGAAAAAACCGAAACAAACAAAAUUCCUUGAAUUUUCAAUAAUUUGAUAAGUAAUAGUCUUUAGGUCGUGAGAAAAUAAUUAAAAAAUUUAACAAGCACUACCGCUAGAGUAAAGAGUUAGGAUAAGAUUAAUCAUAUUUAUAUGGGUAAACUUCAAAUACCACCCCUGUGGUUCCGCACUUUCUCACUUUUGUACAAUGUGGUUUAAAGUGUAUCAAGUUAGUGUCCUGUGGUUUCAUUUUUAUCUUUUCGUCAGCUUUUCCGUUAAUAUUUCGUUAAAUUAUAUACAAAAAAAACUUCAGAUACCCCACCUAGAUUUAUCGAAUAUUCACUUUAGUACCCUUUAGUUUUAACUUUGUCACUAAUUUAACGAAAAAAUUAGUGGAAUUAAUAAUGAAAAGAUAAAAAUGAAACCACAGGGUACUAAAGUGAGAAAGUGUGAAACUACAGGGGCGGUAUUUGAAGUUUUCCCUAUUUAUAUUUAUGUUUUGACAGUUUUAUGUAUAUUGGCCUAAAUGAAAGUUUGUAAACCUUACGGCUGUCUAGCUAAAAAAAAAAAAAAAAAAAAAAACCAUAACCCUCUUUGGGAGAUCAAAUAGCAAAAAGAACCUCAAACAACGAUUAACAAAAAUGGAGAAAUUCCACAAAUAAAACAGAUUAAAGAGAAUUGGGAGGGAUUGAACAAAGGUAGGCUCAGAUUCGCCUUUGAUCCAUCACAUGAAGAGAUCUCCCUCUCCUUUUCCUCUCCUCUUGCUCAAAUCCUUCGAGGACUAUGACUGCAGCGGUUGCACUGAAGCCAUCCAAGCUUAUUGCCGUCAUAAUCCAUUUAAUUUGGGAUCAGGAAUGAGCACAACGAGAAAAAAGAGUUUAGUUUAGAGAUCACCCAUCAAUCAGUGAUAUGCCAUCACCAGCUCCAAUUGCUUGGAUACAAACCAAUGGCUAUUGCGAUCAUCAUCACCUGCUUAUAGAUGCAAAAGUUUGUCUGCAUUCACAGAGAGCAGCUGUAUGCAUUCACAGAGAGCAGCAGAAGAAGUACGCAUUCACAGAGAGCAGCAGCAGCAGCAGAAGAAGAAGAAGAAGAAGAAGAAGAAGAAUAUGCAUGCACUCACAGAGAGGAGGAGGAGGAGGAGCAGCAGCAGCAGCAGCAGAAGAAAGAAAAAGGGUUUAGAAACAAAAAAACACAAGUUCAAACCACAUUACGAGGGGCAUAAAUCACCCACCACUCAACAAAGAACCAUCAGCUACACAAGAAGCAACAAUUCCGCAGAGCUCCUGGUAGAAAUAAGGAAGGUUUGAAGCAGGGAAAGCAAAUCCCUGCCCAGAUGCACUUGUCUACCACACCCAAAGAAUUACAGGCUUGUUCUGUUGGAUAAAUUGCACCACUAGUCCCCAAACUUUUAGCCAAGUUUCAUUUUGGUCCUCAAAUUUCAUGUUGGAUACUAGAUAUCCGAAAAUUUUGGUACAUUAUUUUCACUCAUUAGCACAUUAUUUUCAGUCAUUAGCCUCAUCUUUUGCUAGAGGAAAAUUUAUUGCCUGCACCAGGUGCAUCCAAACAUUCACGCACCAAGCAUCCAUCGGCUCUCAAUCUCAUCCAGGAGACAAAGGCACAAUGAUGCAGGUGCUUAAUGAUGCACAAUUUCUCAUGCACAUAUACCAGCCAAGCUUGCGUAACUUCAUAACCUUCUAGCACCCAAGAGAAGAAAAAAGCAUCACACACACACAAUGAGAAUGAGAGAGAGAGAGAGAGCGAGAGAGAGAGAGGGGAAGUCUUGAAAUCUAAAAGCAAGCCUAGAGGCCUUAGAAUUUAACUGCUGACAUUUAACUUUUAAGGCCUCUAGACAGGGGUGUAAACGAGCCGAGCUUUAGCGAGCUUAUCUCAGCUCAAGCUUGGCUUAAAAUUAAUUUCAAGCCUAAACUUAGGCUCAAGCUCACCUUGAAAUUAAUUCGGGCCUUGCUGGAGAGAGCGUAACUUCAAAUCGAGCGAGCUCGAGCCCUAAACGAGCCACUUGAAAUUCUUAACAUCAUACAAUCUAUAAUUUAAUUUUUGUAAAACAAUAUCUAAAUUUGAUACAAAAAUAUGUCUAAUAGUUCAACAUAUAAAAUAAAUGCAUGAAUACGGUAUUAUAAUAUUAAGAAAAGUAAUUUAGGGGAAGUGACUGGGCGAGCAAGUGAAAGAGAGGGAGAGGGAGUAAUUAAAGCAAGGUUUUGCUGGUUUGGUUUUGCGGGUCAACAAAUAUGCCCAAUAACCUAAACUCUAUAUACAUAUAAUUAAAAUACAUAAUAUAUAAUUAUAUAUUUAUAAAUACUUUUAAUAUAUAUAUAUAUAUAUAUAUAUAUAUAUAUAUAUAUAUAUAUUCGAGCUUUUCGAGCCUAUUCAAGCGAGCCCAGCAAUACUCAAGCUUGGCUUGAAAUCAAUUGAGUUUUUUUUCUCUUCAAGCUCAGCUCAAUUAAUUUCGAGUCGAGCUCGAGCGAGCUAAAUACCGAGCCGAACAUGAGCCGAACACGAGCCGAACACGAGCUGAAUUUUUAACGAGCCAGCUCGUGUUCGAGCUGACCCCAGCUCGCUCGUGUUCAGCUCGUUGACACCCCUAAUAGUGUGAAGCAGAGAAAGCAAGUCCUUGCCAAGAUGCAUUUGUCUGCCAUUCGAAAAGCAUUACACCUCUUUUUUUAGGUAAAUUGCACUAUUAGCCCCCAAAACUUUCACUCAAGUUUCCAUUUGGUCCUCGAAUUUCCAAGCUGACUAUUAGAUACCCGAAACUUCAGCCAUUAGCCUCAUAUUUGUUGAAGAAAAAGUUAUUCCCUUCACCCAGUGUAUCCGUACAUUCAUGCGCCUUGCAUCCAUCAACUCUCAACCUCAUACAGGAGGCUGAGGAACAAUGGCGCAGGUGCAUGCUAUGGCACAAUUUCUCAUGCAUGUAAACCAGCCAACCUUACGGAGUUCAUACCCCUCCAGCACAUGAGAAGAACAAAACACACACACACACACACACACACACACACACACACAGAUAGAUAGAUAGAUAGAGAGAGAGAGAGACAGAGAGACAGAGAGAGAGACUUGAACAUUCGAGAGGGCCUUAUAACGCCAUCCCUUUCACUCAAUUUUCGGGGCCUUCUACUUUGCCCUCCUGUUUAGUUUUACCUGGAAGUAAUAAGAAGAGUUACGGCAGAUAUUCAAUAUAAGUACCUUGCAUUAAUUAUUGAAUAAGAAUGCAUAUAGAACCUUACAAAACUCUGAAUUUCCUCAAGUUUUAGAAACCAUAUCUAAAACACUCACUUGCAUAUGUAAUUGAAAUACCAUUCAAUAUAUCAACCACAACACUAUAUUCCAAUAAUCAAAUAAUUAUAUAACCUAUCUAAAAUGCCAUAACCUUGUAUACAAACCCUCAAAAGAUAGGCUUAAAUCGUGAAUUUCACUUCAUAGCGAUGUUGUCCCCUAUCCUCCCUACCCCCCAAUCGAGGCUUUCCUUUAAAACUAUGAUCCACAACCAACAAAAGUGAUAAGUUGAGCAUUAAGCACUAUUUGUCGACAUAUUGGAGGAUAUACACCAUCAGAAACUAGUGAUCAAGUGAAAAUAACACGGUCAAACAAAACCCUUGAUUUGAAAGAAUCUUUGUACUUCUAGACAAGCUAACAAAUUAACAAGAACAACGCUACUCGUAGACCCAAAAGUUUGAUGAAAAAUCUUAAGCUCUCUCUAUCCAAGGGUUUACACGCCCCUUUUCACCUUUCAAUAUUAAAAAACAAAAUUAUUUUUUUCUUAAUUAUUAUUUUUUGAACAAAAAUUUUGAAAACGAAAGCAUUACUUUUCUCAAAAACAUAUUUUUUUUGAAAAAAAAAAACUUUUUUGAAGAACCAAACAUACGGAAAAAAAAAUACUAAUCUAGCAAGAAAAUUAUUUUCCGGAAUAUUUUUUCGAAAAACAAACACCAUCUAAGAGGAGAUAAUGACUGGGGGGGAGAGGGAGGCUCAGAUUCGCCUUUGGUCGCUCACUUCCUAGGGCUACAAAUGGCUAUAGCGGUUGCAACAAAUGCCAUCCAAGCUCUUCCUCGCCAUUAUAGCCCCUUCGAAGUGGGAUCCAAAGAGCUUCAUGAGAAGAAGAGAAGGGUUUAAGCUUCGAGAUUUACCCACUGAAUCAGUGCAAUACGCCAUAUCGCGAUCAUCAUCGCCUCCCAUUGUUGUGGAUGUGAUAUGCAUGAGUGUGUGGAUCGGAGAAGAAGAAGAAGAAGCAGCAGCAGCAGAGAAAGAGAGUUUUGAGUGGGGAAACGAAGAUGCAGAAGAUGAUAGUUAGUUAAUUCGGAUUCGGCAAAAAAUUCGGUACGGGUAUAACCCGGAUAAAAUUCGUCUUCUAAUUUUUAAAUAAAAAUUCGUUGAAAAAUACAGCUAAAAAACAGAUUCAUCAAUUAUUCGAAUACAUGAUUUAUACGGAUAUUACACGUUCACCAAUUAAAAAUUCGGGAUAAAAAAUUCGGCUAUUAAACUAAGUUUUUUUCUCUCAAGAUUUAUGCUAUUAGCCAAAAAAAAAAAAAAAAGUAACUAGAAUGUAAUAGAAGAGAUUAUAACCCUCUUUAAUUCUCUCCCUCUCUCUCUAUAUACAUAUAUAUAAAACUCACCGAAACGAUGAAAGGGGAAAAUUAUUAUUUCAUGUAUGCUGUAGAGAUUAAAGAUAAAAAAGAAGUAAUGAAUCUUAAUAAAUGCAUAUUCACAAUGAUGUUGUUACUCAAAACCAUACAAUCAGUAAUUAAGAGAAGAUGAAAUAAAGGAAAGAGAGAGAGAAACUAAAGCAUAAAAAUUUCUUGUAAAGAACCACCCGAUUACUGAUCCAUCGUUGGAGAGAAGAGGCGACGAGGAGGGUUUCGAUUUCUGAAGAGUGAAGAACCCGAUCUUCGAUGUGGCCCCGCGGGGGCUUCCGAUGGCAUUCGGCGAGCGGCCGAAAGGGAAGAUUGGGAGGGGAAGGGAUGGGGACUAGGGUCGGUGGCAGGGCGGCAGGGGUGAGAAGUUAGGGCAAAACUUUUUGAUCGAGUGAUAUGAUAUUUUUUUCUGAAUUUUCGGAAAAAAUACGAAUAGGGAUGUUUUAUUCAUUUUUUUCAAAAAUUCGCGAAUAAUUUAUUCGCGAAUUAUUCACGAAUUAACUAACAUACACCAUCAGAAACUAGUGAUCAAAUGAAAAUAACACGGUCAAGCAAAACCCUUGAUUUGAAAGAAUCUUUGUAAUUCUAGACAAGCUAACAAAUUAACAAGAACAACGCUACUCGUAGACCCAAAAGUUUGAUGAAAAUCCUUAUGCUCUCUCCACCCAAGGGUUUACACGCCCCUUGUCACCUUUCAAUGUUAAAAGACCAAAAAAAAAUUCUUAAUUAUUAUUUUUUGAACAAAAAUUUUGAAAACGAAAGCAUUACUUUUCUCAAGAACAUAUUUUUUUGAAAAAUAUAUAUAUACUUUUUUGAAGAACCAAACAUACGAAAAAAAAAAAAAUACUAAUCUAGCGAGAAAAUUAUUUUCCGGAAUAUUUUUUCGAAAAACAAACACCAUCUAAGAGGAGAUAAUGACUGGGGGGGAGAGGGACGCUCAGAUUCGCCUUUGGUGGCUCACUUCCUAGGGCUACAAAUGGCUACAGCGGUUGCAACAAAUGCCAUCCAAGCUCUUCCUCGCCAUUAUAGCCCCUUCGAAGUGGGAUCCAAAGAGAUUCAUGAGAAGAAGAAGAAGGGCAAGGGUUUAAGCUUCGAGAUUUACCCACUGAAUCAGUGCAAUACGCCAUAUCGCGAUCAUCAUCGCCCCCCAUUGUUGUGGAUGCGAUGUGCAUGAGUGUGUGUGGAUCGGAGAAGAAGAAGAAGAAGCAGCAGAGAAAGAGAGUUUGGGUGGGGGGAACGAAGAUGCAGAAGAUAAUGGUAGAGGCGAAGAUUCUAGAGAGAGCUUCUUUCUUUAUUGGAUUCCAUAAAGAAAGUGAACAGAGUGGAGGCGGUCUCUUCUAUGUAGCAGUUACACAGCAUCGCUUUUGUCGCAAGCCAAUUAAAUUUUUUACAAAUAAAAUAAAAGAUAAGAUAUAUUUAUAAAAAGGGAUAAUUAUAUAGGACUCCUUCAAAAAUCCUAUUAUCCUAUCAAAAAUUUCGACAAUCAUGAAUUAAAAAAUAACUAAUCAUAAUUAAUUAAAAGAUAAAUUAAUUUUUUAAUAUAUAUAUAUAUAUAGUCCGGCUGGAAUACUAUCGAUAGUACCAAGGGAUAGUACCAAGGAUUUAGUACUAUCGAAUUUUCUACCGUUAAAUUUAACCCUUGAUAAUUUUUACCCAUCAGAUUAUACUAUUCAACCAACAACUCACUCAACCUUAAGGGACCCAUAUCAUCCUAACAACACAUUUCUCAAUUCAAAGGCUAAAAAAUUAAUAGCAUCAAUAGCUUAGUGCUAUUAAUAGUAUUCCGGUCUAGUUUUAUAUAUAUAUAUAUAUAUAUAUAUAUAUAUAUAUAUAUAUAUAUAUAUAAUUNGUUAAAAGACAAAAAAAAAAUUCUUAAUUAUUAUUUUUUGAACAAAAAUUUUGAAAACGAAAGCAUUACUUUUCUCAAAAACAUAUUUUUUUGAAAAAAAUAUAUAUACUUUUUUGAAGAACCAAACAUACGAAAAAAAAAAAAAAAUACUAAUCUAGCGAGAAAAUUAUUUUCCGGAAUAUAUUUUCGAAAAACAAGCACCAUCUAAGAGGAGGCUCAAAUUCCCCUUUGGUCGCUCCCUUUGGUCGCUCACUUCCUAGGGCUACAAAUGGCUACAGCGGUUGCAACAAAUGCCAUCCAAGCUCUUCCUCGCCAUUAUAGCCCCUUCGAAGUGGGAUCCAAAGAGCUUCAUGAGAAGAAGAAGAAGGACAAGGGUUUAAGCUUCGAGAUUUACCCACUGAAUCAGUGCAAUACGCCAUAUCGCGAUCAUCAUCGUCUCCCAUUGUUGUGGAUGCGAUGUGCAUGAGUGUAUGUGGAUCGGAGAAGAAGAAGAAGCAGCAGCAGAGAAAGAGAGUUUGAGUGGGGGGAACGAAGAUGCAGAAGAUAAUGGCAGAGGCGAAGAUUCUAGAGAGAGCUUCUUUCUUUAUUGGAUUCCAUAAAGAAAGUGAGAGGAGGCGGUCUCUUCUAUGUAGCAGUUACACAGCAUCGCUUUUGUCGCAGGCCAAUUAAAUUUUUUACAAAUAAAAUAAAAGAUAAGAUAUAUUUAUAAAAAGGGAUAAUUAUAUAGGACUCCUUCAAAAAUCCUAUUAUCCUAUCAAAAAUUUCGACAAUCAUGAAUUAAAAAAUAACUAAUCAUAAUUAAUUAAAAGAUAAAUUAAUUUUUUAAUAUAUAUAUAUAUAUAGUCCGGCUGAAAUACUAUCGAUAGUACCAAGGGAUAGUACCAAGGAUUUAGUACUAUCGAAUUUUCUACCGUUAAAUUUAACCCUUGAUAAUUUUUACCCAUCAGAUUAUACUAUUCAACUAACAACUCACUCAACCCUAAGGGGCCCAUAUCAUCCUAACAACACAUUUCUCAAUUCAAAGGCUAAAAAAUUAAUAGCAUCAAUAGCUUAGUGCUAUUGAUAGUAUUCCGGUCUAAUUUUAUAUAUAUAUAUAUAUAUAUAUAAUUUAUAUUUUCUUUCUAACUCCCUUCUCUUUAACCAUAGUGAUAGUAAAAUUUACGGCGACAGCAACAGCGAAGGCAAGACCCUUGGUCGGAGCAAAAAUAAAAUACACUACACGUACCGUGACGAAGGCAAGGAAAGAAAAAAAAAAUAUAACUUUUUAUAAAGAUAAAUUUGUAAGAAUAAAAUAAUUAUUUUACAAAUCCACCGUUAGAAAACUAAAAGUGAAUCCAACGGAGAGACAAAUAUGAAUGAAUUAAAACUUUUUGAGAGAGAUUUUUUAAAUCAAAAAAUUUUCAAAAGGACAAAUUUGAUUAUUUAAGUUUUGUAUAAAUUUAUCAAUCAUUUGAUAUAUUUACAAAGAGUUUAAUGAAAUUAAUCCUUAUAAAAAACCUAUAUAAGGGCGGGUGUACUCAACAAGCAAAGAUUAAUUAGCUAGAAACAUAAAGAUGGAAAAAAAAAAAUUAAAAAAAAAUAGAACACGGCAGUAGCACCACAUAAAGAUGUGGUUUUCAACAUAACAGUUGCACAACUUCAUCUGUAUCUCUAGCCAAUAAAUGUCUUUUAAAAAUAAAAGUAUAAUAAUAAGCUGCAGCGUUUGGUUAGAGGAUAGAAAUAGAAAUAAGCCCUUAUCCCCUUUUCUACCCAAACGCUAAUUUUUUAUCCAAAAAUAGUAGUUCUCGAUUAUCCCUACCAACACCUUCAUUUUCUAUAUAAAACUACUUAAUAUUUUUCUUAUUUCCGGAAACAAUUCAAUUUUCAUUCAAACGCUAUUUUUCUUAUCCCUAUAUUUGUACCUAUUUCUGUAAUAACUAGUUCUUACUUAUACCCGAACCAAACGGUACCUAAAGUACAAAAACCCAUUAAUGGGUCAGUGAACAAUAAAAGCGUAAUUUAAUUAAUUGAGAACAUGAUGAUAUAAGAAAGAGUGUAGAAUGCGUUCAACUGAUUGAGAACAUAUGAUACACAAGAAAAAGUGUAGAAUGUGACGGUGACACCACAGGUCUUUUAGAUAGCAAUUAUACCACAUCUUAUCUCUAUCCCUCGGUUAUUGACUUGGCCAGUAGCAAGAGCAAGAUUUACCUUGGCACUCAAAUAAAGCUUGAGUUACUGCAGAAAAUCGCUAUUUCCCGUCCCACUUUCCGGCGAAACAAAUAUGCCCUAAGCCCUUUCCUUCGGCCAAAUAAAAUGAACUCUGCAGGGAAAAUAGCACCAACAACAUCUAAGACUCAGGAUAUCCACCAGUCGACUUCAAGGCAGCUUUUGCAAAAUCAGACACUUUGACUUUAAAAUUUGAAUAUGUCGACUAUCUUUACUAAUAUAGUUCACGCAAUCGUCACAACUAUAAAUUCAUUAAAAUAAAUAGAUUAAAUUUUAAAGGCAGUCAAAGUAACAACGACCGACUUGAAUCAAACAAAUUGAAAAAUCUAGUAAAAUUAAAAUUUUAAAAGAUUAGUUAACUAAUUCAAAAUGAUACAUAGUUCAGAUAAGUUCGGUAAGAUUUUACCAAAAUGGAAAAUAAAGAAGGCUCGGAUUUGGCGAUGAAUGAAAUAUCAUGAAUUGCAGAAACUUCCACUGCAAGGUCAGUAUCAGGAAAGCCAAGUGCAUAAGAAGUACGGAUACACUGCAGGCAUGUGGGUAGGUGUACAGGGAGCAUCGCUCAACGAACUAAAGAUGGCGGCAAAUGGUCACCUGCAAAGAAGAUGGCCGGCCAAAAACUCGCAGCGCCAAGCAUGCUUAAGCCUCAAAAGACAGGAGAGAAUGGCAGAAACCUGCACAAAAAAGCAUCAAAACUCAAAAUUCAAUGAGUCUGUACACCAAAUCAUGCAAACCAGUUUAGUAUCUGGUUGUUUGGGCCAAAAUCAUCAUAGCCUCAAAAAGAACAGAAAAGAAUCGGCACACAACACAAUUGCGCAAGAUCCGGAAAAAACCAAAAAUGAAAUGGAGGGAGAGUAUUAGUUAGUAGUUCUCUGGCUUCAUUGGGAAUUGCGGGCCAAAUGCAUUACAUGCGACGGAAAAAAAUUCCAUUUGCUUUUGCAAAUGAUGCCACAUUGAGCAAAUCACAAGGCUCUAUUAACAGAUAAUGUUUGCACUGUGCUAGUUACCCUCAGUAAACUUGUAGCAUAGGAGGCUCAGAUUCAGCCAACUAUCAGUCAUGAAAUUUGCCAAGCUCACUUAAAAAAAAAAAAGAAGAAGAAUUAAAUAGGAACAUUUGUCUAAAAACAUCAAAACCAAAUACUUACAUCACAAAAGCUAAGCUGCCUUCAACCGCAUGCUCGAAAUAUUUUCCCUCCUCAGAAAGUGACCAAAGCAUGCUUACUUUGAUUUACAGGCACGUUUGGUUCAAAAUAGGAAUCGAUCGAAAUCAAAAUAUGAAUGGAAAUGGACUGAAAUAUAAAAAGGAAUGAUAAAAACUGCUAAUUUGUUUGUUUGAUAAGAGAAAUAAGAUUCAGAAUCAGAAUCAUAUUCAAUUUGAAAUACAAAAAAAUGCUAUCCAAAUUCGUAAUUAAAAUUUGAAACAAAAUUUGAACUUAAAAUUUAAAUUUACUAUUCAAAUUCAAGUUCAAAGUCAAAAUCUAAAUUUUGAACCAAAUUCAAAUAUCAAACUUAUAUUCAAAAUUAAAUUUGAACUAAAGAACUUAAAAUUUUAAAUUUAAAUUCCUAAGCCAGAUUCAAAUUUAAAGUAUAGAUUAAUAUUUGAAUUUAAAUUAUUAUUAGUGAAAAAAAUAUUCUUUUCUCAAUUCCUUCCGGAAUCAAAGAUGAUUCCUAACUCCUUAGUGGGGAUCAUUUUUUCGUUUUUCGUUCCCCUGGAAAUAAAAAACGAGAUGCCAAUCCCUCAAACCAAACACCACCAAUAGGAAUGGAUCUUUCCAAUUCUUAUUCCCAGCCGCAAAUCCUUCAAACCAAACAUGCCCUAAGAGCAAUGCUAUAUUAGCACCAGCUCUUACAGAGGAAAACCAGAUAAAGAAAACUGUGACAAACAACCAUUCCAGAGGCCGCAAAUAGUUGCCUGCAGAGGAGCAGGCCAUCCAAUUUUGCCUGGCCAUCAUGUAAGUUCCUCAGCAGGAGGUCCGCAGCUGAUGUGGAGCAUGACCAUGAAACAAUUUCUUAAAGAGAAGCAAAAGGACUCCAAAGAAACCAGCAAUCAAAUCCCUAAAGACCAAGCUAUGAACUCAGAAACAAAUCACAAAGUCUUUGUCCCAAUUAGGGAAAAGAUCCCAGCUGGGAAAGAGCAAGAUCAUCACAGCCUCUUGAAGCACAUAGAAAAAGAACUGUUGAUAAGAAGAGGUUUUCCGGAAGCUUAGGCUAAAAAGGUUGAGAACCCAUGGUGUAAUUUAUCCCUUCUUCAAGGAGCACAAAGUAUCCCUUUGCAAUCAAAUUGAUGAUUAGACCACGUGUUAAAUACACGACAAAGGCACUAACUAUUACUGCAAUAACCAUAUAUACUCUCUUUCUCUCUCACCCGCUCCUGUUGAGCCCACAGAUGGCCAUAACGAUUGCAAACUGAACAGAUUCACCUCAUCAACUGUGUUUCAACCUCAACAGCAGAAAGGUACAAGUCAACGACCAGACCAGAACAAAUAGAUAAAAGAAUUGGCUAUUUGCAGGCCUCAUAUUUCCCACGGCAUGGCAAUUCUCAAAAUUUAAAAUCAAACCAUAAAACAAAUCUUCAAAAUCAGGCAAAGUUGGGAACUAUUAUCAAAUUUAUUUGCAAGAAAAUUGAUAAUAUCCUCUCCUCAGAAAGGGAGGGAAAAGAGAAAGAAAGAAAGAAAGAAAGAAACACUAACAAUAAGGACUUCAAUCAUGAACUUUCAAAAUGCAAUUCAAUCUACCUGUCACGAAAUAACAAGGAUGCCCACCCGACAUUCAGGGACACAAAAGUGAGCCAAACACAUGCGAGAGCUAAGCUUAUAUCAAGACUGACUGGAUACUCAACGCGCCAAUUGAGCAGACCAUUGUUGAGCAAAGUGUCAAGCCAAACACAAGCUGUUCGUUAACAAAGAGCUCAAUCGAGAGGCCAACUCAGACGAAACGGUUGUCCACUGAACAGCAAACUGUCCAAAUUCCACCAGCCAAGUAAAUCAGUGUCAAAAGCAGAAUGUAUGACUGACAAGACUUGCCUGAAGAAAUAUACAAAAGAACAGAAUGCAAAAAUGCCUUGUAUCAAUUUUAUAGUAUAAUAACAUGCCAGGCCCAGAUUGGAUUGGGUUGGGUUCAGGUGGGGUUGAAUUUGGUUGGCUUUGUAUUGGAUUAGAUAUCAACCUUCACCCACUCUAUAAUGGUGUACAGUUGAGGUUCCACAAUCCUAACCCACACCGAUUUCCAAAUCAUACAAUCCAAUCCAACCCAUUCGAUCAGAUUGGGUCAGGCAGGCUCUGGCCAAACCCAACCAAAGUUGUACGUCAAAAGGACUUGAAGAAAGGCUCAGAAUAGCCCGUGUCAGACAUGAAAAUAAAUAGAUAAUUUUACAGGAACAUAUAUGCAGAAAAUCUGAAGAAAGGACAGACAUGGAAAGGGAUGGCUAUCCGCCAGACAAGCCCAACUUGUUAGGGUAAAUCACCCUUAUUCAUCACUCUUGGCUUAAAAACCUGAAGCAAAUGGCCCUUAUUCAUCACUCUUGGCUUAGAAACCUGAAGCAAAUGGCUGCCCGAAUAGAAACAGACCAGCCAAAAUUUCCCUGCCAGAGUACAAGAACCUUAGUAAGGGUGUGUUUGGUUUCAUGUAAAACUUUGAAAAAAAAAUUUCGAUGGAAAAAAAUUUUUGUAGGAAAAUAAUCUUAUGCUGUAGUGUUUGGUUUGUCGGAAAAAAAAAAAAAAGUUUUCCAUUACGGUUGUCUGGUCGAAAGGAAAAAAAGGAAAAGUUAUAAAUAGAAAACUAUUAUAUGUAUUUUCUUUUAUUCUAUAUAUUAUAUAUUAUUAAUAUAUAAUAAUUAUCAUAUUAUAUAUAUUAGUAUUAUAGUUUAUAUUUAUAAAUAAAACAUAUUAAAAUAUAUUAUAAAAUAAGUAUAUAAUAUAAUAUAUGACAGUAUAUAUAUUUAAUACUAUAAAAUAAAUUACUAUAUAUUUAUAAAUAAAAUAUUAUAUAAUAAUAUAUUUAUAUAAAAAUGAAAUAUUAUAUAUAUAAUAUAUAUAAUGAAUGAGGGGGAGAGAGAGAGAGUAGGUCCAUGGGUGGACUCUCUCACACGGUCCACGAGGUCAAGUUCACCUCAUGGACCGCGUGCUAAAGCACCCAUGAGCCGCUUUUUUUUUUUUCAGAUCCAAGUUUUCGUUUUCCGCUCGAACAGCGCGAAAAACGAAAACGCCCACUUCUCCGAAAAUCUGUAAAAUUUUUACGAGCAACCAAACAUCGGAAAAUUAUUUUUCCAGCGAAAUUUUUUUUUUCAGGAUCCUUUUACAACGAUCCAAACACACCCUAAACAAAAUUAAAAGAACGGGUUAAUUUCUUCAAUGCCCUCCUGAAAUAUUGUAAAUUUGUAAUUUCAUAAAUAACCCUUCAAAUUGUAAAAUAUCAUCAGUGCUCUUAUAAUAAAUUAAAAAGUUUAGGGUUAAGGCUUUGGGUUUGGGGUUUAGAGGGGUUUGUGAUAGAUUUAUAUGUUUAGAGAAGUAUGAAUGAUAUUUGAGUGUAGCUACUAUAAUAUCAAUAAUACUAAGCGCUUGGUGCUAGCAAGUUUUCCACCGUUAGAUAUACCCUUUGACUAUUGUCAUCCGUUAGAUCAUACUAUUCAACCAACCACCUACUCAAUCCUAGGGAAACACUAUCAUCCUAACCGCACAUCCUUUCACUCAAGGGCCGAAAACCUAAUAGCAUCAAUGAUUUGGUGCUAUUAAUAGAAUAGUAGCCUAGUUCAUGAUAUUUUAGAUUUUGAAGGGGCAUGUAUGAUAUUUUGAAGUUUUAGAGGUCUAUGUUUAAAACUACCCCAAGAAGAAAAGUGCGAACAACAAGGUCUGAAAUCUGAAUCACAUAUUAGGUAAAUAUCAUUUGAGAGAGCUAAAAUCAUCAUCGCCUACAAAAGGGUAACCAAUAUAUACUAGUACAUAAUGUACUUACACAUGAUGAACCUGUAGAAGUAUUGAAAGGGGAGAGACUUCUCAUUUUGCUGCUUAUCCAAUUGGUUUGCCAUCGCUUGCAAGGAGCGGAUUUUCUGCAGCAUUGGGUGCACAAAAUCCCUCCAUCCUUGGUAUGCUACAGCUCCCACCAACUGCUCCAUAAAAACACCAGGUGAAGAAAGUUACGCAAGACACUCUUUCGAGAAGAAUAUAUGACCAAAUAUACCAUGUCAUUUGUGAACCACGCCAGACAAAAUCAAGCAGAUGACAUCAAACGUGUAAGUUCCUGCUAGGACAAGGGCUACCAUGCCAUUCCUUUGAAGAUGAGUAGUCUGCAAAAAACAUUCUAGAUUCAAUCAAGAGAAUUACCCAAUCAACCACUACUUCAUGAAUUACCAGUGAAGGGCCAGCGCAAUUCAGUAGGAAGUGACUAAUUAGUGGUUCAGCCAACCACCAUCUUAGGUAAAUGAGUAAUUAGUAGCAUUCCUGAUAUCUGCAAACGAAAGAGUGGGAGCAAAUGGCCAUCUGUAGCAGAGUAGACCAGCCAAAAUGUGCUUCACCAUUGUACUAGAAUCUCAGAGAGAGAGAGAGAGAGAGAGAGAGAGGUGUACAACCGAACCUAACCGAACCAAGAGGUGUAGAACCAAGGAUUUAAAUAUCCAUCAGCACGAACCGUAUCCACCGUGUCGUAUCGUGCUAACAAGAUAUCGGCACAAUACAGCCCCCUUGCCAAUGGCACAGCUCAAAACCCUCUAUUCUUUCAGUUAGUAAGUAAUUUUCUCAAUAAUGUUUAAAAGAUUUGAUAAAGAUACAUAAUAAACAUUUAGAAUAUUUUGUUUCUAAAGAAAAUAAAUAUAUCAUGCGAUUAUGUGUAGGCACAUGUAUUUUUUUUAUCAGCAUGCAUCGACACGGCCUGGCACGCACUAUAUCAUACCGUGUCGGUAAGUUUCCGGCACGACCCCAUGCCAUGCUACUUAAAUCCUUGUGUAGAACCGAACUGAACAGAACCGAACCGAACCAAACCGAACAGUUUAGUUUAGAAAUUUGUUAAAGACCGAAUAGUACCGAAUAGUGCACAACCCUAGUACUGCAAAUAAAUAAAGAAUCAGUACCCUAACCAAUAUUUUUCAAAUCCCAGUUAAAAGAUCUAAAAGAACAAAACUUCAUCACAAAUCUGGAAAAUAUCCCUUCAGCGGGCCAAAAUUAUUAUUGCCGCAAAAGAAAGGAAAAGAAAUGAAAAAGUUACUCAACAGAAACAAACAUAAAUUAGGUAAAAAAGUAUGGAGACCCCCCUCAAAUCUAGGCAUUUCUACUAAAGGUCCCUAAACUUCAAAUUUUCUCAUUGACACCCCCUCAACUUUCACUUGUUUUGAUUUACACUAUUUUUGACAAUUGACUUGGGUAUUUUGUGAAUUUAUCAGUAAUUCCACCAAAUUUCAAGGUUCUAACUACUUUUCAGCUAAAGUAGCACAGACUUCAAUAUUAAUCAACAACCAACAGCAAAAGAAGCCAUUAAUUUUUAACAAAAUUCUCCAUUUAAUUAACCAAAACAACUCAAAUCCAAACAAACAAAAUUUGAAAGGGUGUCAGUCACAGAAAGAUGGAUAUCAAUAAAACCAGUUAAACUGUAGAAAAGAGUAGGCAGCUUCAGUAACCCAAAACAUCAGAACCAGUCCAGAAUAGAAUCAAUCAAAGAAGUAUAGGAAAUUAUAAACAAAGGCAAAAAAAAAAGCAACAAAAAUAAAUAACUCAAAACGUCAAUAUGGAAUCGGAACAAAACCGUAAAUCUAACACCCUUAAAAGAAAGAGAGGACAAUUUGAACAAACAAGCCAUUAACAUCAUGCCAAAUUUAAGUUCUAAGCAAAAUUCCUAAUUAUUAAGACCACAAUUGCAAUCAAAAAAAUAAGAGGAUUAAUUAACCAAAAAAACGCAUAGCAAAAAGCCAACUGAAUAUCUCAGUAGAGUAAAAGUAUUGAUUGCUAGACUAGGCCAGAUGGAACAGCAAAGGCUCAGCUUGGCCCACCUAUCUCAGACAUCAGAAUAGUAAAGCCCUCAAACAACGGAGCUAUAAAAUAGUUGUAAAAAGGGAUAAAUCACCACACAUUUUCACCUCCCCCUAUCUGCUGGCCAAAAACUGUGGAUGCAAUUGGUUGCCCACCAAGAAAUGGGCCUGCCAAAAUUUGCAUUGCCGCCACAGUUGAAUCUCAAUAGAUGAAGAGUAGAGAAGAGAAAACAAAUAAAGCAUCAAAACUCAAACCCUGAACCUAAAUCCAAUCACCCACGAUCUGAACCAAAAUUGUGUAAGGCCUAGUUUGGUUAUGUGGCGGCGAAAUGCACCUUUAGGUGCCAAAGUCAUCAUUGCCUUCAAGAGAAAGAAAAAGAGAAGAAGAUGGUAUCCAGUAGCAGUAGCAGCAGCAAAGAAAAUCAAGCAAGAAAAAAGGCUUGUGAUAAUCUUGACAUACAGACAGAGGGGGCAGCCUUUACAAACUUCCACUCUCUUAUCCAUGACAAGUGAUUAUAACAAUCUGAAGAUAAGUCUUCGGGAGACAUUACAAUGUAAUUUGACAGAGUUCUAAUAGGAAAGAGUUAACUGCUCCAUUUGUCCCCAACCUUAAGCAGAGUUUUCACUUUUGUCCCCAACUUUAAAGAGUUUUCAUAGUGGUUCCCAGCCUUUUAAUUUUUGCAAUCGAGUCUCAGCGUUUAUUAGUUGUUUCAAUCAAGUCCUUCCUGUCAAAAAGGCCCAUUAGCUGUCAUGAAGAUUGCGAUGGCAAAGUUUUGUACCAAGCAAGCAUGAUUUGGUGUUGACAUAGCAAAUUCCAUCCAAGUUAACGAGCAUUUCUGUGGAUAAAAUGUUAGAUACCCAACUGCAAAGAUUAAAAGGUUGAGGACUAAAACUUGGAUAAAGGUCGGGACCAACAGUGAAAUUAACCCAAGAAGAAAUUACUCUCUGGACCUGGUCCACCAUGUCAACCGUGUACAGCCAAUGUUUAAAAAACAGGUUCAACCAGGAAAAUAUCAGUUAAGAUACAUAAUGCAUGCCCCAUUGGAGGGCGAAUUAGCCUCUGGUUGAUCAAGUAAAGAAAAUUCCACCCCCUCUCAUCUUCUCCAUUCCAAGUCCCUCCUACGGGCUGAUGGCAGCGGCAGUUGUGACAGAACCUUCUAAGCUUCCUUGGCAUCAAAAUAUUCCAUAUACAAAUCAAAGAUUAGAGAAGGGAUAAGUGAAUGUUUACCAUAAUGGCUGAUAUAAUAGCACGCGAAAUAGAUGCUGCCUUUUACUGCAAAAACAGUCUGCUCUCUCUCCCCCUGUUAGGGAUAAUAUCUAAUAUAACCCCUCAAAACUUCUGAAAUAUCUUAUAUACCCCCAUUUUUUCGUUUCAUAUAUACCCCGUGUAAAUUUUUCCGUUAUUCAAAAAUAACCCCGCUGUUAAUACCCGUUUAGUCAUCUCAGGUCAAAUCCAGAUUAAAUUUCUACUAGAGUUAAAAAGAAGUCAAAAACCUCUUUUGCCCCUAACUAAAGGGCAAAUAAGAAAGUUGGUGACGAUAGAAGGGUAUAUUUAAAAAGGCAAAAAGUCCAAAUACUUUUUUUGCCCCUAACUUAACAACAAAUAAGAAAAGUUUGUGACAGUAGAAGGGUAUAUUUGAAAAGACAAUAAUAAUUCACAGAGAUAAUGGUUGUUCCUAACAGUUUUAUUGACAAAAUUUAACUCUAAAGAUAUAUUUGAUAUAACUUGGAACGUUAGAAGUGUAUUUUUAAUAUUAGCCUUCUAAGAGGGGUAAAUGAGAAAGUCGGAAACUUUUCAGGAGUAUAUAAGCAAUUGCCCCCUCUAUUAUAUGCCUCUCCCCCUCUUACUGCUGGCUCCACAGACAGCUGCAAAUGGUUGAUUGGUUCUCCAUUUAAGAAUGCACGGUCCAAAUUUCACCGUGCCAACUAUAUAAGAUGCUCAGCAGAGGAGUACAGCUGGAAAGAAUAGCCUUUAGGGCUGAUAACUGAGAUCGCUGAUCAUGAACUGUUAAUUAAGAUCGCAAAUCAUAAACAGUUCUUGUUAGGCCGAAACGUGGCUCAGAAACAGCUAGCUUCAUUAGCUUGUUUAAUUAAACAAGGUCAUUACCCUAACUUGCUCAUGUUAAAUUGGCCACACGCUGCAGGUUGUAAAAAGAAUCCACUAAUCAGCAGACCGACCCAGCACAAAGUAAUUCUCUGUAUUUUCUCAAAAAAAAAUAAUAGUUUUUAAAUUGUGCAAAACUGUUAAAGUUGGAAACUAAAGAUCAUCAGUCAUAUUUGCAGACCAAAUCAUCACUAUCAGAGAACUUGAAAAAAAGGUCAAAUCAUGAGCUUUCAAAUUUUCAAUAUAUGCUCAAUACACUACUUGCAAAAGUAAGAAUGCAAAUUGCAAAUCCACCAUCCAGGAAUCCACAUAAAUUUCAACAGAGCAAACUCUUUUAGGAUAUCACCUAAACGACAAGAUCACAACACAUUGGGUAUCACAGAAGAAGCCGAGUAUAAAAUAAAUAACAACACCGCAAUGUACCCAAGAAACAGCUUACUUAGUUUAGAAUAAAUAAAUAAAUAAAAAUACUUGAUGUCCCAGAAGGAAAGAGAUCAGCAGAUUUGUUGAUUCAUAAGACGGCAAUUACAAGGCAAAAAAUAAAGGGCCAGUUCCUGCCAUCCAACCAAACGCAAAAAGUCAGAUGGCUACAGCAUGGUUGCCGUGGGGCCAUCCAUGCUGCCAUGCCAUCAGAACCUACACUACAUGAAUCUGAUAAAAGAAAAUAGUGCGAAGCAAGUAUUACUGUAAGACCAGAUAUUGGACAACAUAUAAAAGAUGCAAUUUUUCACGGCAACAACAACCCUCUGAAUCUCCCACCGCCCUCCACUCUUGCUGGCCUCACAGAUCGAGACAAAUGGUUGCCUACUCAAGAAUGGACCAUCCGAAUUUCACCUUGGCAGCUGUAUUAGAACCUCAUCAACAGAGUACGAGGGGGUAGAGCUGGCAGUAGGCUUGUUAAUUGAGCUCCGCCACACAUGAAGAGCCAAAAUUUGCCUUGCCACUUAAAAGGCAGAGAUGCAAUUUCCAAACCACAGGUUAACAAAGGGAAAAUGCACUAAACCACAGGGUGAUAUUUGAAGUGUAUUAAAUUUUAGGGCUGUUUUCACUUUCUACACCAUUCUAUUGUUUUUGCCCAAGAGAAAAGAUAUCCCUACGCGCCCCUCAAAAAUUUUCCACUUUUUCCUGAGAAUACGUUUUCAAUUGCUCUACAUGUAACCAAACAUCUCAAUUGACAGCAUUCAAUUGAGAUGGACCAGGUGGCACUUCCGGCGUUCAAUCUGCUACUCAAAAAGAUAAGAUUUGGUAAUUUACACCAUUGGUCACUGAACUUAUCAUGAAACUUCACUUGGGUAACAUAACCAAUUUCAAAACUAAGGCAAGAAUGUACAAAGAGCCCUCAACCAUAAGCCAUUUUGAUCAAAUAACAGAAUUCAUGCACCUCUUUUCUCCAAGUCAGAUCCCUCCUGACAGUGAAUGGCUGCAGCAGUAAGCAUUCUCGCUAUCCAGGCUACCAUGCCAUAUAGACCUUCAGUAAGGGACCAGAUGAGAAGAUAAGGGUUCUCUUAGGAGAUAACAAAUAUCGUUAAUAGGGUUGGCAAUCCAGCUUGCAGUUUGCGAGCCAACUUGUGUUCGGCUCGAAAUGAGCUGGAGAUCGAUCGCUCGUUUAUAGGGUUGGCAAUCCAGCUUGCAGUUUGCGAGCCAGCUUGUGUUCGGCUCGAAAUGAGCUGGAGAUCGAUCGCUCGUUUAAACGAGCCGAACACAAACUAAAUUUUUCAGCUCAAAAUCUUAAUGAGCCAAAUUCAAGCUAGGGUCAGCUCGCUUGUGUUUGGCUCGAUAUAGUUCGAAUUAAUAAAUAUUACAAAGUUUUACCAUUUGGAUUUUAGGCCAACCCAAAUGCAAAAAGAACUAUAUUAGAGAAUUUCAAUUACUAGAAUAAUAUUCCAAGUUUUCAAUCUUUCAACUUUUCACCCAGUAGUAGGGCUAACAAUCUUGCUUGUUGUUUCAACUCAUGUUCGGCUCGUUAAUAAGCAAGCCGAACACGAGCUGGAUUUUUCAGCUCGAUAUUGUAACGACCGAACUCGUGUUUGUCUCGUUUAAUAAACAAGCGAACACGAGCCGGCCCCAGCUCGCUCAUGUUCGGCUCGUUGACACCCCUAAUCGCUAACAAGAAAAGAGAUCUUCUCUCCUCUCAUCUUGGCAAAAUCAAAUCCCCACUAAUGGCUGCAGCAGUUGCCACGAGGCUGAUCAUGCUGCCUUGCCACCAAAACCUCCAGCACAAGAUAUGGAUAGAAAAGAAAGCUAAAAAUGUAUGGAGACUCCCUCAACUAUAGGCCUUUUUGGGAUAGGAACCCCAAUAUUCACGAAAGACCAGCACCUGUUCGAAAUGCCUAAAAGCAAUUAGACACAAUGGCAGUCCAAUCAACAUUGUCAUCAUCCACUAAAAACUGUUUCUCACAGCUUGAAUGAGCAUCAAAUGGCUUUAAUAGCUUCAAGGGCUUAAUGAUCAGACCUCGAAUGAGCUUUCAUUUUAGAAGGAUGGGGAUCGAAUGAGCUUUCAUUGAAAUGGAUGGGGCAGGCCUUCAUCCACUACACAAAAAGAUGGGACGGUAAAUUGCACCAUUGGUCACUAACCUUGUCAAGAAACUUUACUCGGGUAACACACCCAUUUUCCAAAUGAGUAAAUAUAUACAAGGUCCCCAAUCUGUUACCCAAGUUUCAAUUGAAUCCCUAUCCUUCUAAUUGUUGCAAUUAGAUCCUUAACCUCCUCUAAUUGUUUCAAUUGGGUCCUUUCCAUUGUAAUCUCCAGUAAUUUGAAUGGACAUUGCCACUUCAGCUACCACGUAGCAUGGAUAAAUUUUGAACACUUGGUGUCUAGGAAUGGAUUUUCAAAAUUCAUAAUUGUUGAUACAUAAGCUCUUUAAAUAUUGUAAAGAUGCGAUGAAUAAAGUGUACGUAUACAAGAAGAAGAAAAAAAAAGGUUAUAUAAGAUCAUAGACCUGGUUCAACCGGUUAGGGCAUUGGAAAGGUGGUGUGGCAAACAUUGUUUGAUGACGCAGAGAUUUUGAUGAAAAAGAACCAUUUAAACCAUCUAGGAAAGGUUUACUUAAUUGCAACAAUCAGAAGGUUAGGAACACCACUGAAACUUGGAAAAAAGGUUAAGGACCUUCUAUGUAAUUUACCCUUUUCUAAAUUAAAGGCAAAAAUGUACAAAGAGCCCCUCAACUUUCCGCAUUUUUUAUUGGUCAAGUAAACUGAACUCGCCCCCCUCUCUUCUCCAAGUCCUCCAGAGGGUGAAUGGUUGCAACAGUUGCAUUCUAGCCAUCAAUGUUGCCAUGCCAUAAAAACCCUCAACAGAGGAUCUAAAAAUAAAAUAGAUCAGUAAGAGAAAAUGCUACAAAUUAAAACACAAUGAAGAAGACAUGGAGAGUGGGGGAAAGGAAAGCUAAGAUUCGCCUUAGACAAUUUCAUAUCGAGAUGUCCCACUGGUCAAAAGGAUAUCCUUAUCUGGGGAUAAUGGCUGCAGCAGUUGCCAUAAGGCCAACCAUGCUACCUUGCCACCAGAACCUCACACAAGAUCUGGAAGGGGUUAAAAAAAGUUAAAAAUGUAGAGAGAACCCCUCAACUAUAGGCCACUUUGGAACAGAAGUCCCAAGAUUGAAAAUAUCCCAUCAACUAUUCCAAAUGCCCAAGGGCACAAUACCAGUCCAAUCACCAUUGUCACCUUUCAAUACAUAGACCUAACAACAAAGGAUUUAUGAAUGGUGGCAUGGCAAAGGUGCAAGUGGAAGAGCAGCCAAAGAGAGGAGGGUUUUGGUACUUUUCCCUUUCCUUUUGUUUUUUUUUUUUUUUUUUUUGAGAGAGAAAGAUAGGUAGCAUGCUACCCGUUUCGUUUAUUUCAUUUAGAAAUAAACUUAGCUGGAAAAUAUGAACCAACUAGAAUUCGAACUUGAAUCUCGGAUACCAACCACCAAGUCCUUUGCCACUUGCUCUAGGGACGGUCAGUAAUGUUGUCGUUUGUUAAUACUUGCAGAUAUAUCUCUGCUCCAGUUUUGUACAUGAUAUAUACCCAGAUUGAUCAGUUUCUAAUUAGUUAGCACUGUUCUUUAAACUAAUUUAUUACUGCUCUUGACAGGAUAAGAUGUACGUAAUUUAGAAGCGCUUAGAAUUUUAUGAUACGAUUAAUACUAAACAGAGCAACUCGCGCAAACAGACACAAUUCUUAUUAAAGCAUGCAUGUCUCUACUUAGCAGUGUUGAUCCCUCUCCUUUUUACAUUUCAAUCUUAUUUCUUUCGGAUUGAGGCUUACAAAUAACUAGCUAACUAGCUAAAUUCCGGAGUUUUUGGACUACUAAGCCCACAAAAUUUUUGAAUAUAAAAAUAGACAUUUAAAAUUUUUAUUUAUAAAAAUAAGCUGUUAAAAGCGGUGAAUCAUUUAUUAUUUUUUAAAAACGAUGAAUAAUUCACCACCUUUAUCCUAAUUUAUAUAUUUCUUAUCUCCANGGGUGAACACACAAUGCAUCAAAAUCAUAGGCAUACACGCCAAAUCCAACUUUCCAAUAUUAAAACCAACAAUUCUGCACCACAAGGAAAAUAUACCCGGAGAGGGCCAAAAUCAUCGUUGCCUCAAAAGAAAGAAAAGGAAGAAAAGUAGAAUCGUCCAGUAGCAGCAUCAAAGAAGGAAAAAAAAAAAAAAAGGGGACCCUGAAAUGAACUUAAAAUGGAGAAUGACAGGGCAGCACUAUUGACCUUCCAUUCCUUACAAAGAACACCACCUUAGUGUUAGCGUCCUUUUGGCCAAGCUCUUCUGGUAUGCUUCCAAUUGCGGUUAUCUUUAGAAAAGCGUUCAACACAAAUUUAGAAGCUUUUGUUCAGCUGGAAGCUGAAUUGAGAGAAACAGCAUCUUUUUCUUUCUAUUUUUCUUUUCUCUUCUUUUCUUUUUUGUGUGCAUGUGUUGAGGGAAAUUGCAGCAGGCGUGGUGUUAGUGCCCUUCUGAACUACACUAAAAUAGCACUCCAUGCAGCAGAACUACACCCGACAGCAGCCAAAACAGACCCUAACUCUUCAAUAGCCUUCAACGUACCACUCAUAUCGAUUGGCCUGUUUGCGCUGAAAGAGCUUCGGCAGAAGUGUGUCAUUAGUAGAACUGCUCAAAAAGGCACUAACAGCACAAUAAGGGCAUGUUUGGUUCAAAAUCGGAAUCAAAAUCGAAAUACAAACGGGAAUAGACCGGAAUCAAAAAAGGAAUGAUGAAAACUCUGAAUUUGUUUGGUUCAUAAGAGGAAUAGGAAUCAAAAUCAUGUUCAAAUUGAAAUUCAUAAAAUUUAAAUUUUAAAUAAAAUGUAAAUUCACAAUCCAAAUUUGUAAUCAAAAUUUGAAUCCAAAAAUGAACUCACAAUUUGAACUUAACAUUUAAAUUUACAAUUUAAAUUCAAGUUCAAAGUCACAAUUAAAUUUAGAACUAAAUUCAAAUAUCAAACUUAUAAUAGAAUUUAAAUUUGAACUUAAAAAAUUAAAAAUUAAUAUUUUGAGUCGAUAAAUUCAAAUUCAAUUUAAAGUUACAAUUUAUUCUACAAUUAACUAUAGAUUAAUAUUUGAAUUUAAAUAAUUGUUAGUGAAAAAUAAGGAGUUCUUUUCUCGAUCCCUUUCGGAAUCAAAGUUGAUUCUCACCUCCAUGGUGGGAAUCAUUUUGUAGGGAUUCGAUUCCCCCCGGAAUGGGAAUCGGAAUGUGAAUCCCUCAAACCAAGCAACAACAAUAGGUAUGGAUCAGUGCGAUUCUCAUUCCAAGCCUCCAAUCCUCAAAAUAAACAUGUCCUAAAUGUAAAUGAACUUCUAGAAGGAGCACUUUAAAGGACAAAGUAUUACCUUGACCUGGUCCAUCACAUUAAUUCGUGAACCUUAUCAGCUAAUGCAAUAAAGAGAAAUUCUUCCUUGAACCUGGUCUGCCUUGCAGUAGAUUUGCUACUUGGCAAUGCCAACAAAGUCAAAAAUAUAACAAUUGGAGUAGAGCAGGAAGAAAAGGCUUCAAUAACAACAAUAACCCAAUAAAGGCAAAUCCAGGAAUAUCAAAAACUAAAGGGAAAUCCAGGAAUAUAACAAUCCCAAAAACUAAAGGGAAAUCCAGGAAUAUCGAAAGAAUACAAUAAAGGCAUGAAGAAACAAAGCUUGAAAAGUAACUUACAGAUAUGAAGCCCAAACAAUAAGAACACCAAAAACAGAAAUGACUCAAAAGCAGUAAAUAUCAGCGGAAGUACAGGUUAACCUGAUGCUAAAGUGUAGGUUUCAAACUUCGGAAGGCAAAAUGCAACUCAUGAAAUUUAUAAGGGUUUCCUGCACUACAAUUCAAUAAUAUCGACUACAAAUAAAUCACACUAAAGAAAUCAAUGGCUUGAGAGAGAGAGAGAGAGAGAGAGAGAGAGAGACAAUUGAACUAUUGAAGAGGCAAACCCUUCAGCAAUUUUCUGCAACCAUUUAAUAGCUAAAAUUACAUUCCUAAUAGCUACUAUUUUCUGCAAUCCUUCUGAAAUCUGACUUAUUUGGAAAGUAACACAAGGCAUUAAAAAUCUCACUAAAAGAUGCAAAACUCUAUCCGCAAUAACACCAUAUACUAAGCAAACUCGUAUGUGGCAAAUAACAGUAAAAUUAGUAAGUUGACAAAGCACACUGAAGGAAAUAAGGAGAGGUUAGGAAAAGGGGAACAAAUAUUUUACUGGGGAGCCUCAAUGCAGAAAGACAGCCUAGUCCAUGGUCCAAGCAUCAAGUCCCCUCCAAAGGCAAAUAACCGCUGCGGUUGCCAUUAGGCCAUCCAAGCUGCCUUUCUAUCAAAACAUUUAUUGCUGGAUUGAGAAAAAAAAAAAAAAAAAAAAAAACUCAAAGAAAAGAUAAGUAUCCCUGUCAGAGAUUUCCCCAUUAAUCUUCAUCAGUACCUUUCAGAUCAAAACAAAGACUACAAAGAAAAGAAAUGAUUUUAAUGUGCAAAUUGAACACAGGAGGAAGCAGACCCUUGCUAAGGACACCCAUUCCUCCAAAGUAGAGAAAUUAUUGCAUGCACUGGGGUACAUAGAUCAUGAUCUCCGAAAAUUUGCAAACCUAGAAGCCUCUUUCAUCAGAGAGAGAGAGAGAGAGAGAGAGAGAGAGGGAGAGGAAGAAAUAAAGAAGGCACACACAUGCAUGCACACUAGGGGUGGAAACGAACCGAGCUCGAGCGAGCUUACCUCGGCUCAAAUUCGGCUUGAAAUUAAUUUCGAGCCCAAAUUUAAGCUCAAGCUUGGAUUGAAAUUAAUUCGAGCCGAGCUCGAGCGAGCCUAAUUUCAAGUCGAGCGAGCUCGAGCCCUAAACAAGCCGCUUGAAUUUCGAACAUAUAUAUAAUAGUUUAAUUUGUAUAAAAUAUUAUCUAUAAUUUGAUACAAAAAUAUGUCUAAUAGUUCAAAGUACAAAAUAAUUAUAUGAAAUAUAGUAUUAUAUAUAUGAAAAUAAAAAUUAUGAAUUGAAUAUCUAAUUUUUUCAGUCUCACAUGUCUUUUCUUCGCCUCAAUCUCUAUAUUAUUCAUUUUUAUUUAUGCAGUCAAAAAUAAAUAAAUUAUAUAGAUAAAUAUUAAAUUAAACUAUCCUAAUCAUAUAUAAUAAAAUUAAAAUUUUAUAUGAAUAAUAAUUUUUUACUUUAAAAAUAUCUUGUAUAUUUUCUCAAGCAUACAAUUAAUAGCAAGGUAGGCAACGGCGGCAUAUAUGUUAUUGUAACUUAGAGGUUCCGGCUUGGCCACUUAGGGUGAGAGACAGAAAAAGAAAGAAGAAACAUAUUGAAAAUUUAGAGCUCUGUGAAAGAAAGAAAAAAAAAAUAUUUAGUAAAAUUUUGCUCUUUUAUUUGUCUAUUAAGUUUGUUUUUAUGGGCCAACAACAUUAGCCCAAUUUUAACUAAACUCAGAUUAUUCACUCAGCCUAUAUAUAAUUAAAAUAUAUUAUAAUUAUAUAUUUUUUAAUAUAUAUAUAUAGAGUGUAGAACUACUAUACUAUCGAAAAUAUAGAGGAUUUGAUGUUUUUGAAUUUUUCACCCUUUGAUUAAAAAUUGUAUGGUCAGGAUGAUUGCGGUCUCCCUUAGGAUUAAAUAAUACUCUUAGGAUUGAGUGGUCCCUACAAGGUAAUAAUAAUAUUAAUCCAAAGAUAAGAAACGAUUAAAGAGAUUGAUCUAAGAAUCAAAAAAUCAAAAGCACCAUAUCUCUAUACUUUCGAUAUAGCAUAGUAGCUCUACUAUAUAUAUAUAUUCGAGCUUUUCGAGCUUUUCGAGCCUAAUUCGACGAGCCGAGUAAAACUCAAGCUCGGCUUGAAAUGAAUUUCGAACCUUUUUUUUGUUCAAGCUCAGCUCAUUUAAUUUCGAGUCGAGCUCGAGCAAGCCAAAUAUCGAGUUGAACGCGAGUCGAACGCGAGCCGGCUCGCUCAUUUGCCAGCGCUAAUGCACACAGGGGCGCGCACGAGCACACUUGAUGAGAAAAGAUGAUUGAGCAAGGGAGUAGGCAAGCAGUUUUGCAAGAGGAGAUGGUCAAGGGAGCAGAGCUGCAGAGGCAAAGCCUUUCUAAGAAAACCCACUCCUCUGACUAGAGAGACUACUUACUUCGUUUUGGAGAAAUUAUUACAUGCACCCAGUGCACCAUCCAAUGCCUGAAUCUGAUCAGCCAUGCUUUAAGUCGAAUUCACUACCUGGCAAUGCCGACACAGUUCAAUGCACAUCGAUGAUUACGACAAUGAAAAAGAAGAGGGAUAUCAACUAUCUCAGUAGAACAGGGAGAGGAAGUAUGAGGAAAUGACUUCAAUAACAACAGUAAUCAACAAAUAAUGAUCCAUAAAAAAGUACGGGGAAACACAGGAAUAUCAAAAAAAAGGAAAAAAAAAGAUAAAUGAAGAAACCAGCUUGAAAUCUCAGUAGCAUAAUAAAAACAUGCAUUCCUCCCAAGUCUGGGAGACUACCUACUUCAUUUUAGGUGCACUAGAAUGCUAAUGCUAUGAGAGGCUAAUUACACUUAUGUGUGGGUUGCACCACUGCAAAAGCCCCUAACAACAUCAAACAGGAAAAUUACUCAAAAGUGGCAAAUAUAAUUAAAAAUAGAAGCUAAUAAAGCACAUUGAAGGAGAUAAGGAGAGAUUGGGCAAAGAGAGGCUUAGAUUUGCCAUUGAUCAAUCAAGCAAAGAGAUUACCCUCUCUUCUAUUUGACCAAAUGAAACCCCUCUGGGCAGCAAACGGCCGCAGCGGUUGCCGAUAGGCCAUUCACGCCGCCUAGCCACCAAAACCUUCACUGCAGGAACCGAAAACAGCUCAAAGAGAACAGAAGGGUCCCAAUUAGAGACUAGCACAUCAAUCUUCAUCAAUGCCUUACAGAUUAACAUAGAAACUACAAAUUGAGAAGAGAAAGGGUUUUCAAGAGCAAACUGUGCAACAGAGGAGGCAAACCCUCUCCAAAAUCACCCGUUCCUCUGCAAUACCACAGUGUAUAUACCAGGAUCUCCAAACCUAGAGGCGUUAAGUGCAAAUCAUCUGAUUCGCAUAAAACCGAAGGGCACAAUGAUGCUCUGGUUCAUCAUCAACACCUCUAAGUUUAACAAAUAAACUUCACCGCUGCUGCCGCCGCCGCCUAAGAAUAAGAAGGGUUUUACAGAAAGGGUUUUAUAGUCCAAAUUCAGCAAGAAAGGAACCAAAUCCUUUCCAAGAACACAGAUUCCUCCAUAAUAUCACAUAAUUCACCUACAUUUGCAAAAGGAUUGCUUGCACCACCGCCUAAACUCUGCAAGAGCUCAAACCCAAAGGCCCUGAAGAGAGCAAUGAUGCUUCAACUCAUCGUCAAAACAUUUCACAUCAACAAAUAGAGUAUGAAGAAGACAAAGAUUAAGGGUUUUAGAACCGUGCACCAGAGUCUAUACACCAGGACCUCCGAAAACUCGACUCUAGAGUCCCCGAUGAGCACGACGACAAUGCUUCAAUUCAUCACUAACACCUCUCAAUUUAACAAAAAGACUGUGAAAUAGAAGAACAAGAAGAAGAGAAAGGACUUUAGAUUGCGGAUUGAGAAAGGGAGGAGGCAAACCCUUCGUGAGAUAAUCGAUCGAGCAUGAGAGGAGGCAAAGCCCUUACGCUAACACCCAUUUCUCCCGCGAGAAACCAUUACAUGCGGCGUGGCGUAUACAUCGGGAUCCGAGAACGCAAACCCUAGAGACCCCGAGAAGCACGAUGAUGCUUCGAUCCAUCGCCAUCGCCAUCGCCAUCGCCAUCGCGACCAAGAGGAGAGCGAGAGAGGAGCGGAGAGAGAAAGAGAGAGAAUGUGGGAUGAGAAGGAGGAGGAGGAGGAGGUGGAAGCGAGAGGUUUCGAGAGUGUGAAGUGGGGAAGGGAGGAGGAGACGACGAGGCGAGAAGGAAAAGAGUGGAGACUAGCUUUUGUCUGACGACCACAGGCCACUUCUCCCGAUUCCCGGGGUUUUUUUUUUUUUUUUUUUGGUUGGAUAAACUUCGAUAUAGUUUUGUAUUUUCUUAUAUUAAUACUCUAUAAUUUAAAAUAAAUUAAUUUAAUACUUUAGAAUUUUAUUUUUUUCUUUUCAUCAGAUAUUUUGGUAACUUUUCGUUAAAUUAUCUAUAAAAAAUUUCAGAUAUUAUAUCCAUAGUUUUUCGAAUAUUCACUUUAGUAUCAUUUAAUUUAACUUUAUCUCUGAUUUAACAAAACAAAAUUAAUGAAGGAGAUAAUUAAAAAAAUAAUAAAACUGCAUGGUACAAAAUUGAUAGAUUUUAAACCACAAGGUAACAUGUUUGUUUGGGUGGAAGUGGGGUGGAAGUGGAGAGGAGAGAAGUCGUUUUCGCCCUAAACGGCCACUUCCGUUGUUUGGUUCGCCGUAAAAAAGUUACGGUCGAAAUUCGAGUUAACCUGAAACGGCGUAAUUAACUUCGCCCCAUCGUGGGCCGAAGUCAAUUAUAGUGAAGAGAGGUAAAGAAAAAUUAAUAAAAUAAUAUAAUAGAUAAAGAUAGUUAUAUUUAAAUAUACUUAAUUAUGUUACUAAUUAUUUUUUUAUUCAGUUAAUAUAUCUAAAAUAUGAUAAAAAUUGAUUAGUUAUGUUUUAAUAUUUUCUUUAUUUAGUUUGUAUAUUUAAAAUAUGAUAAAAGUUGAUUAAUUAAGUAUUAAUAUUUUUUUACUUUAUAAUUUUAUUAUUGUAUUACUAUAAUUUAUAUAUAAAAAAAUAUUUAGUUGUUUUAAUUAAAUUUUAAUUAUAUAAAAAUAUACUUAUAUUAUUUUAUUUAUUAAAAAUUUAUUAUUUAUAUAUAAAUUAUACUUUACAUCAUACACUUCCUACCAAUAGGUGCUGGAAUACUAUAUACUAAAACGCUCUUUUGCUAUCAAGUUUUUAACCCUUGAUGAUAAAAUUGUAUGGUCAGGAUGAUUUAGUUGGUUUAGAGUUGAGUGGUCCCCUAGGGUUGAGUGGUCCCCACUGGGUUAUAGUAUUAAUUCCAAUGGUUAGAAAUAAUGAAAAGAGUUGACCAAAGGCUAAAAAUUGGUAGCAACAAUGGGAUUUUGCUACUAUAAUAGUAACCCAGUCAAUCUCUACUAAUAAUAUCAUUCAUUCAACUUUAAUGGAAUGAAAUCACAGCCGUACAAUUUUUAUUUAUCUUUAAAUUAUCAUAAAUAUAUUAAUUCUUAGUCUUCGUCUAAUCCAAUGACUGACGAAUUAAGUAUCUGUCACUUUUUUUACCUAAAUUGCCCUUAGAAAGUACGUAUUAAAUACUUUUUUAUAUGUGUGUCAUAUCUCCUAAUAACCCGCCGCCAACAUAAUAUCAUAUUUAUCACAAAUAAUAUUCGCAUUUCUUAAAUAUUUUCAUUCUCGACACGUAAUAUCUCACACCUACACUUAUAUAUUCCAUCACAUAAUACCUUCCGCAUAUAUAAUAUUUAAUCAUAUUUUUUUAAAAGUGAAUAUAUAAAAAUUAUCUCAAUUUUACCUACUAAUAUUUAAAAUAUGAGAUAUUUUUUCAAUAAAAUAUAACAUAUAAAUUUACAAUUUAAAAUUUUAAAUUUGUAGUAAAUAUGAUUCACAAAUUGAUAUUGAUUUGAGAUAAUUAUUAAAAUAAUUGUUGACACAGACAUACCCUUUUUUAGUCGGAAAAAAUAUUGUAUUCUAUUUGCAAGAAUAGAAAGAAAUUUAUAUUUAUCUAAAUUUUUGUCAACCGAAAGAUAUUUGCGCGUCCUAUAAAAUAAUAUUCCAUACUUACCAAAAAAACGAAAAUCUCUAUGCAACAAACAUUGAAAAUAUUUUGUAUCUACUAUUUCUCAAUUAGCUAACUAAAAAAAUUAGAUUUGAAAAAAUAAUUUAAAUAAGCUUAUAAAAUCAACUUUAAAUUUUAAAUUUUGUUCAUAAUUUCAAAUGUGAAUUAAUAUUUAAUUCAAAAUUUGAAAUUAAUUAAAUUUUCAAUAUUUUGGGUGUGUAAACAGUAUUUCAAAUUAAAAAUAAUUAAUUAACUUGAAAAUAUAUCAAAUUUUGGGAUGAUAAAUAAAUUAAUGUCUUUAAUAAUUAUUUAUAUUCAAAUUAUGGAUUCAAAAUUAAUUUCAAAUUUUGAGUUUUAUUCAUAAAUUUAAAUAUGAAUUUAUUAAUUUAAAAUUUAGAAUUACUUUAAAUUUUUAAAAUUUGGAUACAUAUUAAAAAAAAAAUUAAAAAAAAUUUAACUGAUAAAUAGAUUUAUACCAUCAAUAAUUAUUUAAAUUUAAAAUAUAAAUAUAAAUUUAAUUUAAUUAAAUGUUACGUGCAUUGCACGUGCACUAUAACUAGUAUAUAUAUGUAUAUAUGAGUACGGCUAUAUAUACCAGCACAACUCUCUCUCUCUCUCUCUCUCUAUAUAUAUAUAUAUAUAUAUAUAAGGUUCGGCUACUAUGCGAUCAAUAACACUAAACACUUGAUACUACCAAGUUUUUCGCCAUUAGAUCGACUUCUUUGGUUAUUUCCACCCGUUAGGUUAUACUAUUAAACUAACCACCAAUCAAUUCUAAGGGACCAUUAUCAUCUUUAACCGUACAUCCCUUCAUCCACUGAUCCAAGGGCCAAAAUAUUUAAUAACACCAAUGAUUUGGUAUUAUUAAUAGUAUAAUAGCAUAGUUCUAUAUAUAUACAAAAAUAAUAUUUGCUAUCUACUUUUUAUCCUUUACAUACAUAGGAUUUGUUAUUUAGUUUAUUAUUAUGAAUCCAAUGGAUGAAAUAUAGAUAGCAAAUACUAUUAAUCUACUAUCAAUAGUAUCAUAAAUAAACACUCUAUCUCUAUCACUCUCGAUAUAUACCCACCCGAUUAACUGGUAAUUUUAUAUAUAAAAAUUUAACUUUUGAAUUAAAAUUUUAUGAUAAGUAUAAAAAUGAUGAAUUCACAAGAACAAAUAAAUGAGCAAAAUAUUAUCAACAAUUUUAAAUCUAAGAUAGAACUAAAAUGAAUUACAUUAGAUAGUUUAUAAACUAAAUUAAAAUCUUAUUGGAAAUUCUGAAAUGCAAAUGUCUUACAGGGAGGAUGUGUUAAGUGCAAAAAGAAAGUACAAUAAAAAAUAUUAUGCUUGUUUUCGUAAGUUAUUUCGUUAUGCAUAUCGCAGUUGAUCGAUUAUGAUAUAUUUUUUACGAUAACACCGGAAAGCGCAAGAGUGUAUCUAUAUAUACUUUUCCUCUAACACUAUUUUAAUUAUUAGCGGUAGAUAAGCCUCAAUACCAAGCAAGCCCAAAAUCAAACUGCGAGGACCAUGAAAAAUAACUCACCUGGACUAGUAAGGGAUGCAGCCAGGAUGUAUAAGGGGCAGGCCACACCUUCUGCCCCAUUCCUUGGCGCGUCGAGGCGGAUUCAAGGCGACUUGGAUUUUCUUCCUAUUUUUUACCUCCCACUUACUACUCCAUUUCGGGCAGAUUUAGAUGGAAGCAGGUUCUUGGUGGAUCAGAACGGAUCAAAAAUGAGAAAGAGUCCUCCACAACCUGCUCCAUGUCUUAGUGGAUCUGGAAGGACUCGGGACAGAAUUUUUUUUUUUCCCUUAUUUUUGACUCUCACUUACUGCCAUAUUCGGGAUGAAUCGGCGCGAAACCUCCAUCAACCCGGAUCCAUUUGCAUCCCUAGGGACUAGGUUGGCCCAAUAACCAACCUGGACUAGUAAGGGGUGCAACCAGGAUGUAUACGGGGCGGGCCACACCUUCCGCCCCAUUUUCUUGGCGUGCCGAGGCGGAUUCGAGGCGACUUGAAUUUUUUUUCUAUUUUUUAACCCCACUUACCACUUCAUUCCGGACAGAUCUGGAUGGAAGCAGAUUCUUGGUGGAUCAGGAUGGAUCAAAAAUGAAAAAAAGUCCUCCACAAUUUGCUCCAUGUUUUAGUGGAUCGGGACGGACUGGGGAUAGAUUUUUUUUUUUAUCUUAUUUUUGACUCUCACUUACUGCCAUAUUCAGGAUGAAUCGGCGUGAAAUUUCCAUCAAUUUGGAUCCAUUUGCAUCCCUAGGGAUUGGGUUGGCCCAAUAGCCCACCCCACAAAGUAUCUCAACCCUUUAGGCCAGUAUCACUGGCAAAUGCCACAGCAUCUCAUUGAUCUCUGACAACAGUAACCACUACACUGAGACUUUGUUAGCAAUAUAUAAGGCCUGUUGGGCCCAACUUUAGCUUCUAUUGUGACAAAAGAGUUUUUUUUUUUUUUUUUUUUUUUUUCAAAAGCAAAAAAGCAAACUACAGGCUCCUAUUUAAGUGUAAAAAGAAUAAACCGGGGAUUCGCAAAAUGCUUAUCUUGAUAAUGCCAUAGUAUCCAAAUAACACUUCAUCAAAUAGUUUUACUGCUUACAACAGAGCCAAAGAUGCAUGUAAUAAAGUGCUAAAGUAAAAUCACAUCAACUAAGAACAAUUUUUGUAUUUAUAACAAUGUUGAUAUUAAAUAAUUAAAUUUAAAAAAUUUAAUAACAAAGUGGUCGUGCCGGAGUGGUUAUCGGGCAUGACUAGAAAUCAUGUGGGCUCUGCCCGCGCAGGUUCGAAUCCUGCCGACCACGUUUUUUUUUUUUUUUUUUUUUUUUUUUUUUUUUUUUUUUUUUUUUCCAGAACUUCACUUCAUUGAAUGUAACAAUUUUUACAUCUCUCCUCCCUUUUUGGAAUAUCAUUUGUGCUUUUGCGUCUUUUUAAUCUUUUACUUUAUACCCAUCAGGCUUAAUUAGUAUGUACUAAAUUUCCUUUCUGUUGAGUUUAAUUUGUAUUUUAUUAUGUUUUCUCCUCUUUCGAGGUGAUCAAAUUUAGUUGUUUAUUGAGCUUCAAUAUUAUUACUACUCCAUUAUAUUUACUUUUCUUUUCUCUUGUUUCUCCCAAACUUUGAUCCACUUCUGUAUUAUUUGUGAUUCCGUGCCUUUUUAAUCUUUUGAUUUAGGGGCUUUUGCUUUAACAUCCCUCGCUACUAUUUAAAUAUUUUAAAUUUACCUAUUUAUUUCCAAAAUGUCUUUCCAAACUCCAAAUCUUAUUAAUAAAUGCUAGGGUUAAGGAUAUUUGAAGGAAUUUUGAGAAAUCAAUAAAAAUAUUUUGGUCGGUUAAAAAAUAUAUUAUAUAUUUUUAAAGUUUUGAAAAGUACUUAAAAUAUUAUUCAUUUGUUUUAUGCCUAUAUGUUCCGCUCAAGUUCUAUUAGAAUUAUAUUCAACUGAAUUUAAUAUGAAUCCUAACCCAACAAAAAGUUUUGAAUCCAACCAAGCCAUGUUUUCUCAUGUUUUUACUUAAAUUUAAUUUAGUUUCCAUUCCAAGUGAUUCAAGGUUGUACUAUGCGGGCUGUUUGUUUUUAUGGAGUUCGGAGGUUGAACUCAUGGUUUCAAAAAAAUCGAUGGCGUCGACAUUUUUCGCUGUGUUGAGAUUCUGAGAUCACCUAAAUUUUCAUUUAGAAUUGUAGAGAGAACUACCUUCCGACUUCGAUGGGAUGGAGAGUGAAAUCAAGUUUGUGAAACCUAUGUAUUUCUUGUUUUUCAACCUUCUGCUUCUGAAGAGCAUGUGAGAUAAUUAAAUUUCGAAUUUAAAAUCUUAAGUACUAAGGGCCUGUUAAGCUUAGCUUCUGAAAAAGUGAUUUCCGAAAAAGUGAUUUUGGUUGGUAGAAGUGAUUUUGGUUAAAAGCUGUAGAGCGUUUGGCUGAGUUUAGAUAAAAGCGAUUUUUCUGAAGUGAGUUUGAAAAGCUAUUUGGCAAAAUUUUUUUAAUAUUUGCAUAAAUUAAUAUUUUUAUUAAAUUUUAUUUUAAAAUAAUUUAAAAUCUAAAUUUAAAUUUGAAUUAAAAUUAAAAAUUUUAAAUUUCAAAAUUGUAAAAAAUUUAAAAAUUUUAUAUUUUAAUUUAAAAAAUAAUUUAAAAUUUUAAAAAUUUAAAAUUUAAAAUAAUUAUGAAAUUUAAAAUUUUAUAUAAUUAAAAAUAUAUAGUUCAAAUAAAAUAAAAUUUAAAUUUAUAUGUAAAUUUGAAAUUUAAAAAAUUAAAUUAAAAAUUAAAAAUUAAAAAUUAAAAAUUUAAAAUUAAAAUUUAAAAAUAUAAAUAAUUAUAAAUUAAAAUAUAAAAUUUAAUAUUUAAAAAAUAUAUUUAAAUUAAAAUUUAAAUUUAAAAUUUAAAAUAAUUAUGAAAUUUAAAUUUCAAAUUAAAUUUAAAAUUAGAAUAUUUAAAUUAAAAUUUAAAAUUUAAAAUUUUAAAAUUUGAUUAUAAUUAAGAUUAAAAAUUAUAAUUAAAAUUUUAAAUUUAAAUUUUUAAAUUAAAUUUAAAAUCUAAAAGUCAACUUUAAAAUUUAUCUUAAAUUUGAAAUUUGAAAUUAAAAUUUAAAAAUUCAAAAAUAAAUCUGAAAAUUAAAUUUUAAAAUUAAAUUUAAAUUUAAAUAUUGAAUUUAAAAUAAAAAUAAAAAUUUGAAGUUUGAGUCCAAAAUCAGAAUCGGAUUUCAAGAAGCAGUUUUUUUCUGCUUCUGAUUCUGGGGCCUUCGAAAUCAGUUUUCUGAUUCUAAAAAAUAAAAUCAGAUUUUAAAAGUGAUGUUGCCAAACGCUCUAUUAAGCCAAAAAUUAUUUUUCAACCAAAAAACGCUUUUUAAAAGUUAAGCCAAACACCCACUAAUUAUUAUGUCUUUUGUCAUUUGUGCUAGAGACGAUAAGUUGUUAUGCUCUUUUUAUUAUUUUUAGAAUAUCAUAAAGAGUGCUGUUGCAAGUAUCUAAAAUACAUCCUGCAAUACUCGUGAUAACAUGUCAAUGUCAUUAUUAUACUUUAAAUAUUAAUUAUUAAACUCUAAAUAUCAUUAUCAAACUGUAACCAACGUUAUUAUUAUAUACCCUAAUUCUAAACCUUAAUUUUUUUCCAUGUGUUAGCCAACACAUCUAUACCACUAUACCUAUAUAUUAUUCUUUCUAAAUUUGUCAUAUGAUAAUAUUUUUUUCAUUAUUGGAUGUGGGCUCCUUUCCGAACCGACUCACGUCCUUCACAUUUUUUUUCUUUUUUUAUUUAAACCGAAUCGAAUUUUUCUCUUUAUUUACUUGAACUGAACUAAUUAUUAUUAAGCGUGAGCUUCUAUGACCCGGCUCAUAUCCUCUACAUAUUUUUCUCUUUUUUUGUUUAAAUCAAACCGAGCUUUUCUUUUUUUUUUUAUUUGAACCGAAUCAGAUCACACUUCUGUAUUGGACUGAACUGUUAUUUUUCCACUUUUUUCAACCGUUACUUUUCUUCAUAGGCAAGAUAAAUCCCACAUCUUGUCCUCACCUUUUUCAUUGCUGUUUUUUUUUUCUUUAUCUAUAUUUUUUAUUUUUUUUAAUUAUUUAUCCGUCACAUCGUAUUGUUCCCAAAGUGUGGGUCCCAAAGCAUUCUCUGUAAUAAAUUAUAUAAAAAAAAAGGACGAAGAAGCGUGGUGCAGUCUUCUUAGCAACUAGCAAGCCUAUUUUUUCCAACCGAGCAGCCGCCAAUCCGACCUGUAAAGCAGCCUGCAUUCACACGGCUUGACCGGCGUAUCAGAUCCAGUCCAGAUACAGAGGUGCAGACCAACGACUUUGAAAUCCAGCCGGUUCGGUCAAGCAGAUAAAACCAAAAUAGUCGACUGGCUUUGUCGGCGUGUGAGAGGGUACCAUUAGUCUUUUUCUAGAAUCAUGAGAGCGAUUUUCAAUCACCACACACAAGUAAAAAAUUGCUUUGGAUUCUCCGAAGAAAAUAAAUUAAUAAAGAAAAAUUUUUAAGUAUCAUUCCUGUAGUUUUGUAUUUUCUCGCUUUAAUACUAUAUGAUUUAAAGUGUAUCACUUUCGUACGUACCCUGUGUUUUUAUUUUUUAUUUUUUUUGUUAUUCCCUCCACUAAUUUUUUUGUUAAUUAAUACGCGACAAAGUUAAAACUAAAAGGUAUUAAAGUAAAUAUUCGAUAAACUAUAGAUAGGAUAUCUGAAGUUUUUUGUAUUUGAUUUAACGAAAAAUUAACGAAUGGGCUGACAAAAAAGAAAAAAAAAUGAAAUAAUAUGAUACUAAAUUAAUACACUUUAAAUCAUAGGAUAUUAAAGUAAAAAAAUAUGAAAUCACGGGAAUGGUACUUGAAGUUUACUUAUAAAUAAAUAAAUAAGUGAAAUGUUGUUUGUACAUCCAACGUAGGGGCGCAAAUUUUAGGGAUUAGGGUUCCUGUUUGAGAAUUUAAAUACUAUUUUUAAAUUUUUAAUAUUAAAAAAGAUUGAUGAGAUUUGUGCGAAAAUAUUGACCUUUAAAUGAAGAAGUUGUCAGAUUUAAUUGAACAAUUUGUUUUGAGUGUANUUAAAUUUUAAAAUCUAAAAUGUCAAAUUUUAAAAUUUAUCUUAAAUUUGAAAUUUGAAAUUUAAAAUUUAAAAUUUUAAAAUCUAAAAUUUGAGAUUUGAAAUUUAAAAUUAAAAUUUAAAAUUUAAAGUUUGAAAUCUAGUUUUCAAAUUUAAAAAUUUAAAAAUUUAAAAAUGAAUUUGAAAAUUAAAUUUUAAAUUUAAAUUUAAAUUUAAAUUUUGAAUUUAAAAUAAAAAUAAAAAUUUGAAGUUUGAGUCCAAAAUCAGAAUCGGAUUUCAAGAAGCAGUUUUUUUCUGCUUCUGAUUCUAGAGCCUUCAAAAUCAAUUUUCUGAUUCUAAAAAAUAAAAUCAGAUUUUAAAAGUGAUGUUGCCAAACGCUCUAUUAAGCCGAAAAUCACUUUUCAACCAAAAAACACUUUUAAAAAGUUAGGCAAACACCCACUAAUUGUUAUGUCUUUUGUCAUUUGUCCUAGAGACGAUAAGUUGUUAUGCUCUUUUUAUUAUUUUUAGAAUAUCAUAAAGAGUGCUGUUGCAAGUAUCUAAAAUACAUCCUGCAAUACUCGUGACAACAUGUCAAUGCCAUUAUUAUACUUUAAAUAUUAAUUAUUAAACUCUAAAUAUCAUUAUCAAACUGUAACUAACGUUAUUAUUAUAUACCCUAAUUCUAAACCUUAAUUUUUUUGCAUGUGUUAGCCAACACAGCUAUACCCUUAUACCUAUAUAUUAUUCUUUCUAAAUUUGCCAUAUGAUAACAUUCUUUUUAUUAUUAGGUGUGGGCUUCUUUCUGAACCGACUCACGGCCUUCAUAUUUUUUUUUUCUUUUUUACUUAAAUCGAAUUAAAUUUUUCUCUUUAUUUGUUUGAACUGAACUAAUUAUUGUUGAGCGUGAGCUUCUCCGACCCGGCUCAUAUCCUCUACAUAUUUUUCUCUUUUUUUGUUUAAAUCAAACCGAGCUUUUCUUAUUUUUUUUGUUUGAACCAAAUCAGAUCACACCUCUGCAUUAGGCUGAACUGUUCCUUUUCCACUUGUUUCAACCGUUAUCUUUCUUCAUAGACAAGAUGAAUCCCACCUCUUGUCAUCACCUUUUUUUUAUCGCUAUUUUUUUUUCUUUAUCUAUAUUUUUUUAUUUUUUUCUAAUUAUUUAUCCGUCACAUCGUAUUGUUCCAAAGUGUGGGUCCCAAAGCAUUCUCUGUAAUAAAUUAUAUAAAAAAAAAAGGACGAAGAAGCGUGGUGCAGUCUUCUUAGCAACUAGCAAGCCUAUUUUUUCCAACCGAGCAGCCGCCAAUCCGACCUGUAAAGCAGCCGGCAUUCACACGGCUUGACCGGCGUAUCAGAUCCAGUCCAGAUACAGAUGUGCAGACCAACGACUUUGAAAUCCAGCCGGUUCGGUCAAGCAGAUAAAACCAAAAUAGUCGACUGGCUUUGUCGGCGUGUGAGAGGGUACCGAUAGUCUUUUUCUAGAAUCAUGAGAGCGAUUUUCAAUCACCACACACAAGGAAAAAAUUGCUUUGGAUUCUCCAAAGAAAAUAAAUAAAUAAAGAAAAAUUUUCAAGUAUCAUUCCUGUAGUUUUGUAUUUUCUCGCUUUAGUACUAUGUGAUUUAAAGUGUAUCACUUUCGUACGUACCUUAUGUUUUUAUUUUUUAUUUUUUUUGUUAUUCCCUCCACUAAUUUUUUUCGUUAAAUACGCGACAAAGUUAAAACUAAAGGGUAUUAAAGUAAAUAUUCGAUAAACUAUAUGUAGAGUAUCUGAAGUUUUUUGUAUUUGAUUUAACGAAAAAUUAAUGAAUGGGCUGACAAAAAGGAAAAAAAAAAAUGAAAUAAUAUGAUACUAAAUUAAUACACUUUAAAUCAUAGGAUGUUAAAGUGAAAAAGUAUGAAAUCACGGAAAUGGUAUUUGAAGUUUACCCAUAAAUAAAUAAAUAAAUGAAAUGUUGUUUGUACAUCCAACGUAGGGGCGCAAAUUUUAGGGAUUAGGGUUCCUGUUUGAGAAUUUAAAUACUAUUCUUAAAUUUUUAAUAUUAAAAAAGAUUGAUGAGAUUUGUGCGAAAAUAUUGACCUUUAAAUGAAGAAGUUGUCAGAUUUAAUUGAACAAUUUGUUUUGAGUGUACAUAUAGUAUUUUUCAAAAUGCAACAUGGUAUCAGAGGAUCGAGGAGACUCUAAGUUCUAGUCCAAUCACACUUAUAACGUUAUUUAAUUUUUUUCAAUUUAAUUUAAGUCCACGUCUUUAGCCCAAAUCUGAAUGAGAGGAUAUUAAAGAUAAAUAAUUAUCAAAAAUAAUAAUUAUUAAAAAUAUCAUUCUUUAAUAACUUAAACUUUUGAAAAAAUGGUUAUUUCAUAUAAUUCAACAUGGUAAUCGAAUCCUUUUAAUAUUAUUAAUUUUCUCUGAUUUAAUUCAAGGCAAUCAUAAUUUAACAGUAGUGCUAUUGAAUAUAAUCUCAAAGUAAUUCUAUUAUGCUGCACAAAAUAGUGAAAAGCCUAAUUAAUCAUGAAUAAUAUAACAAUUUGAAUUGUUAAGGAAAUAGUUCUUAUAUUUUUUGUAGCAUACAUAUAGAUCCACAAUCCAAUGUUAUUUUUGUAUAGAAUAAUUGCAACAGAAAAAACCUAUUUUCCCAUAGGAUCUCCUAUAAUCUACUCUUUAUCAUCAUGUAGCCUACAUUAUAUCACCCUGUCACUUGGUCAAACUAUCAAUACUACUUAUAAAAACAAAUAAGGGCGUGUUUGGUUCGAAGUCGGAAUUGGAAUCGCAAUCGGAAUCAAAAUAAGCUGGAAUCGGAAUCGGAAUGGCUCAUUACCUAAUUCCGUUUGGUUCAUCAUCUGAAUCGGAAUCGGAAUAAAUCAUUCCUAUUGUUGGUGUUUGGUUCAGGUGGAUAUAAAUAAAAAACGUAAUCAAAUUAAUAUACGAACAUUAUCUUUAUAAUAUAUUAAUUUAAAUUCAAAUUAAAUAUUAAAUAUUAAAAAUUUACAUCAAAAUUUUUAAAUAAUAUCAAAUUUUUAAAUCUAUUUUUUUAAAAUAAAUUAAUCUUUGAAGUUGAGUGGAUAAUUCAAAAUAUGAAACUAAAAUUUUAUUUAUUCAAAUUCAAAUUUAAAAUUACAAUUUAAAUUUUAAUUUGAAUCCAUAAAUUUAAUUUAAGUUUGAAAUAAAAUUUGAAUAAACUUCAUAUAAAUUAAAAUUUAAUUUAAAUUCAAAUUCAUAAGUUAGAUUCAAAAUACUUGAUUAAAUUUUAAUUUUUAAUUUAAGUUCAAAUUAAAAUUUAAAAUUAUAUAUUUAAUUUUUAAAAUUUAACUUAUAUUUUAAUUUAAAAAGUUGAAAAAAUAAAUUUAAUCCGAAUAAAUAUCCAUUCCGUCCGGAUUCAACUUUCAAUCCGGCCUCCUAGGCCGGAUUGAAAAAAGGGAUGAUUGAGGCAUUCCCAUUCCACUCGGGAAUCGGAAUCGGAAUGGGACUCCCGCGUACCAAACACCCACAAACGGAUUCACCCAUUCCGAUUCCGAUUCCAUGGUGAAAAAGAGGCGAACCAAACACGCCCUAAAGUUAUAAAAUAAUUAAGUAUAAUUUUUAAGCUAUAUGGGAGAAAAGUAAAAAUCUAUUAAACCGCAAGGGUGCAAAUUGAAAUUUGCCAUACUCUUUACAGGAGAAGUACUACUGAUACAAGGAUGUACAUCUUACGCUCUCUUUAUUCAAGAGUCAAGACCCGUCAUUUUUUUACUUCGAGAAUCCUAAAAUAAGGAGCGUAAGAUAUGCAUGCACCCAUGUUGAGAUGUACAAAUAGAUUUAUUUUCUUUACAGUGUCGAGUGCACCAGCGGUGGUCACCAAACUUAAACUAAAUUUUUAGUUUAGUCCCAAAGCCGAUACCCGCCAUCGUCAAAGUCGUCCUCCACAUUUGCGAUCGACCAUCGCAAACCUUGCGUACGUUGCUUACUAUUUCUUUCGGUGCAUUUGGCACAUUGGCUCCACCUGGGUGAGCCCCAGAUUGACCAUAAGCUAACAGAUCAUGAACGCAGUAUGUAUGAGCGCGAGACUUCGUUGGAGUUGAUGUAACAUAUUUUGUCAAAAUGUAAUCAAAUUUGAACUAAUGGAACCUAAUUGAUUAAAUGAAAAUAAAAAAAAUAAAAUCGUACAUAGUUCAGGUGCCCAGUCUUUUAAAAUUUGGAUUUUACUUUCCAAUCUUUCAAUUUUUUUGAUUUGUGUCAGUGAACAGUAAUUUGACUUAAUUUAAAUGCGUUAUUUAUUUUUACAGACUUAGUUAGUAUAAUUCAUGCAAUUAAUUCUCGCACCUGCAAAUUUAUUAAAAUAAACAAUUAUCUUGAAUUUCAAAGUCAAAAUAUAAUCAAAAAAUUAAGUAAUAAAAUUAAAAUUUUAAACAAAAAUAUUGCUGCAAUUAAUCCUAAGCCACCGUUUGGUUCGGGAUUAAAUAAAAAUUUAUUAUUUCAGGGAUAGAGUUAAGUUCUGGAUUAAGGUGGGGUUAGAGCAAUUUUGUGUUUGGUUGAAAAUUAGGUUUAAUCCAGAUAUAAAUAAAAUAGUGUUUGAUUUUAAUAUAUGGGAUAAGAAGGAUAGUCGGUAAAAUAGUGUUUUGUUUGAUUGGAGUAGUGGGAUGAGGUAGGGUUAGCUAACCCCGCCUCCCAAAUUGAAUGUUUUGAAAUAACUUCGGGAUCAAAGAAUUAUUCCACCCUUAAUUCCGAACCAAACUGGUGCUAAAGAAAAAAUUUAACUACAGAGGCAACUGCUCCAGUUGCGGCCGCCGCGGAGUUGACCGUUGACUCGACCGCGCACAGCCUCGCGCGCACGUGCUCAGAACCCCGGGGCGGUCUUUUGGUGGGCCACCCCUUGUCGGGCCAAUUAGACACGUUCCUCCGCACGUGCGUACGACCUCCUCUUUUCCUCCUCCGCCGAAGUGACGAGUUCCACCACGCCAACGCCUUUUCGUUGCGCGGAGGAGUUAAGAAACCAAGGAGAAGUAAAAAAGGAGCACCAAAAAAAAAAAAAAAGGUCUCUCUCUAUAUAGAAGUCGGAAAUGGAGUUUACAGCGCGGAGGAAGUCGAGUUCCGCAGCCGAAGUCGCGUCGGUGACCGUCACCGCGCGCGUGGGUGGUUUACAUGCGCCGUAAAAGCUCGGAAAACCGGGGGGUCGCAGCUUGGGCUGUCAACGAUCGAGGUCCCAUAAGUGGCCAGAUACGGUGCUGCUCGUUUUCGCUCGUUUAUUAAAUAAUAAAUAAAUAAAUCGAAUGCGAGCUAAUUUGUCGAAUUAUCAAAAUAAAAAAUUUCAGUUUUCGUAGACAGUAAGUUUGAUUGUCAGUUCUGCUGCUACUGAGUGAAAAGUUGAAAAUAAGUUCAAAAAUUAAAAUUUUAAUCUAAUAAUUAAAAUUUCAAAAUAUAGGUAUCUUUUUAUUUAAAUUGGUCUAAAAUUUAAAUAAUAUAUACAUAGAGAGAACUAAGCUAUUAUACUAUUAAUAGAACUAAGCGCUUUGUGCUAUUAGGUUUUCGACCCUUAGAUGAAGAGAUAUAUAUGCGGUUAGGAAGAUAGUGAUUCCCAAUUAGAAUGAUAGUAGUCUCCUAUGAUUGAGUGGGUGGUUGAUUGAAUAGUGUGAUCUAACGGAUAUAAAUGAUCAAAUGAGUAGAUCUAACAGCGAAAAAAUUAAUAGCAAUAAGUCAUUGGUGCUAUUAGGUUUAUUAUUAUACUAUUAAUAGCACCAAGUUAUUGGUGCUAUUAGGUUUUCGACCUUUAGAUGAAAGGAUGUGCAGUUAGGAUGAUAGUGGUUUCCCAAGGUUCAGUGAAUGAUUGGUUGAUCAUCUAACAAGUGAAAAUGGUCAGAGAGGUAAAUCUAAUGGCGAAAACUCGAUAGCACCAAGCGCUUGGUGCUAUUGAUUCUCUCUCUCUCUCUCUCUCUCUCUCUCUCUAUAUAUAUAUAUAUAUUAAGCUCUUAUGCAUUUAAAAGUACCAAGUUAUUCGUGCAUGUACAUUUUUGCCAUUUGGAUUAAGAAAUGUGUGGAUGAUAGUAGUUUUUUAGGGUUGAGUGAGUGAUUAGUUAAAUAGUAUGAUCUAACGGAUAAAAAUGGUCCAAGGGAUACAUCUAACAGCCGAUCGAUGAUGUAAAUAAUAUCGAUUACUAGGUAAAUGAUAUUAAAAAUACUUAUGAUCACUAGAUAAAUGAUGUUGAAAAUCUGCAAAAAUUAUUUUUCAAAUACUUCAAAUACGCUAGAUCAAGUCUAACGGAGCCAAUUGUCAAUUCGAAAGUCCCAUCAUUGAAAGCGGCUUUAUAUCAUCCAGAACACAUGAUAAUUCUCGUGCCUCCAGAGGCAUGAGAANUAUAUAUAUAUAUAUAUAUAUAUAUAUAUAUAUAUAUAUUUGUUCGAGCUAUAUCGAGCCGAAUUUGAGUGAACUGAUUCCUUACCCGUGUUCGGCUCGCUAAGAUUUCGAACUUAAGAAAUUAGCGCAUAGUCGACUUAUUUAUUAAACGAACGAUCGCCCUCAAACUCAUUUCCUGUCGACCAUGAAUUGACUCGCAAACAGCGAGUUGAAUUGCUAGCCCUACUUUGAGACGGCGUAAAUAGCGCAUUCGUCCCUGAACUUUUAGUCAAGUUUUUUAUGUGGUUCUCGAUAUUUUGAAAAAUAUUUUAUAAGAAAUUACUGCCUACAGUUGUUGACAUUCUCAGACGCGCUCCAUCCGUCUCAUACGUCUCAAUAGUUUGAAUUUUAAGCAUGAAAAAGGUUGCAACUCUGUGGAUAAUAGGAUUGCAACAUGAUACCCUAAAUUCUAGAGAGAAUAAAUGCGCGGUGUGUGUCACUGCAACUGCUUUAAUUUUUUGGCAUUUUAUUUUUCUGCAUCAGUAAAUAAAAGAUGAAAACUAAAGAAAAAUAUAUUCUUUCACCAGAUUAUAUUUGUAAAUUGUAUUUUGUUAUAAGUUCUAGCUAAAAUUUUCUACACUUUUAUAUAUAAUCAAGUCACUCAGUACAGUAUAGUUGACUUAAAAGUGGCGUAUACAUAACUGUAAUAUGGUAGUGUUAGAAUUGAUCAUGUAGCAUUGUGUGAACUGCAGGGCAUGUCACUGUCGCAUCAACUACACAUCAUCAUUAUUCAACAAGCUAAAUUGGAAUGCGAGACUAAAUUGCUUAUAACAUUCUUGAAAAUUGAGCCAAUAAUUAUAAUAAAUUAAAGUUUGAGAAUCAAAGUGUCUUAGCGUCUUUGUUUCAUAGCUUGUCGAUGAAAAUAGUAAUUCAACUCUAUAUAUUUAUAAGAGUUAUAGGAUAUCAAAGUUUGAGAACUGAAAGUGAAACUUAGACCGAAGUUUGGGGACGGGUAGUACAAUUUAUCCAUUUGAGAAAUGAGAAUAAACAACUGACCGUCUCUAGCGCGCAAGUGGCAAAGAACUUGGUGGUUGGUAUCCGAGGUCCCAAAUUCGAAUCCUAGUUGAUUCACAUUUCUAGCUAAGCUUAUUUCUAAAUGAAAUAAACGAAGCGGGUAGCAUGCUAUCUAUCUCUCAUUAAAAAAAAAAAGAAAAAAGAAAUGAGAAUAAACUUUUCAAACUUCAGGGAUGGAGAAAUUGGGAGCACUUGAGAUCCAGAGACUCAUAAGCUUGAAUCAAGUUUGAAUAUUUCCUACAGCCUCCAUCUUAUCUGAAUUUUUUUAAAGAUUAUAUAAUCAAGUCCCUUGAUAUUGACUUGGCCUUUUAUAAACUUACACAAAGCACUUUUGUUUGCAAUCACAUAUAUAUAUAUAUAUAUAUAUACUUGACAUUUUCCUGGGGAACAUUAAACUCUGGGCUGGUAUAACUAAACUCAAAUUGGUAUAUAUCCUUCCAAUUAGGAUACAUAAAUAUCUUUGACUCUGUCUAUUCCGUGCAACCGUCGUAAUUUAUUUAUUAGUAUAACUCUUGAUUGACCAGCUCAUGAAAUUUGCAUGAAAAGUCACCAACUGUUAGAUCGGUUAUUGAGUGUUUUGCAUUAGAAACGAUUGAGUUAUUACAGAAACUACUAUUGCCCCACGACUCAAACAUGCUGACCUACUUUCACUAAUAAGCGAAAAAUCUAACAUGAGAAAUGAAUGAGUCUAUUUAUGCGUUUUUAUUAAUAGAGAGCACUUGAUUGACCAGAUCGUGAAACCUGCAUAAGAAGUCUCCAUUUGCUAGCUAGGUCGGCUAUUAGAUAUCUUAGAUUAAAAUUCA